GAAAAACAACUAAUCAGUUGGAAUUCAGUGAUUUCGGCCUGCAUACAGGUUGGAAGAACAAGUGAUGCUAUGGAGUUGUUCUGCCAGAUGAGGAUGUAUGGACACAGUCCUGAUGCCAUUACUAUUGCUAGUUUAUUAGCAGGGUGUUCUGAAGUUGGUUUUCUGCAGUUUGGGGAGAGGCUCCAUAACUAUGUUCUCAGAAACAAUCUUGACAUGGAAGAUUUUCUGGAAACUGCUCUUGUAGACAUGUAUAUCAAGUGUGGAAGGUUAGAGAGUGCAGAGAGGGUGUUUAAGAGCAUUAAAGAGCCGUGUUUGGCAACAUGGAACACAAUGAUUUCAGGCUAUGGAUUAUCUGGGCAUGAACAUAGAGCUCUCAGUUGUUACUCUGAAAUGCAAGAACAAGGACUAAAACCUGACAGAAUCACUUUUUUGGGAGUAUUAUCUGCUUGUACCCAUGGGGGGCUUGUUUGGGAGGGAAAACGAUACUUUCGAAGUAUGAGGGAAGACUUUGGUAUGAUUCCAGGAUUGCAACACAAUGCAUGCAUGGUUGAUCUCCUCAGUCGAGCAGGAUUUUUAGAGGAAGCAGUAAUAUUUGUCAAGAAUAUGGAGGUUGAGCCUGAUUCUGCCAUAUGGGGAGCUUUGCUUACCUCUUGUUGCAUCCACCAAGAGCUGAAGCUUGGGGAGUGUUUGGCCAAAAGGUUACUCCUAUUGGAUUAUUACAGUGGUGGAUUAUAUGUGUUGAUGUCAAAUCUUUAUGCAAGUAAAGGAAGGUGGGAUGAUGUAGCAAGGGUGAGGAAAAUGAUGAAAGAUACUGGCGGAGAUGGAUCUUCUGGAAUUAGCCUAAUUGAGGUUUCUUCCUUGGAGAAAAUGAAUAACAGCUUGUGCUUGAGCGACUUGAGUUUGAAUACAAAUUAUUGGCAGCUUUCUUCUCCACAUUGACUUCUGACUCAAAUAUUGUAUCUCUCUUCUCAUUCUACCCUGUCUCUGGCCCUUGCUGCAAAUUAUCAGCAGAAAAUAAUUCAGAUACACAGAAUCAAAUUGCUUCCGCACAAACACCAGUUGAGAACUUCAUUACAGUUGUGCUAAGUUUGAAAUUUGAAUAGCUUAAAUGGUAGGUUGAAAAAACAAAGAAGAAAUUGGAGUUUAGGAUUAUAGAUUUUUCAUGACCCAUAUUCAGUUUGGCCUAAUGCAAAUGGCUGAGUUUUUGCUACGGUAACAAAACUGUGAUUUUUCAAUGUUACGGUAACAAGUACAAUAUUAAACUUAGGUUGCAAAAUUUUGUCAUCCAUCUUAGUUUUUCCUUGGCAACAAGGUCAAAGAAGGAGCCGCUCUCAUAUUUGUACAAUACUAAGCCUACCGUCUCUUCUUAGGCCAAAGGGUGUGAUCAAAUAUUGUAAAUGAUUUUCUCCUAAUGGUUCUCAAUAACGUAGUUUUGGAAAAUAUAAGACAUUUGUUACUUGUGGAGUCUAGAAGACUAGAGCCAUUAGAAUUUAGCAUUAUGGCUGUUAUUUUGAAAAAUAUUACUUUUAUUUAUCUAUUAUUUAAUAAAAAACAAAAGAAGGAAAAAUUAAUAAGAAAAAGUUGGGAUUGAAUGUGUGACUUGGCUUGUGGUCAUAUUAUUAUACAUGGAUAUUUUUUUUUUAAAAAAAUACAAUAAUUUUAUGACAUCAAUUGAAAAUGAUUUUUUUUUAAAUAUGGUAUUUUUAGACUAUUUUCACAACACUUUUUAUAAUGAGUUUAAGGCUAAAAUAAUACUUUUGAAGAAAAAAAAAAGUUAGAAUAGUGUCCCUCCCAAAAUAUUUGUUAAAGUAGUCUUUUUUUAAUCACGUAAUCAUCUAUGUGGGUUAUUUUUUUUAGUGUAAAAAAUCACUGUUGGUGACUCUAGUUUUAAAAUCCUAAUAAUCAUAAAAUCAUAGUUAUGAACCAUGGUUUCAAAAAUAUCCUUAAAACCAUAGUUACGGAUUUUAAAAUUAUUUUUAAAUCUACAAGUGGUUACAUAUGUAUUUUUUUAUUUUUUAAAUUUUCUUUAAAAUCACAGUUAUUAACUGUGGUCUUAAAAUUAUAUUUAACAAAAAUUUUAUUUACAUUGAUUGCUAUUUUAAAAUUAUUUUUUUAUUUUAUUUUUUCAAAAUUUUCUUGAAAUUUUGAGAAAAUAAUUUCACCUACAUGUACUCCCAUAAAAUUUUAUAUAUUUAUGGUAAAUAAGAUAUUUAUUUGUUUUAUGAAUUUUAUCACAUAUGAAUUAAAGAAAAAUAUUUUAAAAUUUAUAUUUUCAUAUGAGAAUUAAAACUAAUGAUUAUGAUUUUAGGUUUUUCCUUAUUAAGUGUGAUUUGAACUUAGGUUAUGGUUAAAAUGUAUAAUUUUUUAAUUAUAUAAAAGAAAAAUUGGUUAUGGUUAUAACAAUUUAUUUAGUUAAAAUUUCUUUUAUUUAGGUCAUAAAAGAAACCAAAGUUACUAAUUAUGGUUUUAAAGAAAAGUCAAUGGUUUUAAGAACAUUUUUGAAACAAUAAUUACUAACUAUGGUUUUAAAAUUUUGAAAAUAUUUUUAAAACCACAGUUAUUAAUUGUGGUUCUAAAGAAAAUUUUAAAAUCAUAAUAGCAGCUAUGAAAACUUAUAACAAGUAUGGUUUAUAAUAUUUUUUGAAAUCACAAUUAGUAUUGUGAUUUUAUAGUUAUUAGGAUUUUAAAAUCACAGUCAUUGAUGAUGAUUUUUCACAUAAAAAAAAAAAAAAAAAACUCAUGAUCACGUGACUAGAAAAAAUUACUUUGAAAAAUAUUUUGGGAAGGAAUCCAUUGUCACUGUUUUUUUCUUCCAAAAUAUUAUUUUGGCCUUAAACUCUUUUAUAACGGAAUUUGAAAGUGUUCUAAAUCUUGAAAUAGUUUAAUAAAUGUUUUUUCGUUGUAAAAUUAUAAAGUGGAAGGAGAAGAAAACAAGAAAGAGAAAUUAGAAUGUAGGAAGAGAAUAAAAUUGAUUUUCAUUAGAGGUAUCUCCCUUUUAUAGGGAGUCAUAAAGAGAUAUACAUCAAUAUGGAUGAUCAUCCACAAGUUCUCAUAAUCCGAUAAAUUCUCAUAUUUUAUAACACUCCCCCUUUGAUGAUCAUAAGAAUAUGCCUCAUUAAAACCUUACUAGGAAAAACCUUAUAGGAAAAAACCCUAGUGAAGGAAAAAAAGUACAAUAUUCUUUUGGAUUACUACCACUGUCUCGUUAAAAACCUUGCCAGUAAAACCCAAUGAAACAAAACCUGGACGGAAGAAAAAAGAGUGCAGCCUAGUGAUGUUCUUAUCAAUUAGCUCCCCCUCAUGUAGACAUGAUUAUAUUUUCUCUAGUAGCACAACAUGGAGAUCUUUGAGUCCGCGUAUUCCAAUGAGCUUCUUGAGUAUUGCAGUUGAUAAUGUCUUUGUGAAUAGAUCUACUAAAUUGUCACUUGAUCUUAUUCAUCAAAUAACGAUUUCAUCACUCUUCUGGAGUUAAUGAAAGUAAAAGACUUGGACAAUAUAUGCUUAGUUCUAUCACCCUUAAUGUAUCAUUCUUUUAAUUUGUGCAAUGCAUGCAACAUUAUCUUCAAAUAAUAUUGUCGGGUCACCUUUGAUAGAGGAGAGUCCACAUGAUUCCCGAAUAUGUUGGAUCAUAGAUCUUAGUCAUUUACAUUCACGAUUUGCUUCAUGAAUUACUAGUAUUUCUGAAUGAUUUGAUGAUGUGGUCACAAUUGUUUGUUUGACAGAUCUCCAUGAAAUAGCAGUACCAUUGUAAUUAAACACAUACCUUAUUUGUGACCUACUUUUUUGUAGGUCUGAAAGGUAUCCUGCAUCAGCAUAUCCAAGAAAUUAUUGCUUUGAUUCCCUUAAGUAAAAUAAACUCAUAUUAGUAGUUCCGCGAAGAUAACACAAUAUAUGUUUAAUACCAUUCCAAUGUCUUCGAGUUGAAGCAGAACUAUAUCUUGCUAAUAAAUUGACAUAAAAAGCAAUGUCCGAAUGUGUACAAUUGGCAAGAUACAUAAGUGCACCAAUAGCACUAAGAUAUGGUACUUCAGAACCAAGUAAUUCUUUAUCUUUUUCGCAAGGACGAAAUGAGUCAUUUUUCACGUCAAGUGAUCUGACAAUCAUUGGAGAACUCAAAGAAUGCGCUUUAUCAAUAUAAAAAAGCUUUAAAACUUUCUUAAUGUAUGUUGAUUGAUGUAUUAAAACUCCAUUUGAAAAUGCUUGAUCUGCAAGUUAAGACAAAAUUUUGUUUUUCCAAGAUCUUUCAUCUCAAAUUUCUUUUUCAAGUAAUUUGUUGUUUUUGUGAGCUUUUCAAGAGUUCUAAUAAGAUUUAAGUCAUCAACAUACACUGCAAUAAUUGCAAAUCCGGUUUAUGAUUUCUUAAUGAAGAUGCAUGGACAUAUAAGAUUAUUCAUAUACCCUUCUUUUAGCAAGUAUUCGCUAAGACGAUUGUACCACAUGCUUCCAGAUUGCUUUAAUUCAUACAAGGAUUGUUGUAACUAGAUUGAGUACAUGCUACGAAGCUUUGUACAAUUCGCUUAAAGCAAUUUAAAUCCUUCUGGGAUUUUCAUGUGUAUAUCAUUAUCCAUGGAUCCGUAUAAAUAUGUUGUAAUAACAUCCAUGAGACGCAUAUCUAGUCUUUCUAAGGCUACAAAACUAAUUAAUAAACGAAAUGUGAUUGCGUCAAUGACGGGAGAGUAUGUUUCCUCGUAGUCAAUACCGGGUUUCUGCGAGAAACCUUGUGCUACUAAUCGCACUUUAUAUCUUAUGAUCUCAUUAUUCUCAUUGCGUUUUUCGUACAAAUACCCAUUUGUACCCAACAAGUUUUACAUCUUUAGGUGUUUGGACUACAGGUCCAAAAACUUCUCAUUUUGUUAAUGAGUUUUAACUUUGCUUGUAUAACUUCUUUCCAUUUUGGCCAAUCAUUUCUAUGUCGGCAUCCUUCCACAUUUUGUGGUUCAGGAUCUUAAUCAUUUCUUAUGAUAUCGGAGACCACUUGGAAAGUGAAAAUAUUGUUAAUAAUAACAUUAUUUUGAUAACAUUUUUCUUCCGUGUAUACAUAACUUAUUGAGAUCUCACAAUUUUCAGGUACAUGUGCCUCUUCAGGGGCUUUCUACAUUAUUUGUGUCUCUUUUGGGGCUAUAGAUUUAUCAAUUUUAAACUGAUCAGUUAUUUUUUUAUGGCAUCUUUUAGAGUGCCAAGUUUUUCUUGGGUACUCCUCUUCCGGGGAGUUACAUCAUUUGAGCUGACAGGUCUACCACACUUUAAGCGUAUCUUAGAUUAAUUUGUUAAUUAUCCUAUAGGGACAUCAAUCUGUGCUAGAGUAUUUGCAGCCGGGAUAUAUGACUUUGUCACUUUCUUUGUAUCAAUGAAUGCAUCUGUAAUUGAUUUGCAAGAUUUUGCAAAUGAGUGAUCCUUUGAACUUCUAGUUCACAUUGAUUUGUGGGGAUCAAGAUGAGUCAAAGUCAAUGCAUUCCAAAUAAUUUUACUCUGUUUUUCUGAAACUGGCUCUUCUCUCCCUAACGACAAGAUAAUUGUCUCAUUAAAAUUAUAAUUUGCACAACAAGUCAUUCUACAUUUUAAGUGUAUAGAUAGACUAGUCACUAAAUAAAAACUUCUGGUUUUAUAAUAUACAUAAAUAUGAUCUUUUACCCUAGGAGACCAAGUUGGUCUUACAAGAUUCUUCUGGAUCUAGUAUCGUAUAAAGUGUCAUUCACAUGGAAUCAAAUACUACUAGUGACAUGGUAUAAGCUCUUCUGGAGCCUUUAAUUAGGUUUCUAUCACCUGAUAUAGUAUUAACAUUGUUUGUCAUCAAUGUUGUGCAAUUAAUGAGAUAAGAGUUUCAUCAAAGUAACAAGUCAUAAAACAUUGUCAUAAAGACUUCGUCUUUAUAGAGUUGAAUAAAUAUUAUUAUAGAGAAAAAGUUAAAAUCAAUGGAAAAAUAUUAGUCAUUGAUGAUAAUUUAACUUAAUAAGUUGUGUAAAAGCAAUGAGAGCACAUAUAACACAAUAAAACAAAUACAAAAAGAUAAUUUAAAGUUAUAUAUUUCGUAAAUAUCUCAUACAUUUGAUUUUCUAAGUAUGGAGUAAUUUAUACAUGAAAUAACUAGGAAGUAUUUCAAUAAUCAAACUAAUUGUAGUAAUGGAUCAAGGUAUGAGAGAGAUUUAUGUAUCUUCAAGUAUAAAUAAAGAAAAGAAUUUAAAUGAUAAAUAAUAAAAUGUGAAAUAAACUAUAAAAGAUGAACAAUGUGUUCAAAGAUGAUAACAAAAUGAACCUAUUUGCAAAGAACUAAAUAAAACAUAAUGUUUAAUCAUAACAAACAUUUCCAUCACCAAUUAGACGGUCAAUUUUCUCAUUAGGAUUCUCAAAGAAAUCUGAAACAUCUAAAUGGGUUAGAUCCACUUGGCCAUCACUAUCAAUGAAGUUCAUUUCUAUUUCUUUUCCUUUUACUUUUAUUGAUACUUGGUAAAGGUCGACCAAAUGUUUGGGCGUACGACAGGUUCGCAACCAAUGCCCUUUCAUACCACAUAUAUAACAAUUAUUCUCAUGGUUCUUAGGAGGUUUAUCUUGUAAACACUUCUCAUUUUCUUGUUUUACCUCAGUAUUAUUCCACUUCUGGUGGUGCAAUGAGGCUUUCAUUUUUUGAGAAUUUGGUGAAUUAUUGCUAUAAGAACUAUGGUAUAGGGGAUUUCUUUCAUGACCACGACCACGACCACGACCACGUCUUCGUCAUCGUCCACGAGUUUGGGACAAUAUUGCAUUCACUUCAGGGAAUGAUUCAGAUCUAGUUGAACAAGACUGAUGAUUUCUCAUCAAAACUCAUUUUUUAUUAAACCUUCAUGGAGAUGAUGACAAAGGAAAAUAAGUGUUUUUGCGCAAUCUUGCAGGGAUGCUUGAUUUCAUUCUUUGAUCAUAGCUUCAAGAUUCAUUGACAAUUUUGUUUUGAAUAACUUCUAGUUAUACAAGAGAAUUAUAAAUUGUAUGCAUAACUUCUGUCUAUGAAACUAUUGUUAAUAAAAAUUGUUUCCCAUAAUUCCUGUUGUAAAAAAUAAGUGAGUACAAAAUAAAAAUUAAAAGCCAAUAUUUUCAUAACUUUGAAUUAUGAUCAUUUUGUUAGAACAAGAAAAUAUGCAAAUUUGUACAUAGCUUCAGGCUAUGAACUAUUUAUGUAUAACUUCUAGUUAUACAAUAUAAUUAAAAGAAAUUAAAUAAAUUAAAAGUUAACAUUUUUCAUAACUUUAGGUCAUGAUUAUUUUGUAAGAACAAGAAAAUAUUUAAAUUUGUACAUAGCUUCAGACUAUGAACUGUUUUUUAUAUAAAUUUGUAUAUAACUUCAGGCUAUGAACUAUUCAUUGUGUAUAUUUGUGCAUAGUUUUAAGUUAUAAACUUUCAUUAUAUAGAUUUAUACAUAGCUUCAGGCUAUGAAUAUUUAUUUAUUUAUUUUAUAGCUUCAGACUAUAUAAUAUUGUUUGGUAUAACAUCCAGUUAUACAGUAUAAUUAAAAAUUAAUAAUUAAGGAUCAUAUACAUAACUUCUGGUCAUAUAUCCAUAAUUCUGUAAUUUUCCCUAUAACUUCUGGUUAUAGGAAUUACACAUAUUUUUCAUUACUUCUACUUAUAAAUUUACCCCAUAACUUCUUAUUAUAAGAAUUAUACAUAUUUAUGUAUUCAAAUAAAAUAAAUGAAAAUGGAGAUCAAAUGGUAAUAAAAUAGAAAAUCAUGAUAUAAGUUUAUCACAUACCUUUUUGUGAGAAAGAAGAAAGAAGAUCUUUCUAAUUUUUCUGAAGGGAAUAAGAAUAACGUCUUUCUAUUUCUCUGAAUAGAAUAACGUCUUUCUAUUUUUCUGAAUAAAGAAAAAUCUUUCUAUUUUUUUUGUAAAGACUACUCGUGUGAUAAUGUGUUGUAAAAUAAUAAAAUGAAAGGAGAAAAAAACAAAAAAAAGAAAUUAGAAUGUAGGAAGAGAAUAAAAUUGAUUUUCAUUAGAGGUAUCUCCCCUUUUAUAGGGAGUCACAAAGAGAUAUAUAUCAAUAUAAAUGACCAUUUACAAGUUCUUAUAAUACAAUAAAUUCUCAUAUUUUAUAAUAUUUUUAAAAUUAUUGUAUUUUUUUCAAAAUCCCUCUCAUACAAUCCAUUCCCUAGAGUCCAGACCGCGGCCCAUUUGAGCUGCUUAAUGUUUUUGCGGUAACGCGGUUAUGCUGGAGCCGAACCGGCGAUACUGGGUAACGGUAACUUGCCAUGUUUUGAGGGCCCCCUUUCAAAACCCUAAAAAAGUAAUCACAACGCUCCAAUUUUCAAAAUUUGAACUAGGCGCCCUUGACAUCUCUCCCAGAUCUCAUCUCCUUCUUUCUCUUAGUUCUCGUUGCCUCUAUUAACAAACCACAAAUCAAUCGAAGAUGGGCGGGGCUCACAGUCGCGAAGAUCUGGAGAUCUCCGAUUCCGAAUCUGAAGAAGAAGAAAACUACCAAGACGUUGUAGAAGAAGAAGAAAAUGGAGAGAGAUCUUCAGAGCGGAGAACCAAGACUCCCUCGUCGCUCGACGAAGUCGAAGCCAAGCUCAGAGCCCUUAAGCUCAAGUACCCCUCUCAAAACCACCCAAUUCUCCCUAACGCCGUCAAGCUCUAUCUUUACAUUGGGGGAAACACACCCAAAGCCAAGUGGGUUACUUCAGAAAAACUCACUUCUUAUUCCUUUCUCAAGACUUGUGGAAAUGGCGGCUCAGACGACGAUGAGCAAGAUGAUGAAGAGGGAGGAGAAUCUUGGUGGAUUUUGAAGGUUGGUUCCAAGGUUCGAGCCAAGGUGGCCCUGGAAAUGCAAUUGAAGACUUUCGGGGACCAGUGUCGCGUUGAUUUUGUGUCACAGGGUGUGUGGGCGAUGAAGUUCUUUAGUGAAGAUGAGUACAGGAAUUUUGUUGGUAAAUUUCAGGAUUGUUUGUUUGAAAACACGUACGGAUUUGAAUCAACAGAUGCCAACAAGCUUAAGGUUUAUGGGAAGGAUUUUAUUGGGUGGGUGAAGCCAGAAGUGGCAGAUGAUUCCGUAUGGGAAGAUGCGGAGGAUGGUUACUUGAAAAGCCCUGAUCCGGCAACUCCUGCGAGAGCAAGUCAGGAUUUGAGGGAAGAGUUUGAGGAGGCUGCCAAUGGAGGGGGGAUACAAAGUUUGGCAUUGGGUGCAUUGGACAACAGUUUCUUGGUGAACGAUUCUGGGAUUCAGGUUGUAAAGAAUUUCAGCCAUGGGAUUCAGGGGAAAGGUGUAUUUGUGAAUUUUGAUAAUGGGAAUCGUAGAGGUGGUUUUGGCUUGGAGCAUUCGACACCAAAAAAGGCUCUUCUUAUGAGGGCUGAAACUAAUAUGCUCCUUAUGAGUCCCAUGACUGAGGGGAAGCCCCACACAAGGGGGCUUCACCAUCUUGAUAUUGAAACUGGGAAGAUUGUUACGGAGUGGAAGUUUGAGAAGGAUGGGACUGAUAUUACCAUGAGGGAUAUUACAAAUGACAGUAAGGGAGCCCAGAUGGAUCCUUCGGGAUCCACAUUUUUAGGAUUAGAUGACAACAGGCUCUGUCGGUGGGAUAUGCGUGAUAGAAAUGGGAUGGUUCAGAAUCUAUCAGAUGCUAGUACCCCUGUAUUGCAUUGGACCCAAGGUCAUCAGUUCUCUCGGGGUACCAACUUUCAGUGCUUUGCAACAGCUGGGGAUGGAUCAAUUGUUGUUGGGUCUAUUGACGGGAAGAUCCGACUGUAUUCAAACAACACUAUGAGGCAGGCAAAAACUGCUUUUCCUGGCCUUGGUUCACCUAUCACUCAUGUGGAUGUUACAUUUGACGGGAAGUGGAUAUUGGGCACAACAGACACCUAUUUGAUCCUCAUCAGCACUCUUUUCAUUGACAAAGAAGGAAGGACAAAGACUGGUUUUGCUGGGCGUAUGGGGAAUAGAAUCUCAGCCCCAAGAUUGUUGAAGCUCACUCCUUUGGAUUCGCAUCUCGCUGGAGUAAACAAUAAGUUCCGCGGUGCUCAGUUUUCGUGGGUAUGUUUGCACCUUCUCUUUCUCAUAUUUACGUUUGCUAGUAUUUUUUUUUAUUUUUCUUGUUGCCAGCCUGCGGUUUAAUGUAUUUCACUAUUCAUUUCUUGUUUUGGCUAUUCACAUUGGAAAAUAGGGGCUUUCUUGAUAUAUCUUCUUGACCAGAUUUGUUGUUGAAUUACUCAGUGUUAUUAUAAUUUUUGUAUUUCUGCUUGAUUCCACCUUUUCUCUGAUAAGGAAUUCUUGGAAUAUCAUUUUUUUUUCACUCUCAUUAUUAUUUGUGCUUUUAUUUUCUUGAUUCAGUACGUAUUCUUGAGUAGAAGUUUCCUUGCAUCAAUGACGGUCUUAGGAUUUACUCCAAUAUUUGACUGUUGAUUCAAUUGCAUAUUUGCAAAAUUCUAGGCUGCUAACUGUAUUUUAUGAUAAGGUUGGAUAUUUUGGUGAGUUUAUUAAGUAAGAUUGCGUUUGAUGUGCAAAGAUUGUGGAUUUAUUGCAAAUCUUCCAUGUAAGGAUGUCUGAGUUUAUCUGUUUAUGAGAAGCCCACUAUGAAUUCUUGAAGAAAUUUAUUAAAAGAGUUAACACAAGAAUCAUUUUGUUUACCUAUUACUUAUAUUCUUGAAGAAAUAUUCCAUUGGAGCAUAGUUCUUGCAUGGCAUCCCAUUGAAGACCAUUGUCCAUUGUAAAUCAAAGUGAUGGAUUGUUUUCCACCGGGUGGUCCACUCAUGGUUCCAUUCUUUUAACCUGGGAUUUUGACUCUGUGAAUGUAUCUGAAGUUCAUUGUAAUUGUAUAUCUAAGAAACUUAUUUCUUUAUGGCCAGAUUGGAUCAAAUAUUUUCCAUGUAGUACAGCUAACCAGUUGCUUACUUGAGCAUUUUGAUUGCCUAAUAAAUGCGUUGACUUUAAAAAUGUGCGAAGUAACUAAUAUUUUUUAUAACCUUGCCAUCAUGUAUGAUUUUCAAUUGAAUGGUGCUUUUUUUUUUAAUGGUAUUAGACUGAUAUUCUAGUGUUUCUCAACCAAAGGGCACUUGUUGAAGCCUGUUUCAUUUGUUAACUAGUAACUGUCUCAAAUAUGGUUGAUGAGCUUUCCACAAUGUGUUUUUUGAACUAGAGACGCUAGCAGGAUAAUGGAGGAAGUUGAUUGUUACAUUAUCAAAUCAAUCCAUGCCUUAAUAAAAAAAUUAACAAAUAUCUUUAAUCCAAAAUUUGAAAAUUCCAUUAAGUUGUUAAAACUUCAAAGUUAAUCACAUCCAUUUUAAUUUGAAUACCUUUUUUCUUCCAUUUUCUUUGGUUUUCAUUAUGUUGAAAACUCAAAGACAAGUAUAAAAAACUUUUGUCGCAUAUUGUCAAGCAAUGCAUAUUUAAUCCUCUCCAAGUAUUUAUAGAAGGGUGGAAGGUUCUAGAUCUUGGCCUUCUGACAUAUUUUCUCAAGAUCUUCAAACUGAAGCUUCUACAAAUGGUUGAAACAUUCUAUUAGAUUUUGAAUUAAUAUAGAUUUCUCUCAAAUUGAGCAUAAGGUUUUCAAUUAGUGUAGAAUUGGAGUACUAGAAUUUUAAACAUAUAGCUACUGUCUAGAGGUUGUGGAAUCUCCAACAUCAGGCUUCUAGGGAGAGUUCCUUGGAUAGCUAUUAUAGGUGACUGUCACACCUCAUUGGCAAAGACACCAAGAGUUUAGAACACAUGAUAAGUUACCUUUCUGGUAUAGGAGACUUCUUUGCAUCUGCUUAGCUUUGUCAAGGUUGGUUUUGUGAGAUCAAGAAAGCUUGAGUAAUCUAAUGAUGCUCGGGUGCUGGGAAUCUUGCAAAUAUAUAAGUUAUGUUCCAAAGCUUCACCUAGAAGUUACUAGUUUUUAAAUAAUAAAAAGUCUUAAAUGCUUUUAUUCCAAUGAGGAUAAAAGAAAACAAUAAAAGAAUUUAUAGUAGCAAGUUGUUAUAGUUGUUGAGAUCAUUUUGUAAAUUAUGUAGGAAUGUUUAAUAAUUUCCUAUUAUAAAUACAAAUCUUUCAAUCCAAAAGUUUUUACUUUUGCACUAUGCCUUACCCUAAUUAUUUUCUUAAUUUUCAUUUUAUCUCUGCAUCAGAAGUUUUGUUUUCUCCUGCCUAUUUCCUGAAACAGGAUUAGUGAUGCAGAAGUUCCCAUUUCUUUUUAUUGUUAAAUAGUUUUUGCUUUUCCGCUGAGCAAGUUUGGUAAUGUAUUCUUUCUUAUACAUGCAGCAUGUUUCUCUUAUAUCCUUAUGAUUGGUUCUUUGGCUUUUAACUGUCUUGUGGUCCAACAUUUUGAAAUUCCAUAGGUCACAGAGAAUGGGAAGCAGGAGCGCCACCUGGUUGCCACAGUAGGAAAGUUUAGUGUGAUAUGGAAUUUUCAACAGGUGAAGAAUGGCUCCCAUGAGUGCUACCAUAAUCAGGAGGGCCUGAAGAGCUGUUACUGCUACAAAAUUGUUCUCAAAGAUGACUCCAUAGUUGAUAGCCGCUUCAUGCAUGACAAAUUUGCUGUCAGCGAUUCUCCUGAGGCUCCACUUGUGGUUGCUACCCACAUGAAAGUGAGCUCCUUCAGUAUAUCCAGCAAGCGAUGACAUUCCAAAACAUGUCCCUUAUGUUACUUUAAUUCAUCUUUAGAACUUUUGGAUUGUACUUUAUGUAGCUGCUUUGCUACUUGAAAUGUUUUCAAGAAUGACUUUCCUAACUGUAAUAUGAUUUCGUACAUGUUUGUAACUCAUUGCAAGCCCAGCAAUUUUAUUAUGGUAGUAAUUUCCAAAGACAUCACUCUUUGUACAUUUGAUAUUGGCAGUGGCUUUUAAAUGUCAAAUGGAAUAUUGGAGGACAAAAUGAUGAUUUUAGUUGGACUGCAGCUGAAUCCGUAUUUGGACAGAUCCAGAGCAGUAAAUCAAAGGGCUCAAAGUGAAUAAGUGGGCCCGUGUUAUCAGGAUUCUUUACAGGGUUGGAUACUAGAUGUUUUUAAGCCUCAUGUUUAUGCCUUUGCUCUUCUGGUGAGGAGUUGCUGUCAGAGGGAGAAAAAAAUGGCCAUUACAGUAGGCACAGGCUUUCUUGUUCAGCCCUCAUCUUCUCUAUCUUUGCUUGGAAGGAAAUCAUGUAGACCCACAUUGGAUGUAGCUUACAGGUUCUUGCCUGCUAGACCUGGACCUAGCCGCUUCAGUCAUGGGACUGUGGUUCAGGCCCAACAACGGCCAACAUGGCUUCCUGGACUUGAUCCUCCACCUUACCUUAAUGGAACGUGAGCUCUUAAUUCCUAGUCAAUAAAACUCAACCCCAGAUAAAGACUGUAGAUUGGUUUUAAUUCUAUCAUAAUUGUUGAUGGUGUUUUGUAGUUUGGCUGGAGAUUUUGGGUUCGACCCACUUGGACUGGGAGAGGACCCAGAAAAUUUGAGAUGGUAUGUGCAGGCAGAACUGGUUCAUGCUCGCUUUGCCAUGGCUGGAGUUGCUGGAAUUCUUGUGACAGAUGUGAGUAUUUCAGCAAGUUCUCUGGACUUUGUUUUUCUUCUGCCUUCUCUGUUUUCUUUUUGGUUGUCAUACAAGAAUUUCAGUCAUAAAAAUGCACUGAGCAGUAAUAAAACAAGUUUUUUGGAAUAGGUAUAUAUAUCAUGUUGGUGAAUCUGGAAGAACAAUUGGAAUUCAAUCAAUUAUCUACUUUUGAGAUGGGAUUGAAGAUGAGUCUAUUGGGUUUAGACUUGUUCAACAGAGGCAUUUUAGGAGUAAAAAUAGAGGGAAGUAAAUCCUGGGACUUGGCGAUGGGGGCAGCUCAGUUGAAUUCAUUUUCAAAAUAGAUUCCUGAAUUGUAUGUCACAUGUAUUCUUUCAAGAGAUUAAUUUAUACAAAUAUUACACACAAAAAAAAAAUUAAAAAAAAAUCCCUCAAACCGUAUCCACUGAAUUUUCUUUUCAGUACUACCAGAUACGGAUAUGAUAGGCAUCGUUUUGAUUGAAAAGAUUUUAAUUCAUUGAUUGUCAUGAAUUUUCUGGGCAAAUUGGCCAAGAUUAUAUUUCUUACCUUUAUUCCACCCCUUAGUUCUUGAGUACUUCUCUGCAGUUACUCCGAGUCACAGGAAUCAGCAAUUUACCAGUCUGGUAUGAGGCGGGCGCUGUUAAAUUUGAGUUUGCAAGCACGGAAGCUUUGUUCAUAGUCCAACUAAUUCUGAUGGGGUAGAAUCUUUGUCAAUUCUCAGUCUUUUAAACUGUUCUGUUUCUCUCAAAAAAUCCAUUUGAAUGACAAACGAUCCCAAAAGAGAAGCAUGAAAAGAGAUUCCUAGUUUUCAGUCUAUGUUCUUUCAUCCUGUCUAUAAGAUUCCGACACAAUCUCCAUUAACUUUUAUGUAAUUGGAAUUUGUUGUAUGAUGCCCAUUAAUAAUGCAGAUUUGUUGAAACCAAAAGGUAUAUGGAUUUCACUAAUCCUGGAUCUCAGGCAAAGGAAGGAUCUUUCUUUGGAUUGGAAGCAGCACUAGAAGGCUUAGAACCCGGGUUUGUUUCAAUGCUUUACAUCUUUAUCCAUAUCCCUUGGAAAGUUUCAAAUGUUGCUUCAUUAGUCUAAUCAUUCUAAUAUUACAUUAAGAUUAUCUCAUCAUAUCAUAUUAAGUCUUAUAUCUAUCUUUUAGUACGCUUUUUUGGCCCAGUAUGUUCAUGUUGCCAACCACAAAUACCUACAUAAGCCACAAUCACUCUUUUCUCCUCAAAGUUGAUUUGAAUUUAGUAAGUUCUUAUAAUGCCACGACAAUUAACUAACAGAUACCCCGGUGGUCCUCUGCUAAAUCCUCUUGGCCUGGCUAGGGAUAUCAAAAACGCGCAUGACUGGAAGCUCAAGGAGAUCAAGAAUGGUUUGAUUUGCUCUUCCUUUUUUUUUUUUUGCUCGUUGGGUUUCAGAUAGAUCUUCCUUGUGGCCCCUUAUUAUUAUUAUCUUAAUGGGUGUUUAUGGUGAAAGUACUUCUCCAUUGCAGGACGGCUGGCAAUGGUAGCCAUGCUGGGAGUUUUUGUGCAAGCUUCUGUAACUCAUGCAGGCCCAAUUGAGAACCUGGUGGAGCACCUCUCCAAUCCAUGGCACAAGACUAUUAUUCAGACAAUUUCCUCGACUUCUUAAAAUAUCAAUCGAGUUGGCUCUCUAUUAUUAAGCUUUACAAAUUCAAAUGUAAAUCUCUUCAUUACCUUGUUCUAUCAAUUUUUCUUUUUUUUUUUUAAAAAAAAAACCUUUUUACCUUAUGCAAAAGUCAAAUUGAGGUUCGUGGUCAGCCUUUUAGUUGAUAAUUGGGAUCCUUAUUAAUUUUUUAGAUGCUAUAAGUAAUUUCUUACCAUGUCGUUUCUAUACAACUUCUUAUAAGAAUAUUAAGCUUUUAAAAAUAAAUUAUAUAAAAAUAUGUAUUUGAAGUUUUCUAAAAAUGUUAAAAUUUUUUAAAAAGGAAAAAAAAAAGUCAUCAAAGUUCUCUAAAAAUGGAAAAAUGAAUAAAAGCGAAAAAUGUCUAAAGUUUGUUGAGAAGAAUAAAAGUUCUUCAGGCGGCUGAUGGGAUUGGAGGCAGUGACCCAAGGAUGACAUUAAAACCACAGUCCUCCGCUCUUCCAACCGGCUUCUGUAAAGAUAUUGAAGGAAGCAUUUUGUACAGGAGAAGAGUCGGCAGAAUAAAUAGAGAAGUUGCAGUUGAAUGUUGCAGUUUUCAACCGAGAAGAAUGGAGUACCUAACAGACUAACACCAAAAUCUUUCGUUAAAACCAAACUCUUACCAGAUACAUAACAGGGGUUGAGAUUUGAAGUAGCAAUCCUAUACACUACACAGCAAUUUUAUUCUCUUUCUCCAGCCAAGCACUGCUAACAACUUAUUAUCUCUUCUCAAGCCCCAUCAACAGAUAUAAUCCUUCUGAUCAAAAUUACAAUCCAAUCAACUUAUCAUACAUAAAAUAAUCACCAACAUGUACAUCACCUUAAAACUUUCGUCAGAUCAAAUCCACCUAUUCUGGUUGCAGCAGUAGGGGGGGGGGGAAAGCAUAUCUUGGUAUGAAUAGAGCAGUUAUGUUGACUUUGAUGAGUGUGACUUUCUUCUGGUGAAGAACAUGAAGAACCGGGGGAACAUUGACCUCUUCUUUUUCUUCAUAGACUUUGUUUCUGGAGAUGAUUCGGUUUCAGUGCUAUUUCCUUGCAUAUAUGGCUUUGGGCUAGCCCUGUAAUGGAUAGCAGCUGCAGGUUCUGGGCCCCGGUCAAAGUUCUUUGAUUCUUUCCUCUCUUCCAAGCUUCUGUCCUCAAAACUCUUCCUGGGACUUCUGAUUGGGUUUACCACUCCUUGACCAGAUUCAGAAGCCUUGCGCCGCUGCUCAUGUUCUGCCCUCCACUUUCUCAACUCUUGCUCCACACCCAACUUCCCUUCCUUGGCCUUCUCAGCCUUCUCCAAUGCAUGGUUUAAGGCUUCCUUUCUAGUAGCCAACUCCUGAUUGACUGCUUCCAGCUGAUCCAAACUUCUAAGCUCGGACUCCUUUGCUACCUCAAUUUGGGACAUGGCAGCCACCACCCUCAUGUUGGCCUGCUCCUCCGCCUCAUGGGCUCGCUUGCUUAGUUCAUAGUACUCUUCUAAAGCAAGUGUUACUCCAGUAGGUGAAUCCUCAUCAUUGGUGUCUCGAGCUGAUUCACUCUCCUGCAGUGCUUUGAUAGCUGCUAGUGCCAACUUCUCUGAAGCCUUGGCAGCUUCUAUCUCCUUUUGAGCUGCUAAUAAUCUACUCUCCAUGGUACUUGCUCCAGCCUUGGCUUGCUCGGCUUCUUCCUUUGCCUUCCGCAGCUCCUCCCAAGCCAUUUGGGCUAGUGACUUCGCCUGAUCUGCCUCUUGAGCAGCUUGCUGUAAUUGCUUGGGAAGCUCUGCCAUCUUCUCUCUGGCUUCUCUCUCCUUCAUUUGAACUAGAGCUAUCUCUGACUUGGUACUAUUCAGCUCAGCUUCAAGAGAUGCAGCUGCCACUGAUGCUAUUCCUUCUCUCUGCCUAAUUGUGGCUAGUGCUGACUUUUCUUUUUGAAGCUCUGAUUGUAAUGAUGUGGCUGCCACCUUCAAAUAAUUGACCUCAGUUGUUGCUUUCUCAAUAUUGAGCUUCACUUCUUCAAGUUCCUUCUUGGCUGAAGCAAUUGCUGCUUGUAGAUCAGUAUGAGUUUUCUUCUCAGGUUCUUCUAGCUCACCCUGCAAGUGUUCUUCAUUGGUUUCCUGCUUCAAUUUUGAUUCCAUGUAGGCUGCUAAUUCAGCUUUUAAAUCAAGCAACAGGGCUGAAGCAGUGUCUAGUUUUGAUUUGAGAUCCUUCCUAGACACAACUUGCUCAUUAAGUUUCUGCAGCUCCUCUUCUGCCUGUUUCAAUUCCUUUUCCCAAUUGAGAGAAUCUUGCUCUUUCACCAUAGCCAUUCCAAUUCUUUGUUCCUCUGCCUCCAGAUGGGUGGCGUGUGCAGAUUCUAAGGCUUCCUUUGUGGCAAUCAACUCAAUAGUCAGUUCCUCCACUGUCUUCUCAAUUUCCUUAGACGCUGAAACAGCCUGCUCAGCCCUCUUCACAGCCACAUCUUUCUCAGUCACCAAAGAAGCAUAUUCCUUACGCAGUGCUUCCAAUUCAUCUUUCACAGCUUUUAAAUCUGCAACUGCAGCUGCAUGUCUGGCUUUAGCAACUUCAAGCUGUGCUUUGGCUGCAACACUAGCUUCAUCAGCAAUUCCUUGCUCCAUCUCUUCCACCCUGAGUUUGGCAAGUUCUGAGUCCUGUUUUGCCUGAUGUUCUUCAGUUUGUGCUCUCUCUAAGUUCAGCUUCAAUUCUUCUAUGAGUCUCUUUGUGCUGUCCAGCUCCUUUAGUGCUUGAGUUUUUGCAUCUUCAGCAUCCUCAGCCUGUUUCCUAUAUUCAGGAAUAUCCUCCCGUGCUUUCUCAAGUUCUCGCUCCACAAGCUUGCGCCUCUGCACAUCCAUGGAAGAAAUUUAAAGUUAUUUUUUGAUGGAUGUGGAUGCAAUCCCUGCUCGUGGGGACAGUGUUGCACAGAACACAACUAUUGGUUAAGUGCUAACUCUAAUUUGUGCAUUCCAAUUUCCAAACAAACCUCAGAUCCUAUGACAGAAAAAAGAGGUAAGGUGAAUAAAUUUCAGAAAGUAUAAUUGUAUACCCAAAAGAUAAAAAGAACCUAACAUCUAUCAUCUUUUUCUUCCUUCUUUCCCAAACAAAACUGAAAAAUGAAAUCAAAAUAAUAAUGAUAACAACAACAACAACAAUAAUAAUAAAGGCAACCAGAGCAUGAAAUAGAAAUUGCACCAACAAAUUAAUCAACCAAUCAAAAAUAAAUAAAUCUUGUCAGAAGCCAGUCCAACUCAAUUAAAAUCAAGGUACAGUCAGGUUAGGCUUCCAAAAGAACCUCUUUGUAUUUGGGUAAUUUGGAAGCAGAAAAGCAAAAGAAAGAAGAAAGGAGAAAAAAAGAUCAAUGCUGGGCAACGAACUUAAAAACUACUUUUCUGAAAGAAAGGGAACAUAAUUUGCUUUUCCGUAAAAUCGAAAUGCAACUGCUCUAGAUUUCUGCCUUUUCCCUAUUACUGCCUCCUCCAACAAACUGUCACAUAGCAAUCACAACCACCUCCACCAUUGUCUCUGCCACCAGCACCAUUAUAGAUGUCAUCACAUAAUGUAAACAGCACCAUACAAUAUAAUUGUCUCAUCCACCACCACUGCAACUGCAGCCACCAACACCAUGUUUGGCUCUACAACUUUGACACCACUGCCACAGCAGCAAUUUCCGCCUCCUCUACUGCCGUCAGCACCCUCUUCAUCAAUGAAAGUAUUCCUAAAAUGCCAUCACCUCUCCACUGCCUCUAUACCACCAUUAUCAUUGCCAUCAUCAUCAACACCAUGCAAUUUUCAUGUUCAGUAAAUACCAAUAUAGAACAGAAUUUAAAAACACGCUUUUCACUGAAUUCCUAGAAAUAAGCAAGAAAGUAAACACAAUGCCUUUUCAGUUUCUCAAAAGUAUUUUCAAAGUGUGCAACCAACGCAUGCUUGAGGUAAGAAAAUGUUAGGUGUCCAAACCACAAGGAACAUGUUAAAAUGAGAUUAGUAAUCCAAGAUAAUGACAAGAGUGGAGAAACAUAAAUACCUCCACUGUCUGGAUUCUAUGGGCUUUCCAAUCAACAAUUCCUCCAAACUUGGAAACUGCUUCUUUAACAGAUUCAAAAGGCGCUGCUGUAUCAACAUGGGCCCUGGUUACGUCAAACUGUUUUACAUGUUUAGAAGCGCUGAAAGGUUCUGGUGUUCCAACAGCAGCAUUGGAAAACAUCACUUGCGGCAGGGAAAGCUCAUCGGAUUGCCCAACAUGGUCAUCACCAGUAGAAUCUCUGAUCUCAGGGGAGGAAGCAGAAGGAAUAACAUCAACGUGAACAUGGGCAUUGGUAACAAAAUUACCAUCACAAGAUUGUGGUCCAUCAGAGGUAACAACUCCUGUUUCAGAAUCUCCUUUAACUGUACCCGGAUGGUCAGGCUCUGCCUCAUCAACUGUAACAGGGGACAUUGGAGUAGAAAUGUCUGUUGGAGGUAGUUGAUCUUGUCCCAGUGAUGGGGUAUCAGAAGCAUCAACAGCUGCUAAUUUUGAAGUAUCCACUGUUAAUGCUUCUGAGUUAGAUUCCACUUCUCCAUUAAUAACUGGGCUGAUUAGACUUUCAUUAGAGGAAUGAUUAUUAUCUUGGGAGGAUAAAGAGGGUUCAGUUGGAGACUUCUCUUCAGCAUUUUUUGCAUCCUCCAUCCCAACAAGUGCUAGAAGUGCCUAUCUGAAACAAUAAAACAUUAGCCCACCCUCCAAAAAAAUAAGGAAGAAGAAGAAAGAAAAAAAAAAUGAAAAAAUUACCAAAAACCAUUGCCUAACUCACAAGUAUUCCUCAAAAUAUUUGUAUUUUAAGAAUUAAACUUCAUAUGUUUGGUAUAGGGGAAAGAAAAAAUUUACCUGAAACACCUUAGAAGUCUAGAAUUGGAACUUUCAUAGAAACUCAACAAGUUUAAUUCCAAUGAAGACAGAUAUGUCACAGAUUAUGUAUACUUGUUUGUAUCUAUUAUUCCUCUCUUUUUUGUUUUAGGUCCAAAGAUCUGCACGAUAUGAGGGACUCAUAACCCCAAACCUUGAUGAGGACAAAUUUGACUCCUAGUCUCUAGUACAAUCCCUGAAAUCUAAAGGACUUUACUACAGCCUACUCAGCAUUAUCAUCAUCAUUUUUAGUCAUUGUCUUAGGAUUGAAAAAUGAGAUUGAGAAAUUUGGGACAGAAGGAAGAUAGACAGUAGUGUGAAAGAGAACAUGUUGAAUGCCAAGCCAGGCAGCCGGGCCUUGUGGGCAAGAUUAGCCAUAAACACUUAGCCAAGUUUCCCUUUAGUAGUUAAAACACAAAAAUAAAAACAAAGUGAUGGGAAAGCUCAGGGAGCAGGUGAGAGAGGGGAAUGAGAGGAGAAAAUGUAGGAUUGGUGCCAACAGAUGACCUAGACUGGUCACUACCUAUCUCACAGUUGAGAGAGGGAGCAAAGGUGUGACGGAGAUCAUGAGGCAAUGAAGCAAGGGAGAUAUAGGGCCCAGCAAACUGAAAACCAUUUGUAGAUAUGAUUUUAGAUAUGCACACAGGAUCAUUUGACUUAAUCAUUUUGUGUUUCACAAGACUGCAUUCAAGCAGAUCUCCUUAUGUUGUUUUACAUAUCCAUGAUGUGUGAAAUUUAUUUACUCCCAGAAAUACAAAAAAGAAGAAAUGAGUGCUAAAAAUAAUGAUGCAUUUUGUUUACACUAACUAAAAGUUGCAAAGAGUUUCAUGCCAAGUGUCCAAGUGUACAUGACCAAAACCUUUAUUUUCUAAAGAUAUGAUAAAAAAGUGAGACUAUCCAUCAUGUUACCAAUUGGCAAAGAAUUAACUUUAUUUAUUUUGGAACAGCCAGUGGUAACCUUCUGCUAUGUUCAUAUUUAUGGUGAACUCCUUUAAAGGCUCAGGUUUUUAAUAAAGUGUACUACAGAAUAUGGCCUUCAAUUUGAAUUCACGAAUGAAACCGAAAAAGGUUUGAUUUUGGAAUAAAUUAAUACUACUCUAAUAAACAUUUGGUAUUGUCUAGUAUUUUUGGUAACCUAAGCUCUUGAAUUGACCUCUAAAUUGUAGUUACUUUCCAUUUUUUUAACCAAAAAAUUACCAUGAGCAUGCAUUAAAUGCCUACAUUAUGUCAAGUAUAAUAUUAAAUCAAUUGACUGCAGAAAAUGCAGAAAAUACAUAAGUACAACCUCUAAUAUAUCACUUGAGUUACGAGAUAAGCAACACUAGUGUGGUUUGAAUAAUGUAUCCCUAUACUGUUUGUUGAAAAAUAUGUUCUUGAAAAAGAAUGGAAAUUAAAGUUUGCACAAAUCCUCACUAUUUCUAAUAAAACAUUCCUCACCUUUCUCCAAUAAAUAUCAUUUUUGUCCCCAAGUGGUUCUGAUUAUUUAGUGACAGCAUCAACAUCCUAUCCUCUUAAAAUAUCAAGCUUCUAAUGUGCAAUAAGAUAUUUACCCGGAGAGUGAAAAAAUCUCUAUCUAUCUGGAUGCGUCACAUGAUAUAUCUCUACUACCAAAUUUAAGGAAUCUCCCAUUGUAGUCCCUACCAAGUUUGAUCUUAAUUAUAUCUUUUACAAAUAUGAGAAAUGAAUAAACAUAGUCCUCAAUCUCUCAUCCGCAUAGUUGUGCAGCAGAAUUCCUUAUUUCCACAGUUUGCCAUUUAGCUUUACCCAUGUCCAAAUGUUUGUUAUAAUCACAUAUCAAUGUAUCCUUUCUCACAACCUCAACUCACAUCCUUUUUGGUCUUCCUUUUCUUGUGAAAACACCUUCAACUUGAACCAUGAACCUUCUUAAGGGUAGUUAUUAAGUCACCUUUGCACAUGGCCACAAUCUAAAUAAACUUCUAACUGUGCAUAUCCCAUACCUACAACAUUGAGAAAAAAAAAGAAGUGGAAAUACUGUUUUCUGUAGGCUUUCCAUGCACACAAAAUUAGCUUUUAUGACUGGUAAAAUGAAACAUUUUCAGUUAAAUAAUCACAAAUCUGAAUCUUCUUUUGUACACAACCCCAAUCCAUAACGAUAUCUAUGUUGAAAAGAAAGCUUUCCAAAUUCUGUAGCGAUUUUGCCAACCUUGCCAGAAGGUUUAUCGACCACAAUGAUUAAAACUAAAUCACAUACAAAUCUCUACAAAUUAUGUUUAAUUCUGUUAAUAAUGGAUUUCUUUUAAAAUUUAAUAAUUCUAAACUAAUAAAUGGCACUUCCAAAUGCAAGUGUUUUGAAUACACUAAGACCAUAAAAAACUUCCACAGAUAAAUUCCACCACAAUUACUCAGAGUCUCACUUCUCAUCCUUCACCUUUAGUCGUCUUGUUAUUCACUUGAGUUGUUGUCUACUCACAUAACCUUUAUCGUUAUCAUAUCCUCACUGGCUCAUGAUCCUUUUCAUUGAUUUCAACUCUUCAUUCAUUAAUUUAUACGUGUCACAACCUAUACAAGCAGAUAAUAAUAAAACCAAUAAUAAUUAAUAAGCAGUAAUAAAUAAGGAAAAAAAAACUCAUUUCUUCACAGAAUACCCAUUUAUGAUGUGUGCAGAAAAACCAUUUCAUGAUCCUGAAAAUAAGAUUGAAUCUCAGAGUAUUGUCUCAAAAGGGAGGUUGUAACUACUUGGAGCCUACUAUCCUCACAAAAAAAAAGAAAAAAAAAAAAGACCUUUUUGCUACAAAUCAAAUUAGCUUAAUCUUCUACAUAAACAACAGCUCAUGGAUGAGAAUGUAUCAUCAGAAUCCACUACGGCCCGUUUGGUUGCUGAGAUUUCUUAGGAGAAGAAGAAAACGCGGAAUAUAACAACAGCAACCCCAGCCCCAAUCCCAACCUUUAGUUUAAGAUUCCAAAUUCAGGCUUCUUUUUCGGGAAAAAAAACCAGCCAAGCAAACCGAGAAAAAAUGGACAAACGAAAUCAAAAUCAGAUUCGCGAUGAACUGUAAUCAGAACUGCUCAACCCCAAAAAUGAAUAAUUCUUCAUGAAUCUCAAUACAUGCCUUCGGAAUUCAAGGUAUAUUCCAAAUCAAUAAAUUCCUUUGUUUGCCGCUGAAACUUCAAUUUAUUUCUACAAACUUUUAAGACAAUCAAAACUGAUCGUUACAGUUUAAUCAGAAACUAACGAAAAAUCACAUCAAUUAAAUUGUAGAUUCGGAAAUUACAACAAAUUAAAAUAAUUAAGUUAAAACAAAAGAUCAAAACCAAAAAAGAGAAACAGAAAAGAAACGCACCUGAUUGACGAGAAACCGAAAAGAACAAAAAAAAAACGACCGAGCAGAAUUGAAUCGCUAUUAAUGUUCUCUGAAAUAAAAAACCAAAGAUUAUUAUUCAAUUUAGGAUUCAAACUAAGGUGGAAAAUCACUGAUAUAAAUAGGAAAGGCAUAAUAACGGAGGCCAUACACGUGCGUGGAGCCUACUCCUUCUCACACUUGAGAUCCAUCUGUAUAAUCUCUGCUUCUCUCUUUUCCAGAUUGGAUUUUCCUUCUACUAUUUUCUCAUCCUUUUUUUCUUUCCUUAUUUUAAAUUGUGGUUUUUAAAUUUUUGGAUGAUGAUUCACGUAGGUGAGCUCAAUUCCUCUCUUUUAAAGAUAUAAAAAUAAACAAAAGUCACCGCCCAGCGGGAAUCAUGCCCGAACUUCCCGUUGGAACGCGUGAGCAGAACUCGCUCUUUGCUGGACUCUUGUACCCCGUGAGUUGUUUUAAUUACAAUUUACAAGUUGUUUUGUCUGUGGAAUGGGCCAUGGGCAGCGUGGUUAGUUGUGUAGCGGAGAUGGUGUUUGUUGAUAGGAUUUUAUGCAUGCGCGUUGGAUAACAAUCUGGCAUAUGGUCAAAAUACCCACCGUUGAAGAGGGUGGGGCCAGCCUUACGUCAGGGCACCGAUGUGUGUUCACAUUCGAGAAUCGUUGGAUCAGUCGCGGGCCGUGUAAAAAGGGCUUUUGAUUUUGGUAGUAGGAUGUGUGAGAAGGCCCGGAUUUUGUUUGAAAUAUUUUAUUUUAUUUUCUGUGAAGCAGCGGGACAGGAGGGGGUCUGUCUACAGUAGCAGCCUGGACAGGAACAUGGGAUAUUUCGGAGGGUUUCUUUGACAUUUUUUGGGUUCUAGUUGGGCUUAGCAAGCCCAAUGUCAACCAUUAAACAAACAUUAUUUGAAUUGGGCUCAAACCCAGUCCAAGAGCUAGAGCUUGUGCUGCUUGCACCAUUAUUGGGCUCCAACAUAAUUAGGGUACACAUGUAUAUAUGUAAUCUUGGGCGGCAUCUUAUCCAUGCCCGAGUACUAGGGAAAUUCAAUGAAAUCUAAGUCGCAGUUGAAUUUAUGAAAUGGAAGGCGGAGUUUUCAACACCUGAUGAAUAGCCUACCGACUAAGUAAGCAAUAAGUGAAAUUGUUUCGCAAAGCUUAUACGGGAAUAUCAUGAGACAGAAACAUAGAAUUGGUGGUAGGUGUACCUAAAUAGCUUUAGUUAAUUUGAUCAACCAACCACAUAUCACUUUCCGCGUUACUUUCGUGAAUCAUUAUCAUCACUCUUUGUCUUGCACCCAGUUGUUUUUCUUAUGCUCCACCAACCGCCUGGGCCACCCCCCAAUAUUGAACUCCAUAGCUGGGAUUAUAAUCAUAAAAGUGGGUUAGAAAAGAAACAAAAGCAACGGCUACCUUGGUCCAGGCUUCUGUCUUGUGUAUGUUUCUAUUUCAUGCGUAGUAAUUGAGGCUUUCCUUAAAUUACUCCCAAACCAUAGUAUGGGACACAUGGUGUUUUUUUAAUGGAUCAAGCUCAACUGAAAUGAUUCAUGGUCUGGUAGUCACUGUUUUUUUUUUUUUUUUUUGUGUGUGAAAUCUUUUGUAUGGGACUACUAUUCACUCAUAAAUUAUACGGGGAAAACAUUACGUACACAGUCCAUUCUAUAUAUAAUGAAAAAAUAAAAGUAGAAAUGAUGAUGAUCAAAGAAACCGUCUGGGAUCCGUAACGUUGAUACUCCAAUGCUGGUUACGUAGUCCCCUUUCUCCAGCCACCUUUCUAUCCCAUGCCAACUCAAUUUUUCUCCGCUCCGAUAACCCGCAAAAUGUCUGCAAGCUCUCAUCCAUGGCAUCGUGAAGCUUCCACCAUCUGUGGUGGGCGACAUCACUUGCAUACACAAGCUGGUUUUCUAUGUCCCAAUUACAAUCAUAGUCCCUGUAGCAAAGCCAGGGCUUUAACCCUAGAUAAUGUAUGGAAUAAAGUUUGGGCGGGUCUGAACCAAAGAGCUGGUUCUUCACGCCAGCUUCAACUGUACUGUUGGACCAAAAGUUCUUGAGGAAAUUGACUCUCUUGGGGAAGCGAUGCCACCAGACGAAGACUUCGUUAAGAAAACCUUGGUCACCGCCGUUGUAGGAAACUAUGUCUUUGAUAUGAUUCAUGAGGAUCCGAAAGGUGCAGUUGGAAGGUUCGAUUGUCAUGAUGCCGGAGUUGAAGAUGGAGCCGUCGUUGCCGGUGGCGGACAUUUGAGGGAAGUGGAAGAGGAGAUCGAGAUUGCGGAGAACGAUGAUGUCGGCGUCAAUGAAGAUGAUCUUGUCGUAUUCGGUGAGCUGCCAUAACCUGAACUUACUGUAGUUGUACUCAUUGUAGGAGUCUUUCUCGGCUUUAGGGUUUCGGAUUCGCUUGAUGAGUCGGAUCUGCCAGCCAGCAGCAGCGAGGGCGUCGCGUUUGGAGACAGGGAUGGAGCUGUCGAGGAGGAGGAGGAGGUCGCGUUUGGUGCCUGUUCGAAGGAGACUCUGGGCGAGAGUAAUGGCUCCACAAACGUAGGUAUCGGAGGAAUGUAGAACUGUGGCAUAUGCUUCUCGUUUAACACUCCUCGUGUCUGCUUUGAUCUUGGACAGAUCAAACACCUUGUCCACCCCUGGCAUCAAGAGCGGAAGUUCUUUUCUUAAUAUUUGAAUAGAAACAAAAAUAUUUUACUAAUACAAUAAAACAUCGAAGCGCCUGUAGCUCAGUGGAUAGAGCGUCUGUUUCCUAAGCAGAAAGUCGUAGGUUCGACCCCUACCUGGCGCGAAUGCGAUUCUUUUUCCUUAAUUAAGAUUUUAAACAAAACCCAUCUCUAUUCUGUACAAAAUGGGCCGAGGACGCGACCAAAACCAGCUAACCAAGGAUAUUUUCAACAUAAGCAACCUUCAGACUAAUUUUCCCCACCCAUAUACCCAAUACGUUGACACACCCAUCAUGCAGCCACAUAUAAAACAAUUAGUGAAUGAUGAUGCACUCCAUACCUUUUGCCCAGAGAGGCAAAGCCAAUUUGCAGGAGCCAACAGGCAAUGAAACCUUCUGCUCUAACCUUGCCACUGACGGUUGGUAGAACCACCAAUCCCCUUCUUGUCUCACCAAAUCAUCACACCUAAAAAGCUCCAUCAUUGGCCUGCACCUGCUCAGAAACACCAACUUGGUCCUCCAAUUCCAGUCUCUCCUCCCUUUCUUCACCGCCAAAUUGGCCGCUAUUAGGUGAACUUGCAGCCUGAACACGUCCCUGCGCCACCCUUCUUCUGGGUACUUGCAUGGCAAUUUGGCCACUAUCAAGUCCAUAUCCCAAUAACGCCUGAAAUCGGGCAUUGGUAUCUCCGGACACAUUGUACCCUCCUUCUCUUCCUCUUCAUCAAUCCACUCCGGGAACAAAUCUGUCCAGUUGAACAACUCCGAUACCUGUUGGAAAUGGACAUGGACAAUUUCUCCAUGAACUUUCCACUCACCCACAUCCUCGUCAUCCAUGUUCACCAUUCCUAUCCUCAUCCCUUUCCUCAUUUCAUUCAAGAAGCUUGGUUUCUCGCUCUUGACCAUUUUCCUUUUGGCAGCCAUGGCUUGAUCUGCUUGAUUCUCUUCCAAAGCUGCCUUCAUCUUAACCCCCUUUUCCGCCUACAUAAUUUAAGAUCAACCAAAUGGGCAUCCCAAACGCAUAAUCUAGCAUCAUUCAAAAAAAAAAAAAAAACUCACUCUGUUAUAAUGCAAUAACAACAGGAACCGGCUCACCUUACCUUGUGAUUGCACUCCCGCAAAGUGCACCGGACAAGUGCUGCAGCAUUUUCAUGAUACACAGACAAAGAUGGCCGGAGAAGAAGAGCAGCAUAGACAACUACGAAGAAAGCGAGGAAGACCAGGUUGAUUUUAAGAACCAAAGCUUUUGAAGGAGUGACCUUGAUCAACAUCUUCGGAACACUCACUCCUUCUAACACCAUUUUAUUUGUCUAGCCAGCUCCUUAAUUUCUCUACCUUCACAUUUAUAUAUAGAUUAGUUGAUCAUCACGAUUUACAUAUUGUUGAAGGAGUUUCCCUCGAGUGGACGGCUAUGAGACUAUUGAGUGAAAUGUUUACAAAAACAAGCAGAACCACUUAGGCAGUUCCACGUGUACUGUCUUUGUCUGGAUUUCUAGCAAAUAAAAACUUUACUUCUUUCUCAUGUUGCUGCUGGUGUUCGUAUUUCUGGACUCUGGAGUAUUCUUGUGAAAUUCCAAAUAUACCCUUCUUUCUUCUCCAAACUAUCUACUCCAAGUAGAAUUUCCCUCCCGUUUUACUUAGAAGUGUAAAAUAUGCAUGGUAUUUGAGUAAUUUAAGGAGGAAAUCAUGGGUAGUAUGGCGACCUAGGAUUGGGUAGGGGCAACCUAAGGGUUACGCUAAAGCAGGCCCGCCAACAACUAUUUGGUUGGACGGUCAUAUCCUACGUACAGCCAAAUGUCGCUUUUAUCCGUUGCGAAGGUGCAAGCCCCCAACAGUUUUCCUUUAUUUUUUUCUUUUUCUUUUUCCAAAAAAAAUGACUUAUUACUUCGUCUAUUUCUUUUUUAAUAUUAGUUUUAAAAGAUAAAAAUAGGUUUAGGUUACGGCAUCACACCUCACCAAAUUGAUUCGGGUUCAUGUUUUACAUGACAGAUGCGGAGAGAUUGUGGUAAACAAUCACAAUCAAUCUCAAUGUCAACCGUUUGAUAAGUUGACGAUCGAUCAGGGCAAGCGGCCGAACAGAUUACGUAUGAUCACGUAGUAGUAGUGACCACCCACCUAAGAUUGUGAGAUAUCGAUCUAGUGAAAAAAUGAUGAUGGAAAGGAGAACAACAUCACUUCUUUUAGUUUUAACCUUUUACCGAUAAGAAAAUUGAUUACAGCCUCCACAUCAACAGUCAUGAGAACCAUUUACAAUGCAGCAAUUAGUUAGAGGGUUAAUUGUGGUUGUUCUGUGCCUUCACUCUUCCCCAAAUCACAAUUUUUGAACUAGACUACCGUCCUACCCCACAUUAAUGGCUAAAUCUCCUAAUUUGGUCAGAGAAUUCAUUCCACAGGUUCACCUGGAUACGUUAAUACUUAAAGUUACAACAUAUUUAAAUGAGGAGCAGCUGCAUAAUAAUGGAGAAAAUCCCCCAUAUUUUUUUAAUUUUAAUCCAAAUUAAAUAAUCAUAGUCCUCUUCGUGUAAUUGCUUAAAUAAUUGUGAGAUUUGUAAAGAAUAUCAUUAAAUAAUUGCUUAACCAUGCUUCUGCUCAUCAGGUCUAAAAGUGCCCAAUGAACCUGACUGACGCUACACUGAGAAAUUUGAUGAGGUUCAGCUUGCAAAGAGCUGGGAGCCUUCAUGUAUGGUAUCAUUUCAUGAGCCCAAGAUAUGAUGAAAGGAAAUACAAUGAUGGCCGAAAAAUGAUGUCAUAAUUGAUCACACACUUCAGACACAUUCUUGUGGGGCAAACCCUAGAAUCAACACUGCUGCCCAAAAUCAUUAUCUUGGAUCGGGCUUGCCACAUAAGUAGAGUAUUUCAUUUAUGCGGGCAUAGGCUGUUGCUAUUUUUAUAAGCUGAUUAAUCUUUAAAGUACCCUUAAAAAGAACAGAUUGUAUGAAAAAUGAUGAAUCUCUACACAAAAGUAUAUCAGGGUCCCAUGGAUAUCCCAACACAGGCAUUUGCACUGACCCUUCCUAUUGAAUCACUUGUUAGCUGUCUCAUUCUCCUAUUAAAGUUCCUCCUUUUAGCUAAGACUGCCCCGACUUUUUAUCUUUGAGCCACUCCAGGUUGUUACCUGAAAAUCAAAAAUAUAUUUUCUCAACCCAAAACAAAAAGGAGAUAUUAUCUGAUUAGUCGUACAUAAACACUACAUGUAUAUUUAGCAUCAGUCCAUCUGUUUUAACAAAGACUACUAAGAGAAAGAUAGUCCGAUUAGUCAUGGCUGACCUUUUGUAGAAACAUCCAAACAUGCAAUGGGAUGGUCAGUGGAUAUUGCAUAUCCAAUAUAUCAUCUUUUUGUCACUUCUUGAAUAUGUUGAGAGUGGCUUUUACCAGGUGGAAUGAAAAUCAGGUCUUCCCAGCCCGAGUUCUUCUCACUAGUCUGCAUCAGAUGAAAGAAACAAAAACUAGUUGGGAAUUCCAAAUUUAAAAAAGAGUUAAGGAAUACAAUCAGAUCCAGUUCUUGAUUCCAAAUACCUCCAUUUUUCUUAGGACAUCUUCCAAACUUCCUACCUGUUGAAAAAUAUAUAUAUAUAUAUAUAUCAAAUAAAGGUCACAAAAUUUAUACAUGUUGCAGGAAAGCAUGCUUCAAAGUGCAAAAUGGUAAACAAAAUAAAAUAAACAAACAAAUAAAUAAAUAAAUAAAAUCAAACUAAAAAAAAAAAAGAUGAGACAGGUAUAUCUGAUGAGGAUCCUAACUCCCAAAUUUUUUCUGAGUGCUCUAUUUUCUUUGACAGGCCAAUCUAUCAAAUAUCUUCUGUGCUGAUUCUCUGCACAUCUGAGUUAUUUUCUUCUCAAAUAGUUCCCAAAUAUCCCUUGUAUAUUUUUGUACAUUUCAUAAGAACCACAUCUCUUUAUCAAAUAACAAUGGCUUCUAUGUAGAAUAUCAGACCCAAGAGUUCCAAUAUCAAAUAUGAACAAUUCAACAGAUUAGGAUGCUCUAAUUAUUUUGGAGAUUUCACUCUGUUCACUUCAAUGGAUUGUAGCCAAUUUGAAUAAAAUAAUAUACAUGCUCUUUUUAUACCACACACAAAAGAAGGAAAAAAAUUCCUUCCUUUUUAUUGUGGGGGAAAAAAAUACAAUUCUUCAAAACUUGAAAACAAACAUCAAAAUAUUGUUUAAUAAAGAGCUGAAUCCUAUGACUUCCUGGUGAAAACCCAGAAUUUCUGCAACGUUUAACACAGUUUACCCCUAUAACUCAUUAUCAUUUUUUUUUUCACCAAUUUCAAACAAUGCUAACCAUAUAAGGUCUUGAUCACCUUAUAUCAGUGUAUGACAAAUUCUCACUGAAAAAGAUGCAUAAGAUGUUGUACUCAAACAUGGGUGUCAACAUGGAAGUGUCAGCAUGCCCAACAAAACAAGGGAUAAGAUAUUAGAAAUGGACUGCUCAUGAAGAUCAAUUAUAGAUCUUUGUUUAUCUAAGUCUGAAAGUACUCUUUUUCAACAAGAAGCUAAACCAUUCAACAGAAAGAGAAAUGACAAUGGCAGUGGCAAGUAGUGAUACCAUGAUAUGUUGGGUGACACCAGGUCCUCUCGAUGAUCUUGAGACCUUUGAGAGUUCCUUUACUAUGUCUUCCUGCAUUUGCAACAAGCAAAGAAUCCACAGUAAGUCAUGAAAUUAUAAGAAUCUGAGAUUGAGUGUGUUUGGAUUAAAUGUGCAUAAGGAGCCCAUUGAGUCAAACCAACCUUUUGGAAGUAUAUUGGGCAGUACCGUCUGUUUUUCUUCUUCACAACCAGCAGGUCUGACUAUAGAUAAGAGAUUAAAAUCACAUGAAUCAAAGACACUGCUGUAGUGUAUAAUCCAAUACAAUAAAAAAUUAAAAAUUAAAACAAAACAAAACACCCAACAAAUUUUCCAGGCCAAACCAUAAUGAGUUAAUCCACAAAAUCCAUGUGCAAUCAUAUAUUUUGACAAGCCUCACAUAGUAUAUAUUAGGGAAGUGGAGAUUUACAAUCCAUGGGUCAUCUCACCCAUGAGCUUAUUUGGGGAUGUUAAUGCUUUGAGAGCUUUAUAAUUACAAAUUGCAGAUGUGGUAGAUGAUAAUGAAGGAUACUCAAACUGAACAAAAGUAGCAGAGGUUCCAAAAUCCAAGCAAAUUACUGUAACAGAAAGCAAUUUCAUAUUCUUCCUGCCAUUCAGAGAGAAAAACCAGCUUCUACCAAACCAUAAAUGGUCAAUCAUGUAGACAUAGCAUUUCAAGUAGAAGAAACAUCCUAUCCAUGAUUAAAAAUAUAUAUAUAUCAGAAGGUUGCAUCUUGUCCUCAGCAUUUGCAUGCGUCCCACAUCACUAUUCUGGUUGCGCCCUAAAAUUCUUUCAUCAUAGAUAUCAUUUCAAAUGCAAUGUUGAGCAUAACAAAUGAGAUGCACAUGCUGAACAAUUUUCAAAGCUUACUAGAAAAGUGAUAAUGUCAAUGCUGCCUAUUAGAUUUGAUAAGCAAAUCAGCAUACCUGAAAAACAGGAACCCCAUCAAACCCACUCUUGAUAUCUGCAGCUUUCAGCUAAGAAACAUGAAGGUUAGAUGUUUCAGCUGAUACAAGCAAAUAAAUAAGCAGUAUUUAACAUUUGGACAAAAUAAUGAUAAAAUGUUACACCAUCAUUUACAUGGUAGCAGAGGCCUCUAUUGCCAAAUAUCCUCCCAAGUUUCAAAUACUCACAUGGCAAACAUUUUUUUUCCAUUUCUUCAAUUCUAUUUUCGUUUUAUAUAUAUAUAUAUAUUAGAAGGAUCUCACCUGCAUAUUAGAAGUCUAGUACGUUGGCAGCAUCUGGGCUUACUAGACUUAGUCAUGAUAAAUGUCCAUGUGGCAGAAAACCUGGACUUAGUCAUUAUGCUGUGUGCACAACUAGCUUUGGGUGGACAAGAUUGCCACUAUUUUCGUUUAAUUUUACAUUAAAGGUGACUUUUUGUAAUUUGUCGAGGCCUUUCCCCAAGAAUAUGGCACUAGCAGUUCCAACUACCCCCUCCCAACAACCGAAGUAGGUGAUAAUUCUUGAAAUAGCAUGCAACUUUAGUCAUUUCAUUAAAGGGCCUCUUCCUAAAAAUAUGAAACUAGCAAUUUUUCUUCUCUUGUUGGGGGGUGGUCUUCCUUCUCAAAGCAUGCACAGUGUGCAAUAGGAUGAAAUCAGAGUUCAAAAUGUCCUACUCACAAGCAAUGUGAUGAUUUAGUGAAAAAAUAGAAAUCAACAACUAGGCGAAUGGAGAGCAGGAGAGCCAUGGAGAAGAGAAGAGCUGUGAGCCCUUGGAAGAUCAUAUUUCAACAUAGGAUUUGAAAGAAAUAGAGGAUAAAAUGCUGGAGAGUAUUUCAAUAUGGAUUAAAUUCAGAGAUAAAAGUUUGUCAUGGCAGCUUGAUGGGGUGCUCUGUGGUUGCUAUAAGGAUGGGAAACCAUUUUUCUCAAUAUGUUUCAGAAAGGUGGUAUAUUCAAUAGGUCGGAGAUGCAAAGCAAUACAGCCAGUUGAUUCUUAUUAUGCCUGACAGACUCAAUGAAGGCCAAAAGGUUUUCCAUUAUUUUCCUGGCUGGAUUUGGGCGACUUGGUUGGGUCACACAAACAAACAAGUUGCACACCCUGCAGAGUUCUUCCCUCUAAGCCUCUAAAGGUGUGUAAUUCCUAUGCAUCCUGUAACACAAUUAACUGCUUGGUCAAGAGCAUGGUUGUCAAAAUGUAAAUCAUAACGUAUCGGUUUUGUCAAAAAGUAAUGUAUUGUGUAUUGUAAGAUACAAUCCUUAGUUAUUCAUAUAUAAACGAUAAACUCCUGAAUAAUAAUAAUAUAUAUAUAUAUAUAUACACACACAUAUGCAUUAUGUAGUGUUCCAAAAAAAAACAUCUAUUUCUUUUCUUAAUAUCAAAUAAAUAAAUAAAAAAUAACCAAAAGUAUCAAGUAUAAAGUUAUAGCAUUCCACAUUUCCUAGGGAUGAGAAGCCCCUAACAUUUAUAAAAGAUGACAACUCUUAACUGAGUGGAAGUGUUUUAAACCCGUGAAGGUUGUGGACGCACAACGGACAACAUCCAUCUAGUGUCAGCGGGUCAUGAUUAGGAUGUCCCACAUCCCUUAAGGAGGAGAAGUACCUAACAUUCAUAAAAAGUGAUACCUCUGAACUGGUUGGACAUGUUUUAAAGCGGUGAAGGAGGCCAUGAAUGCUAAGGACCCAAAGCAGACAAUAUCCACCCAGUGUUAGCAUCCACCCAGUGUUAGUGGGUCAUAACAAAAUUAUCAAAAAAGCAAGUUAUAUAAGUUACCAAAAGCUUCCUAAACAUUCAAAAUUUGUCAUAUCUCAAUGCUUUUUUUUUUUUCUUUUUCAUAAGUAAGAAAUUGUAUUAAAAAAAGCGCAAAAAGAGCGCAAGUCACAUCUCAAUGCUUAAUCAGAACCUCCCAAAUUAGUGACCAAUACACUACUUUAAACCAUGCUCCCUAAUAUAGUGAAAGAAAUCCUAUGGUCUUGGCAUGGAAGAGUUGUGGGAGGAAAAAGAGGGGAAAACAUUCGAGAACUACCUCAUUAUGCCUUUUUUACACUAUUAGCAAGAACAUUUUCUUUUAGACACUAUUUAGCAAGUAUAUAAUUACAUAACUUUAGAAGGGGUGGAACCAUUGGUUCAAUCUCUUAAAGCCAUGAAGGAGGCCAUAACUUUAGACACUAUUUAGCAAGAAUAUAAUGACAUAACUUUAGAAGGAGGCCAUGAAGGCUAAGGACCAAAGCGGACAACAUCCACCUAGUGUUAGUGGGUCAUAACAAAAUUAUCAAAAAAGCAAGUUAUAUAAGUUACCAAAAGCUUCCUAAACAUUCAAAAUUUGCCCCAUAUCAAUGCUUAAUCGGAACCUCCCAAAUUAGUGACCAAUGCACUACUUUAAACCAUUCUCCCUAACAUAGUGAAAAAAAUCCUAUGGUCUUGGCAUGAAAGAGCUGUGGGGGAAAAAGAGGGGAAAACAUUCGAGAACCACCUCAUUAUGCCUUUUUUACACUAUUAGCAAGAACAUUUUCUUUUAGACACUAUUUAGCAGGAAUAUAAUUACAUGACUUUAGAAGGGGUGGAACCAUUGGUUUAAUCUCUUAAAGCCUCUCCCAUUUCAACCAUGCUCCUUUGGUGCCAUCAGUUUAUGGAUGUUGGCCCUUUAUCCUUGUUUGAUUUCAUAGAUUGGUUGGGAGCCCCUUAGUGUUUUAAGGCCUGGUGAGUGUUUUUUCUUCUUUUCCCCCUCAACUUUGGCAUCAUUUGUAUACCACCUAUGUAUGUAGGUUGUGCCCUCCUUUUUGUUAGGCACUUUUCCAAUAAAUUUUUCCUUGCCAAUAAGCAUGCACACAUAGAAGGCAGUUUGUGCAUUGUCAUGUGUUUAUUUUUUACCUAAAUUUUCUAUCAUCAUUAUUUAUAUUUGCUCAAUGUAUACUUUCUCAUCAAAAUCGCUAGAAGAUAGUUGGUAACCAUAGGUGUGUUGUGUGUGUGUCUAAUGAAAAAAACAGCUACUAAUAAAUAUAGGAUAUGUUCAGUGAUCAAUAGUCAUCAUAGCAUUCAUUUUUUAAAUACCAAAACUUGGAUCAUUACACAAUCGAUAAGGCAUUUAAUAGUGGAUAAUCACAAAAUUGGAGUAAAAAUUUCCUAUAGUUCCCCUCCUCCUCAAUUCCCCUUUCCAUCUUGUCUUUUGAUAUGGUCCAUUUAUGAAUGACAAUAGACAUACAAGGAAAAGGGAAAAGACAACACUUUUAUUAAUAUGAAGAUAGUUCAUUCAGGCGGGCAACAUGUGCAUAAAUUACUUAUGCAGAAUCAAAUGAGAAGUGAUAAUCAGUGUAUAUCAAAGCAGAUGCACAUGGGCCCAUCUUGGGCUUGUUUUUGUUGAACUUUGAAUAGGUGAGCCAAGGUUCUGAUGUGAUGCAGUUAAAUUAGAGUCAUACUUUUUUUAAUAUAUAUAUAUAAAUAAGCAAAUAAAUUGAUGCCAAACUUUUUCAUGGCCCAAACAAGUCCACACUCUCCCAUAUAGGAGUAGUCUAUCCAUUUUGGUGGAAACCUAAGAAAGAAAUAGACCACCUUUGCCAUUGCUUUUUAGUGGAAAUGAAUCAACAACCUCAGUAGCAUGGUGUGGUACACUGGUACUCACUUUCUCAGAGUGAUUCAAAUGCAUAAAAACUUUUGAGAUUACAUUCCAAAGCUAUAACUUAUAUUUAGCACUAACCUCCAAGGCAUUCUUUAUUUGAACAGGAUCAGGUAAAAAUCGGAAUGCAAUUCCUUCAACCUUCAACAUAUAAACCUGUGAAUUGGGAUUGAGAGAGAGAGAAAGAGAGGCCAACACUUCAGCCAAGAAAUAAUGUGGAUCUAUAUCAAACUAACAAAUAAAGAGAGGAAUGAUUUAGUGAAGAAAAGUGGACACACACUUAAACUAAUAAAUAACACUUGUAUAAUUGAAUACCAAUCUGUAGCCCAUAUCACUAAAAUGAAGAUUCAUGGCUUAUACCUUUUAACAACAAUCCUUGGUAAUUAAGAUAAUAGAAACAAAGUCCUUUUUCAGUUUGCUUUCAAUCUUGAAUAGGGGAGAUUCUACAUAUAACAACCAUCCAAUAGCUACAAAAAUAGGAAGAAAAUUCAAUAACUAAUAUUUUGAAGAAGCAAUUGAUAACCACUCCAAAACCCAAAAAUCCUCCACAGUAUUUGUAAGUGAAAGAAAAACCAAUCUACUAAUAUAAUCAUGUCUAGUUAUAUUCACCGAUCAUAGUUUGCCAAGUCUUUCCAACCCAUUUAUAAUUGCUUAAAAGUGAUUUUGGUUGAAUCUUUUACCAACAGUACAAGAAAAAACUACAUAUGUACUGCUUCCAGCUUGGGUGGCUGCCCAAUAUUUAGAGUUAAUAAUCUAAGAUUGCACCUCAUCUGUAUAAAUCUGAGAUAAUUGAGCAAUUGAAUUUCAAGAGACCGCUGGAACCAGAUGCGGUAGCCAUAUGGCACAAAUCACCUGGCAUUGUGGCUUGAGUUUAUUACACUAUGUUUAAAACCAAAUUUUAAAGAAAAAGCAUUUAAUUAAAAGAGGUUAAAUGAAAGGAAUUAAACUUUAUUCCAUUCAUUUUGUUCGGCAUUUGACAUUGAAAUAAAAAUAAUUCAUUUCUUUCAUUUGGUUUUAUAAAAGAAUUGAUCUUUUUACUAUCACAACCUUGGUUCAAUGACAAGAAAAAACAAUUUUAAAUAUGAUUAAUAUAUUACUCAUCCAUUAAUAAAACCAAAGUAAUGAAAUGGUUCACUUAGACAUCCAUGUCCAAAAGAAGAGCUCAUGCAUACUCUUAAGAGAAUUAGAAAAAAAAAAAAAGGUCCAAAUUAUUAUUUAAAUUUUUUUAAAAGAUGCAUUUUGAAUUACCAUCCUCGAAAACACUAAAAGAAAAUCAUCAAAUCUAUUUGUAUUCUAUAGAUUUUCAAUGUGUAAAAAAUCUAAAACAUGCUAGACAAAAAUUUAUUUGCUCAUUUUGUAUGGACUUCACUUUUUUUUUUUUUUCCUUUUUUUCUUUUUGUCUUUUUGCCUUUUUUGGAUAAGCGAGAAAAAAAUAUAUGAAUAACACCUAACAAUAAGAACAACAUAUACAUUAGGUCUUCUAUAUCGACCAUUUAAAAAGAAGAGCUAAUGUAUACUCAUUAAAAAAAAGUCCAGAAUUAUCAUUAUAUACUCUGAAUUGUUGAGUUGUAUGUAAACGUAAAAUAGAAAAAAAAUCAUUAAAUUAUUUGUAUUCUAUAUAAAUUUUGAAAAUGUAAAAAAAUCCAAGACAAUGAUGGAAGAAUUUAUUUGUAUAUUUUAAGAUUUUGAAAUACGUAAAAAUAUAAAAAAUACUAUGUGAUGGUAGAUGAAGAAACAAGAUGAUUGAUGAUAAAAAGAGUCAAGAAACAUAUAAUAAAUUGUAAAAAAGAUGGGAACAAAAAGGGUAAUGUUGGAUGAUAGGAAAUUUCGGUCUAACUUGUGUUUGAAAUAACCCAAAAUUCUUUGGAGGAACUCAAAUUUAAAAAGAAAAAAUAAAAUUUAAAAAAACACAACCAAAUUAACAAAAAUCCUUACCAUAUAUAGUCUUUACAUUCCACACACUAGAAUUGAGUAUCAAAUAAAUUCCUUCCAUUUCUCUUCAAAUACUUCCAUUCCAUAAAGAAAAAACAAUGAGAGUUUAUAGGGGUGGUUUAUAGACAAAUAAGUUUUCUAACCAAUUGGUUGUUUGACUUGUUUCUUACACUUCUUUUUUUUUUUCUUGAUAGGUAAAAAUUAAUUGUAUUAAAUGGCACAAAAGUAUACAUGUUGUAUACAAGGAUGCCAACCAGACAAAAGUCCAAGGUAAGGGGCACACAAAAAACAAUAUCCAUGCCUUAGAGCCUAACCAAUCCACAAAGUCCACCAUGGACAAAGGGUAGUCACCUAUAGACACUGCAACCCAUUCCAACCAAUUAUACAUGAAAGAUUGUUUAAUUGUUUGGCCAACCUUUUCAAUAUUAUUGAAGCUCUCCUAUUUCUCUCCCUCCAAAUAGUCUAGAAAAGGCAGAAUGGAGCAGCUUCCCAAACCUUUGUUCUCUUCUUUCCAACAAGGAAACCUGCCAGCUCUGAAGUGCAGUUUUCAAUGAAGAAUGAAUCGCCCAACAAACAUCAAAAAAUGCAAAAAUCAACAACCGCAAUAAGACUGCUUUCAAUCAACAAAGAAGAAUAUAACCAAUUGCUUCUUCUUCUUCUUCUUCUUCUUCUUUCCUAAUAUAGCAUCUGUUAGGCACCUCCAACCCUCCCUUUUAAGCUGAUCCCAAGUUAAAAUCCUGCCCCACAUGGCUUCCCAUGCAAAUAAGCUAACUCUUGAUGGUACCUAGGAAUUCCAAACUGUACCAAAAGGCCACCCUCCCAACUAACAGAGAGGAAUAGAAAGACUUCACUGAGACUAUUCCACCUUUUGUGUUACACCAAACCAAAAUAUCUUUAGUGUCCCUGUUAAUGGUCUUCUCUUGCAACCUCCCAAUAAAGGCUUCAACCUCCUUUAACUCCCAAUCAUGCAACUGCUUUAUAACCUAUGAACCCUAAAAAAUUCUCUGUGUGGUGGAAAAACCCUGAUCCAAUCCAUGGUUAACUAAGAAUAGUCAAAAUAAAAGAUGGAGUUUAUUACAUGCAUUGUUGUUAUUGGUUAACAUGCUCAAUUUACUACUCCAACACUAGUCAUCACAUUGUUAGAUAUUCAUUUUCCUAUGACUUGCAUCACAUUGUCAGAUAUUCAUUUGGCAUUGAUGACUAGAGGUGUAGAAACAGGUGGGCAGAUUGGCCUAGCAUGCCAAAAGAUUAGUUCAUGCUAGCCUGGCUGGAUCCUUCAUGUAGUGUUGGACCAAGCAUGAUGGCACGAUGGCCUGGUAGGGUCCAAGCCAAUAGGCAACAGUUAUUUAAAUUUUUUAAUUCCCAAUGGCUAUAAUGCAUCCAAAACUAAAAAAAAGGGCCCUUCCAAUGGUCAUAUAAUGGCUAGUUUGGAGUGUAAAUGUAUAAAUGAUCAUAAAUGCAUCCAAGAGUAAAUAUCCCCUUAUAGUGGCUAUAUAAGAAUGAAGAUAUUUCAAUUUAAUUUUCUAUUUGCAUAAGAACUUUAUAUAAGAAAUUUCAAUUCCAAAAAAAAAAAAAAAUUGCAUAUUUUUCUAGUUUUCCCAAUUCUUAUGAUGUAAAUUUUUUUCAAAGAUUAACUAAUGCAUAUAAUUGAUAGUUGGGUUGAUGUCAACCUGUUUGGGAUGUACUAAUACAAUUCUCACCUUUUUUUUGUAAUUUUUGAACAUUUACGUUUUCCAUUUUGUUGAAAUAUUGAAUAACAAAGUUAUAUUUUAUCUAUUUUACUUUUAUAUUCCAAUUUUUAUUUAUUUAUUGUUAUUGUUACUAGAGUGUAAUUUAGACAAAAAUUUAAAACUUGUACAAAUUUUAACAUUACUAAUAAAAAUAAAAAUACAUAAUUAUCUAAGUUUUCAAGCAAAAGAAAAAAAAAAAAACAAGAAUACUUUAUGAGAAUGCAAAGUGACUAUUAAAAAAAAAAAAACCCACGUGCACUUUAAAUAUAUUCUAAAUUUUUUAUCCAAGAAUUUGUUUUCAAAAGAAAUUAGAAAGUCUUUUUAGAGAAUAGAAAGACUUGCAACAUAAUAAAUAAAUCAUUUUUAAAAUUUUAGAAAUAACUAUGAUAAAUCUUUUUUUUACAUAUUUUAAGGAAAAUGUGGUGGAGCAAGCCAGCCUGCCAGCACAGAAUAUUUUCAGCUGGACUGGGACACCCAGCACAAUGGCCAGCUAAAAACGUCUUUUUAGCUUCAUUGACGGGACUCAUCAUCCAUGGCCACAUCACAAUAUUUUAUUUAUUUUUUGUAUGGGUAAACACAGAAGAGAAUAUAUCAAAUAUUAAAGGAAGCCCAAAGGGCAACCCAAGGCAUACAGGAAGUAUACAGUUGGUGCCAAAAAGCUAAAAAGAGCAAAAUAGGAGUAAAACAAAAACCUCACCUGUUCUCACCUAGAGCCCAACCAAUCAAAAAAGUCGAGGCUGCAUCACAAUAUCCUACAAGCACACUUGUUCGCAUAGGCAAACACAUAUUUAAUCUAGCCCCAUCCAUAAUUGAUCAUCAAAUUUAGAAUCUAUUAUAGUGUCCCAUAAAAAGGUUUGCACAGAAAACCCAACAUAUAAGGGUCAUUUAAAAGAGAAAAGUGGAUGCUUUACAUGUGCUAGUUUCCUGAAUAAUUCAACUGCCUGGGCAAAUUGUCCAGCUAGAUUAACAAGCAUCCUCACCAUGAGGAGAACCUAGUUCAUCAAAUUAAACUAUAGUAGGUUUAGUAAAAAAGAUUGAUCAUUGUUCUCUGUGAAACCACAAGUAGAACACGCUCAACCCUGAUAUAGCACCCAUCUGAAAUCCUCAACAUGCCAUCCACCAAAUAUUUCACUUCUAUUCUAGAUAAUGCACAUCAUCAACUUUCAAAUUUCUAGCACUAGGCUUGCAUUUCAAGCAUUUCCAUGAAAUAUUUGUCAUUCCCUUAGAUUAAGGGUUUAAAUCUAUGCACAAAACUAUCAGGCAAUUCCAAUUCCAUUACCGAACCACAAAACCCUACAACACUAAUAUUGAAACGGAAAGAAAAUAAGAAAUUACAUAAGUUCCAAAUAUAUACCUGAUCAAGACUAAUGGGAACAACCCUAGCCUGACUUCGUAGUUCCCUUGUCCGCGACUGAACCUGUAAAUCACGAUAAACAGAAACAGCAUUAAGAGAAAACCUAAAAUUUGGUUAAGAUUUUUUCUAGUUAACGAUCCGGAGAAGGAAAACCAGAGAAAUUUCGUUUUCUUUUUCCCUUUUUCCGUUACUCUGGACAGAAAUUAUACAAAGGGAAAAAAAAGGGAGAAAAAGAAACAAACAAACUUGAGCGAGAAACGCUUCCGCGUCUUCCUGGCGAAAGCAGAGCAAGCCAAUGGACUUGAUCCCGUUGGGAUCGGAAAUCAGCACGAACUCGUUGUUAGAGUUGCUAACUGUGUACACCGCGGUUCCAGCGAGGCUCUUGGCCACGUGGUCGGAGCUCAGGGCGACGCCCAAGUCUCGUUUAGCCCCACGAGCCUCUUGCGACAUCGACGCAAACGGCAAAGAACUGAGCGGAAGCGAACGCCUCAGCGCCGGAGGCGGCCAGUUGCCCGCGAGUCGCCUGGUAUCAUCGAGUCGACUGGCGAGUUCGGCGCCAAGUCGAAGGCAGUGUUGGUGGAUGAAGGUGGAGAAUGAUAGCAGAGGAUUUGAGGGUUUUGGAGGCUCCAUAGUCCGACGUUGCAGAAGAACAAACAGCCCCGGUUCGGAUUCGAUAUAUCUGACAUGUAGUGUGGAGACACUGUAUAUCUUCACAUGCCAGUGACAAUGGUAAAAUAACUGCCCAAUCAAUGAAAAGGAUCUAGUUGAAAGUAGGAGCAACUUUGUCACAGCAGCUGGAGGGUGUAUACAGUGUACACGUAAAUUAAGAGCGCGUGGAUAAGGUCUGAUCGCCGAAGUGGCAAGUGUGGGGCGUCCAACAGGGUGUGGACCAAGCCCAGCCCAGUUAAAUCAACUGAGGAUUCCAAGCCCAUUGGGCCUACGUAGCUCUAGCAGUCUAGCUAUAGCCUGGCUUGUUAGCAAAGUUAUUGAGUCGAUGAUUCCCUUGUUACAUGCACCUUACAGUUAACCCGUAUCAUGAUGGGUUUAAGAUUCUUUAAUUAUUAGGAUUCUCGAACUUGAACAUGAGAUGACAGUUUAAAGGGAUAAAAAUCUACAUCUAUAAUGCUCAUGGAUCCUUGGACUGACCUUUAAUAUGAUUCUCGGACGACCACGUACAUACAGUUGCAACCAUCUAUUUUUCUAGUAUUUAUUCCCCUCACCAGGAGGCAGCAUAGGAUUCUUGGAUGAGAAGUUACGUGCCUCUAUCCUACUGGCUCGGAGUAGCCAGCAGUGAUCUAAGAAAAAACAAGAUAACCUGAAAAGAGCUCAUGUCCCAUCUCUUCCCAAUUAAAUUGUUUAUGCAAGGGCUGAUGCUUUACUGGGAUCAAAAUUAGUCUUUGCAUGAACUGGGGCCAAAGUGUGGCUAUUUAUCAGUUCUGACUAAAAUUUUCAUUUUCCAUGAGCUACUGCAUGGUUGCAGGUUGAUUGGUUCUUUGCCUUGAAGUGUCUGUACAGGGAGUUCUGAAGCGGAAAGCUUAACAGGAUUGCAAAUUGGACAAAGUUCCCCAAACUUUAGGUUCCGUAGGCCCAUAAAGAGCGAGUUCCAAACUUUAGUUUGGACUCGAAAGAAAAAGGUGAAACACUUUUGAUAUACAAUGGAUUUCACUUUAAUGAUCCGUUUCUUUUUGCAUUCACCCGAUCCUCCUCUAUCUGCAUAUUUUACUGUGAAUUGCGUUACAAGUUAGAGCUAAAAAGCAAGAAGAUCUCUUGAUCGCACUUUCUGUGAUAUUAUUCUUCAAUGAUUCUAAAAUUUAGCAAUCUCAUGUUUUUUCAAUUCUGCCAACACGAGGCAGAUUGUACUUCCAUGAUGGUUGUAGAGAAUUCCAGUAAAUCAAUUAUUGAUUUACGGAAUCCUCCUGGGCUGUAGAGAAUCCCAGUAAAUCAAUAUCCUCCUUGAUUAUAAGAGAUAUAGUUUAGGAGAUACGAUUUCCAUUUGUACUUGUCUUUCCUAUUUUAUCUGUAUAUUCAAACUCACUUUGUUUUGUAUAAGUAUAUAAAUGGAAAUCCUCAACCCCACAGAGUUUGAUGGUUUUACAAAUAUUCUUAAUGUCUCACUGCGCACUCACCGUUGAAUUUCGCUAUAAAUAGACUGUUACUUGGUUAGUAGCAUGCACAACCACGCAUUUCCAACAGUUCAGUCCCACGCCAAGAGUCUUAACAAGAUGCCUAUGUGGAAUCCCAAAUGUCUAGAUCUUCCCCUCUCUGAAGAACAAAAACAACGUCUUCUCCAGAAAUUUGACUUCGAUAAAGAUGGCCGACUAAGCAAGAAAGAUUUGGAGCUCGGCUUGCGCCAGAUGGGCCUUCGUUUCUGUAGGUGGAGAGCUGGAAGGGCUCUCCGCCAUGCUGAUCUUAACAAAGACCGAUACAUUAGCAAGGAUGAGAUAAACGAGCUAGUCAAAUAUGCGACCAAAUGGGGGUUGCCCGCAAAUUAGCACUUUUAUAUAUACAGGAAGAAAGAGAGAGAGAGAGAGAGAGAGGGAGAGAUAAAUAAUGUACAAAUUUGUUUGUUAAGUAAUGGGCUUACUAAUUGCCCAUCCUGUUGUUUCUUUUCUGGUCGGGAGUGAUAGGAACUUGGAACUACUUCAUGCAAAAUGUUUGAACUUCCACAAGUGUUGGCUUCCUUUGUAGUCUAUUUGAUAAAAAUUGAUGGUGGAUUCGUGUUAUAGGGGCGUCUAUAUCAUAUAUAUAUAUAUAUAUAUAUAUAUAUAUAUAUAGAGAGAGAGAGAGAGAGAGAUUUUUUGAGAAUAUAUUUUAAAAUGUUUUAAAGAAAUUAAAUAGUUUUCACAUUUAAAAAUAAUAAUAAUUAAUAUUAUUGUACGAGGAAAAGUAUGAAUCUUUUAAUUUUAAAAAAUAUGGAUGAAUCACGUUAAAUAGGUAACUCAAUUUUAUAAAUAUAUUGAAAUAUAUUAGAAAAUAUUUAUGAAUAUUUUAACACAAAAUAUUGAUAAAACUAAAAUUGAUCAAAUCUUAUGAAAAUAUUUAAAAAAAAAACUCUAAAAAUGAUAUAAGAAGUAAUAAUAGACAUCUUUAAAUUAUUUUGUUGAAAAAAUUAAGAUAUGUAUGAUAUAGUUUAUCAUAUUUAAUAAUAAUAUUGUGUGCGUAGAUAAAAAAAAUGAAUUUUAUAAAUAUAUAUUUAUUAUUAAAUUACAUUAAGCUUUAUUUGAUAAUAUAUAAUACUAUCAUAUUUGAUUAUAAUAUAUCUAAUUUUAAAAUAUAUGUAAUAUUAAAAUUCUAAUUCAUUUAAUUUAGUUGUAUUUAAUGAUAUGAAAUAAAUAAUGUAUACUUUUUUUAAUAUUUGAAUAAUAUAUAAAUGAUAUAAAAAAAUAUUAUAGUUUUUAUAUAUUUGUUGAUCAAUUGAAUGAAAUUUAAAAAUAAAAUAAUUAAAAUUAAUUAAUUUAUUCCGUUGAUUAACCAGGGUUCAUAUUUUUAUCACUGGCUCCGGUGAAAGGAGGUCUAAUAUGAAUUGGCUUAGAAUUAGGGUAAUUCUUUAUUUUUAUUUAAGAAGAAAAAAUAAAAUAAAAUUCUGCAGGCUUGCUGGAGAAGGUGACCCACUUCGUAGUUAUCCAACAAAAAGCGGAUCUCCAAACUCCAUGAAACAGAUAAGUCCUAUAUCCCGACAUUCGCUAUAAAUAGACAAACCCACCUUCACAACCAAGUCACGCAACCUAAGAAGUAGCAACAAGAUGCCUCUGUGGACUCCGAUUACCAGAGACAUAAGUCUCCCCCUGUCCGAAGACCAGCUCAAGGGUCUUCUCAAGAGAUAUGACACCAACAAGGAUGGCCGGCUAAGCAAGGAUGAGCUGAAGAAGGCUUUCCGAGGGAUGGGCUUGCAUUUCAGUGGGUGGAGAGCUGGACGAGCGCUCCGUCAUGCUGAUGCUAAUGGAGACCAUUUCAUUAGCGAGGAUGAGCUGAACGAGCUCGUCAAAUAUGCGCAUAGUAAAUGGGGAUUUAAGUUACGUUAGGCCUUUCUUAAAUAUUUCUUACAAGAAAGGUUUUAGGCUUUUAGCAUGUUGUGGUGCGUACUUACUUUUGUACAUAUCUUAGUUUGAGCCUCCCAGGUUGUUACUUGAACUCCAGCUAAUUCUAGGUUUGUUUGAGAAAGGAACUUUGACGUGAAGCAAGUUUCAAACUCCUGGCCUUUCCUUGAAGAUGUUUAUAUUAUGUUUCAAAUUUGGUUCCUCCCAAUGCAAGAGAUGUUGUCAAUAUGUUAUUACUAUCCUCAAUCCGUUAUUUACAUGAUAGAUUAUGUUUCUUUUUUAACUUAACAGCACUGUUGGAUGUGCUUCCUAUGCCAAGAGAAUCCUUUACACAUUUAUUUUAGUUGGAGGCUUGAGAACUCCCAACAAAAUGGGUACUUUUAACUUUACGAUUACCUCUUAUUUUCAAAAAAUUAUGAGGAAAGAAAAAUAAUAUUUGGUUAUUGGAGAGAACAAAGAAAGAAAGAAAAAAUGUUGAAUAACAUUUGAUGGUGUUUGAUUGUCAUAUAAAAAAUAAGAAAUAAAAUACAAUUAAAAUUAUUUUAAAAUUCAUGUAUUUUUAAUUAUUUAAUCUUUAUAUAUAUAAAUUAAAAUAAGGUAAAUAAGUUUGAUAAAAUAUGUAAAAAUAAUUUUUAAAUUUUUUUUUUAUAUUUUUUAAUUAUUUAAUGUUUAAAAUAAUAAAUAUCAUUUAUUGAAUUCAAGUCUGAUUUGCGAUUUUCUCCACUUUUUCCUUCCUUUCAUUUUUUUUUGGUCUCUCAUAUUUUCCAUAAAAUUUCCCAACAACCAAACACGAUUAAUUAAGGAAAAGUUAACUUCUCAAUUCAAGUUGAGCAUGUCCGACGAGAGAGUGGUCUGCAGGAGACAAAAUCAUGUGAUAAUAUUCAGGCAUUAUAUCAGAAUCGCUGAUUAUAUCCGCUAAAGCAAAGGAAUUCCAACCAUACAAGUAGUAAAACUAGUGUGACCUACAAGAAAGGAUGCGGUGACCGGGUUCCACAUGGGCCCACUUUUUAUCCCGAAGCAUAUAUGCAAUUUGACCUGGUAGGUAUAUGUCAAGAGUAGUACUCAGCUGUUCGCACUGAAGUGUACUGGUAUUUCAUUUGAACUGCCAUCGUUGAAUAUAUCGUAAAGGAUAUUUGUCUAACAUCUUGUAAGAAUAUCAUCAUAAGAGAUGUCUGUCGCUCUAAAGCGGAGUGAUGCAGAGCCAUGCACUUCAACAAUGAAUCGCCAUUUUUGAGCUACUCGUGGCCAUGUGAAGGAUUCCAAGUCGGUCCAACCUUUUUUGGUUCAUGGCACCGGCCUAAAAUUCUUUCCGUGAGAGGAAGAAAACCAAAUUAUGGGUCAUUGCAUAUUUGGGUUCAUGAACUGGCCGAAAAGGGAACUAGCCUGAAAAAGUUUGUGUUUUCAACUAUGGAACGAACGAUUCACGGUAAAAGAUGCCACAUGUCAAUGAGAGAGGCUAGGGCUUUGGUCCAAAAGUGUCCCAACCCUUGAUCAAGGCUCCCUUAUGCUCCCGCAGGGCAUUUGAUAAUUUUUUAAGUGGUUUUGUAUGAUUUUAGAAAAUAUUUUUAAUAUUUAUUAAUACUUUAAAGAUCAAUUAUUUUAAUUAUUAAAAAAACUAAAAAAAUAUUUUAGGAUUACUAUAAAAAACACUUUUAUUUCGUUUUAAAAUAAAUUUUUGUUUUUUAUUUUAAUUAUUUAAAAAAUAAUAUUGGCAUUAUAAAUUUUUUAUUAAAUAUGAAACAAUUUUUAGAUAAAUUAGAAUAGAGUUUUUAUACUUUUCUGAUUUUUAUAUUAACUUUUUAUAAGCCACAAACAAUAUGGAGAAAGUGAUGUUGGCUUUAGACAUAGAUUCUAAUUAGUUGGUAAAUAAACAAAAUGAUGUUGCCUUAAGCUGUGUUACGAGUGGACGGGAUUGAAAUCCUCUUGGAGAGAGUGUUGGAAUGAAAUUAAAUGAAAGACAUAAACUGCUAAAAAAAGGAAAAAAAGAAUUAAAAAAAUCAACAGUUGUCUCCUGGUUAUAACCUCCAAUGAGCAAGUUUAAUAUGUAGAACAAACCGAACUCUAUCCUGCAGAAUUGAAGAAUUUUGGACAUUUACAAAUUAUCAACUGCUACGCCAAUUGUUUGAAUUAUUCUGACAAAUGUCUAAUUCACAAAAUCUAAUUUCAUUUUUUAGAUUGUAGAUUGAAAUCAUGAGCAGUGAUUUUCUUGCUAUGAUUUGCAUAAGAAUAGAUCAGGAGAGGGGAGCAGUUUAAGAGAGAACCAGUAAAUUCUUUUUGAAAUGGGAAAAUAUCAUUUAGUUCUUAGAGUGAAGUUCAGUUUCUGAGGUCGAGGCUUUGCAAGCCCUGGUCUCGUCUCAUUCAUGGUUUCUUUAUCAAUCCGCGUGGGCUUAAAUAAUACCCAGCUUAGGCCUGUCUAAGAUUUCAGGUCAACUCGGCCCGCAUCGAAGCCUGGCACGUUAGAGCCCCAGCCCAAGCCAUUAAAGGCCAUAAAAAACCCAACAAGUGAGCCUGACAUUCUUAAAAGAUUAUUAUUCAACUAAUAAAUACUUGGGCCUAUGGCCCGCCUGGGACAGACUCGAACUCAAGAUAAGAGGCCCUAGGCCUGGACCGGCCCAACCCGUUUACACGUCUAGAUAUUGAGAAGUGAAGAACAGCCCACCCACAUUUACUGGUUGACAUAGAUGCAAACAUGUAGGCAAGAUAGAGCGUUUCUCUCAAAUUUUCUUUUAACAUGAUACUAUAAUUCUGUUAGAGUUUGGUGACCCGAAUUUUAUUUGGUCUGAUUCGAAAAAUUUGCGAUGCAACAGUAUGUAUGUAUGUAUGAACACGUGUAUAGAGUUAUGAUGAUUAUAUUUCUAUUGUAACUACUCAUAAAUUUUCUCGCUCACAACUCUCUUUUGAUAUGGAUUUUCUUUUCAUUUGCCCAUGGUUUUUCUGGUUUAAGGUUUUUUUUAUACGUAAAUCUAUAUAUUAUUAUUCUGUUUUUUUUAAUUGCUUAUUCUUAUUAUUGUGUAACAAAUUUAAUUACAAGUUCCAGUGAUUUAAUAUUUUAACAAAAAAAAAAAAUAGAAAGUAAUGGAUAAACAUAAAAAUUAUGAAUCAUUAUCUAAAUAUGUCAUAAAAGAUACAAGAGAGAGUUUAGAUUCUGUUAACAUAAAGAAACUUUAAUGAAGGAGGACUUGUUGAGUUGUAAUUUUCUGUUUCUUAUGACAUUUCUUACUUUUUCAUGUCUUUUUUUUUUUUUUUUUUUUUUUUUUUUUUUUUUUUUUGGGGAGUUGACAACUUUGUAGGCCUUGAAAUUAUGAGCUUUGAUUAGCCUUGGAAUUAUGAUUUUUUCCUUGACGCAUUUUAUGUUUUUCUCUAGUUAAGCCAUCAAAUUGGUGUCUGAGGUGAGGAUUGUUAAAUUUUAUGCACCUCUACCACGUAUUUGAGAAAUAUUUUAAAUAACAAAUAUUUUUCAUUCUAUAUGCAAUUUAUCAAUUAUAAAUUACAUAUCACAAUUUUAUUCAAUUUUCAAGUGAAGAGUAAAAACUUUUCUUUCAAACGUCAAGCUUCAAAAGAAAAUAACCCUUUAUGGCAUCUUCCAAAAAAAGAGCAAGUGGUACUUAUUAUGUUCGAUGAGAAAAAGAGUUCCAAUUCCCCAAUCCUCUCAACAUCCAAAUCCAAAUCCAAAAGAAUCAAAGGGUGAAUUUCUGUUCAUUCAAUCCUUUAUUCACGUAGACUUGAUUUCUUGCAAUUUUAAUAAUUUGGGAGUACAUUUUGUUCUUAAGUUUUGACCAUCAAUCCUUCUGCAUGACGUGGGGAUUAUAUUGAAUCAUGUAAAUAUUUUGUCUUCUUUAUUUUAUUUUAAUUUUUAUGUUUGGGUUGAGUGUUGUAAUUUGUUUUUCUUACAUUUGGGUGUAGUGAUUUUUCCAACACAACUCCACCAUUUUCCCAUGUUCUAUAUAUUCUGUGGCAUCUUCAAAAGUAGAGGACUCGUCUGCUCCCCACCAUGAAAGUGGAAAAUAUGCUCUUAGCCAUGUUAGAAGAAAAAGAAAAAGGAUAAAUGGGUUCCACCUGCCUUUUCUUAUGAUGCUUAUGACUCUUAUCCAAAUGCAUAAGAAUCAAUGACUCUAUCCAAUCCAUCCAUUGAUGGAGACCCUGGAAGUUCCAAUUGUUAUGAUUGAUAAAUGCAUUGUUUUUUUUUAAUAAAAUUAAUUUCUAAGUUAAAAGAGGCAACAUAUCAUUUACACAUAUUUCUUUUAUGCUCUAGUGGUUGGGUUUAUAAGGGCUGCCUUCUAAUGAGUGAUUGACCCCAGCUUGUAUCAAUCUUCUUGUCACCUUGACUCACCACGACAUGAAAAUCAGAGGUCCAUGCAUAUUUAUUCACUUGCACUUCUUUAAGAGACAGACCCACCUUGGAGAAAGCAUCUCUUUUUAAAUUUGAAAGGAGCUUUCACUGAAUAUUUUGACUGAGAAAAGAAGUUGAGUACUGUCCACAUUAAAUGCUAUCAUAAACUGUAUUAACCAGGUCGACACUGAUUGUGGAAUAAAAUACCCCAGUAAACAAUUCUAUGUUACUUGCAACUUCUUCUUCUGCCAUUUCCAAAGAUGAAGGUGCUAAGAGAAAAAUGGAAAUUUUUUUUUCCCUCUUUCAAUGGCCUCUUGAACCCUAACAAAAUGGUUAUAAAGUGGAAAGAGAGACAUUUUUCAUUCAAGGAUUAGAAAUACCUCACGGAAUGAUUAGAAAAAGGUUUUGUUUCUUAUAUAUUUUUAGGCAACUUAAUUUGUGUUAUACUACAGUAAUUUAAGGGAAAAAUGAUAUAAAAGGACAUAGAUUCUUAUUUCUUUUUUAAUCAGCAUAAUGACUUUUGCAUACAAUCUUAUAAUAGGAUCCAUAGAAACGUUAAUAUUAAGGUGCAAUUUCAAUGCAUUAAUCUCAAGUUCAAACCUUUCCAUGUUAGAAUUUUCAUCCAUGAGGAUAAGUUGGAAUCACAUUCUUGUCCACAAGUACAGACAAAGGCACCUCUAUAUAUAUGUUUGAAUACUCUUGUGAUUAUAGUAUAAGAGUCAAGAGUUUUUUCUUGAUUUUCCAUAAACCAACCUAGGCAUCUUUUACAAUUGAUAACAUGUUUUCUGUGUUUCCCAUUCACUUCCAUAUUCACAAGAGUGUAACCAUACCUAUCUCUAGGGAAAAGGUACAACAGAUUUUCAAAAAGCAUGAUGCUAAUGGUGAUGGUAGUCUAAGCUUGGAGGAGCUUGCAACAGCCUAUGGAGAACUAGGUUCAAUUAUCCCCAAUCUGAGAGCUCAUCUUUCACUCUUCCAUGCAGAUACUAAUGGGGACGGAAAAAUCAACUCCGAGGAGAUGGAAUCUCUCAUCAAUUAUGCUAUGUCUCUAGGAUAUCGCAUUAAGUAAAAUAGAAUCUACUUAUGUGCUUAUAAUAAAGGGCAUGUCAUUAUGUCAUGUCCCUAUUUUAUAUAUAAAUAAUGCAUGUAGUUUUCUUAUUUGGUGACCAAGGAAACAAAAAGGACAAGUUCUUUUGUUGUGUUUCCUUUUUAUAUGUGUAACUUAAAACUUUAUAAUUAUCUAUCUUUUAUGUAACUUAGUUUUUUUUUUCUUUCUUUUUUUUUACUCUUUUCCACCAAUUAUAAGGUAGUAUGAAUUUCAAAAUGACCAUAAAUGUGAGACUUGUAUGCAAGUGUAGUGUCACCUAUACACGAGAUAGUGCUUCUCCUAGUGAUAGGUUAGGAGAGAAAUGAAAUGCUUAGUGCUACUUAGUAAAUUAUGUAGAUUAAUUUGCAAAGACAAGAGUCAUGUCUAAAUUAAAGUAGAUUGAAAGUCUUCAAAGUAAGAGAAUGUUUUAGAAAGAAAUUAAAUAGAAAGUAUAAAUUGAUAAAAAAAAAAUUCAACAAUUAUUUCUAAAAUCCUCAUGGAGUUUGAUGUAUAGAACAAAACAAAAAAAAAAAUUAUAUACCACAUGCAGCUCAAUGAUUUUCAACAUUUACAAAUAUCUCAAAAACUUAAAAAAAAAAAAAAUAGUUGUUUGGAUUAUUAUGGAAAAUAUAUGUUUAAUUCUCAAAAAAUUGUUUUAUUAAUAUAUUUUUUUACUAAAUAAUGAUUAGAAAUCAUUAAACGUGGUCAUAUUUAUUAAAUAUAAAAAAUUAUUGGCACCAUAUGUUGGCGACCCAUCUAAUAUGAAUUUUAAUAAUAAUAAUACACUAUCUUCUUCUUUUACAUUUAGGAAAAAUUUAAGAAGCCUCUCAUAAUUAAUCAUUGAUGACAUCUCCAAAAGUGGGGGACUUGUCUUACAUCAUGCAUGUGGAAAAAUAAUGCUCUUAGCCAUGUUAAAUGAAAAAAGAUGAGGCAAAUGCUUCCACUUCCAUCGUCCUACUUUGGGCUUUAAUUCGAGUUCAAUUCAAUUCUUUUCUGGAUUGAUUGAUUUUUUUGUGAAAAAUAUUAAUAAUUGCAAGGAUGUUUUAAUUGUUGAGAUUUUUAUUAAGUUUUGUUGAGUAAAAAUAUUCAGCAUAAAAUUAAAAUUUAUAGAUAUUUCUUUUAUACUUUAGUUUUUAUGGUGUUAGGUAUAACUUUUAAUAAUGGACCAUAUCCUAUUUCUAAACCAACUUGUAGUGUCAUGGUCAGUUCUAAUUCGUACCAAGCUUUUUGGCAUAUUCAUUGGAUAUCUUUUGUUCACAACAUAAACAAAUUCAGAAACACGUUUGUCUACUAUGAUAAGAAAACUAGUGGUUGAUUUGAUCAAUUGGCUAAAAAGGAGCCCCAGUAAGAUCUACAAGUGAUAUGCGGCUUGGAAUUAUGGAAUUCUCUUUUUUAAAAAGUGAUGGAGCAUAUUAAAUGCUAUUAUAAAUGACCUACUAAACAGUUAAAUAUAAAAUAUUAUUUGGCAUCAUAUGUUGGUGACCCAUGUAAUAUGAAUUUUAAUGAAUUCAUCCAAGGAAAUAAUACUAUUAUAUCUUUAUCUUGCUAGAAAUUUUCAACAAUUAUUUGUGAAAUCCUUAUAGUGUUUGAUGUGUAGAACACAAAAUUCAUACUCCACAUACAACUCAAUAUUAGUAAAAAUAUAUAUAUUUUUUUAAUUAUUAUGGGAAAUAUAUGUUUAAUUUUCAAAAUAUAAUUUUUUUUUUAGAUUUUUUUUUUAAUAAUCUUUUAACUAACUUGUAGAUUUGAAAUUAUCCCAUUCUACUAAAUAUUCCUAUAUUUUAGAAUAAGAAAAUAUAGAGAAGUUUAUUUCCGUAUGAAAAUAACUCUUUAAUGCUUUUAAAUAUGUUUUAAAAAUAACUUCUAUAUUUAAUAGUUUAUUUUUAAUCAUUCUCUAUAUUUGUAUAAUUAUUUUUUUAAAAUAGCUUUUAUAAAACAAGUGAAAAUAAUUAAAAAUAAAAAAAUGUUGUUUGAAAAGAUGAUGUUUUUUGUUUUUAAAAAUAGAAAACAAAAAACAGUUUUUUGGUUAUCAAAUAUAUUUUCUUAUUUCUUUUUGUUAUGAAGAGCAUAAAAUUGUUUUUAACAAUAAUUAGCAAACAUUGUUAGUUUACUCAUCAUGAAAAGCUAAUACUAUAUGCUUGAUUUGACCAAUCACCUAAUAAUGUGUUUGAUAGUGUUUAUAUUCAAAGUAUUUUUAGUGAUUUUUUUUUUUUCUAAAUGCAUGUUUUUUAGAAUAAUUACUUGUCAAGUGUUAUGAAAUACUAGAAGUAAUUUUUGAAAAUUUUAAAAUCUUGCAUGUCUUAAUUUUUCUUAAAAAUAUUUUUUAUGCUAUAAAUAUUUUCUAAAAAUACUAUCAAACAGUAUUUCAAUUCGAAGUGCUUUUGAGAAAAGUGAUUUCCCUAAAAGUAUUAUUGAGUGAAUCACUUCUCUCCAAAAUUCACCAUAAAUAUUUUUUAAUAUUUUAAAAAUAUUUUUUAAAAUUUACGAAAUAUUCAAAAAAAAAUUUCAAGAACAUUUUUUAUACCAUAAAUAAUUUCUAAAAACACCAUCAAAGAUAAUUUUAAAGGCUAAAAAGCAGGUCUUUACUCUCAUGGAUGACCUUCGCAUCAUCAAAUUUGAAAUUUAUAAAGGCGAUGGUGUACACCAUGAAAGAGUGAAUUAAACGUGGCUUGGCAACCUUCUACUUGAGUAAACUCGUACUGGCAUGGCAAUGAUUUUACCAUUUUUAGUGUCAUUUUGAAAUUGAAAUGAUGCGUCUUACUAGGAAUGCUUGGUCAUGUAGAUUAGUUUACAAAGAAAAAAGUCAAUUCUAAAAAAAGAUUGAGACUUGUAGGCAAAGGGAAGUUUUCAGAGGAUUUAAAGGAAAUAAAAAAUAUAUUUCUGAAAUUUAAAACUCCAGUUUUUGGAAUUUUGUGUAAAACAAACCAAAAUUUAACCAACAUUUAGCAAGCUUUAUUGCAUUUUAUUUUUUCUUUUACCUUCCUUUGCUAUGUCAUUUUACCUCUACAAUUUGUUAGGAUUUGAGUCAAAUGAUUUAUUUAUUUAUUUUUAAAAAGUCAAUAUUGAUAAAUUUGCGUUUUGGUAAAUUAUCUUUUUAAGUUUUAUUAGAAAAAUAUUGAUUUAAGGUUAAUCAGUAAGAUUCUAUAAACAUGGUUUUAUUUAAAAGAAAAUAUAUGAUUUUAUAUAAAAUAAAACAUCUGACAAAAAAAGUUAAUAAAUUAUAAAUUCUCAAAGCUUAUUAAUAAAUUUGAUCAAUAUUUUUUUUUUUGUUAAUUAGUUUUAGUCAUCCUUUCCUACAAUGUGGGCAAUUAUAUCGAAUCAUACAAAUAAUAUUUUGUCUUCCCUAUUUUCUUAUAUUUUGUUUUUUUAUGUUUGGAUCAAGUGUUGUUGUGAUUUAUUUUUCUUAUAUUUGGGUGUAGUGAUUUUUCCAACACGAAUCAAAGACAACUCCCCCAUUUCCCACGUUCUAUAUAUUCUGUGGCAUCUUUAAAAGUAAAGGACUUAUCCGCUCCACCAUGAAAGUGGAAAAUAUGCUCUUAGCCAUGUUAGAAGAAAAAAGAAAAAGGGUAAAUGGGUUCCACCCACCUUUUCUUCCGAUUCUUAUGACUCUUAUCCAAAUGCAUAAGAAUCAAUGACUCUUAUCCAAUCCAUCCAUGGAUGGAGGCCCUGGAAGUUCUAAUUGUUAUGAUGGAUGAAUGUAUUGUUUUUUUUUAAAAAAACUAAUUUUUAGGUUAGAAGAGGCAACAUAUCAUUUACAAAAAUUUCUUUUAUGCUUUAGUCGUUGGGUUUAUAAAGGCUGCCUUCUAAUGAGUGAUUGACCUCAGCUUGUACCAAUCCUCUUGUCACCUUGACUCACUACGACGAGAAAAUCAGAGGUCCAUGCAUAUUUGAUUUAAAAAAUAUUCUUAUUUUUAUUCACUUGCACUUCCUUAAUGGAUUGACCCACCUUUAGACAAAGCAUCUAUUUUCCAAUUUGAACGGAGCUUUUGACUGAGAAAAGAAGUUGAGUGGCCACACCGUCGAGUAUGACUUUAUGCAUUGUGUUGGAAUCAAAUUUGUGGCUUGAGAUAAUUGAUCCAGUCCUCACCUUUACUUAUACUUUGUGUCCACAUUUUCUAGCUUGGUCUAAAUUUAUUUCCUUCCAUGCAUUUUAGUCUCAAUCUAAUGAGGUUUUUCAAAAAUGACUAAUCAAGGUUAUCAUAAAUAGUAUUUGGAAAGAUUGUUAACAUAUUUGAAUGGAGCCAUUAGCCUAGGGGCAAGAUUCCAAAUAAGUUGUGUUGCCCUCAUUUAAAGACACGUUAAAUCUGACAAUUGUUCUUUUUCCUUUUGUUUUACCUUUUCAUUUACAUAUGUGCCUGUUAGGCUUUGUAGAGUCUAGGUUUGUUUGAUUCGGUUUGGCGACCCGAUCCGAAUAAUAUUGCAUGACUUUUUAAUGGGAGAUUUACUAAGGCUUGUUGGACCCGUUUAACCCAUUGUGGAAUCACCUUUUUUAAUUAGGGUUUUUUAAUGUGGUGUGGUUGUCGUGUUAUAUAUAAAGAGAAAAUAUUGUAGCUGAUGUAGUUGUAUUCUGUAUUCUUCCUUGAUAAUAGUGAUAUCCCUGCAACUCCAUGAAUGUAGGCAAAUUGCCGAACCACGUAAAUACUGUCUUGUGCGUGUAAUUAUUUUUCUUUGACUUGUGUUUUCUCUAUUUUUUGUUUUUCACAGGUUGGGAAUUCGGUUUAAUUCCCUACCGUACUUAUUAAUCCUCAUGCAAUCUCAACUCAUACAUCAAUGGCUAAGUGUUUGAAUUUAACCUAAACAACCUCAAUAGGAAUGAGUAAACAUGCUAACAUCCAAAUAUUUUGUUUCAUUUUUCCCUAAAACUUCCUCUUUUACUUUAGCUAUUGAAAUUUACAAAUCAAAGCCAUAUUGUGAUUCUAGGUAAAAGUUUAAGACCAUGUUUGGUAACUGUUUUUUAAAAUAAUAUUUUGUUUUGCAAAACACAAAAACAAGAAAAUACAUUUGACUAUUAGAAAAGAGCACACUUUUUUGCUCUUCAAAAUAAAAAACAAAAAUGCUUUUUAGAUAAUAUUUUUUUAAUUAUUUUUACUUAUUUUUUAGGAGUUAUUUUAAAAAAUAAUUAUGCAAAUACGAAGAAUGAUUAAAAAUAAGGCACUACUAAAAAAAAUUAUUUUUAAAAUAUAUUAAAAAAACAUAAAAUAAAAAAGUAUGUUAAAAAUAUUUCAAAUUCUAAAAUAAUGUUUUGUUCAACAAAACAUUAACUAACAAUUUUAGUUUUUUUUUUUUGAAUACACUUCUCAAGUAGAGUUUAAGAUUCUAAUAGCCUACAUCAAGGCUAUAAUCGCCUAUACACUUGUUGUGGUUUUUUUUUUGAAAAAAAGGAUUUUAUUUUUUACUGUUCUAAAUUUAAUUUAAAAUAAGAAAUUAAAUUUUGAAUAAUAAUAAACAAAUCAUUAAAAUGUUAUAUUUAUUACCCUUUUGAAAUUUGUUUUUAGAAAAUCAGAUUCAAGAGAUUCAAUUUUUGUGUUGAUUAAUUUUUCUUUUUAAAAAAAGUAAUGUAUUUGGCGUUAUUUUGCUAUUAAGAAAAGUUUCACAAGUCAAAUAUAGAAUCCAUAUUUGUUAAAAAAAUAAUUUAAAAUAUUCAACCUUACUGCAUGAUUGAAUAUCUGGUCAACAAUAUUUAAGAUGUAUUAUAUACAUGACUUUCAUUUGUAUUUUUACUAUUAGAUUAUGAUCAUUAGAUAUCAGGAAAAAAUGAUGGAGAAAAAAAAAACACCUUGACCUACGAAUAAAGAGGAAGACCAUCUUCUAACUUCAAGGAAUUAAUCUUAGAUGGCAUCUUCAAAAGUGGGGGCCGGGCUUGUCUUCCGCCAUGCAAGUCGUAAAAUAAUAUUCUUAGCCAUGUUAAAUGAAAAAGAUGAGGUAAAUGGGUUCCACUUCCUACUUUUGUGCUGAUUCUUAUACACCAUGACAAGGAAACUAGAGGUUGGUUAGAACCAUUGGCUGAAACGGAACCUUAAUUAAGAUGUUGUACUUCUCAUAUUUCGGCUUGGAAUUCUAGAAUUUUCUUCUUUUUCUUUUUCUUCUUCUUCUUCUUCUUAUUAUUAUUAUUAUCAUUUUAUAAAAGUGAUGGAGUAUAUUAAAUGCUAUCAUAAAUUGUAUUAACCAUGUUGACACUAAUUAUUGAAUAAAAGACCUACUAAACAAUUUUAUGUUACUUACAACAUCUUCUUUUACCAUUUGUGAACCAUUGGCUGAAACGGAACCUUAAUUAAGAUGUUGUACUUCUCAUAUUUCGGCUUGGAAUUCUAGAAUUUUCUUCUUUUUCUUCUUCUUCUUCUUCUUCUUCUUAUUAUUAUUAUUAUUAUCAUUUUAUAAAAGUGAUGGAGUAUAUUAAAUGCUAUCAUAAAUUGUAUUAACCAUGUUGACACUAAUUAUUGAAUAAAAGACCUACUAAACAAUUUUAUGUUACUUACAACAUCUUCUUUUACCAUUUGUGAAGAUGAAGGUGCAAAUAGAAAAAAAGAAUAAAAAAAAAAAAGUAAUUUUUUUUCCUCUUUCAAUGGUCUCUUGGACCCUAAUAAAAUGGUUAUAAAGGUGGAAUAAAAGACAUUUUUCAUUCAAGAAUUAGAAAUGCAUCACAGAAUGAUUAGAAGAAGAUUUUGUUUCUUAUAUAUUUUUGUGCAAUUUAAUUUGUAUUAUACUACAAUAGUUCAAGGGGAAACUGACAAAAAAGGAUAUAGAUUCUUAUUUCUUUUUUAACAAGGAUAAUGAUUUUUGCAUGCAAUCUUAUAAUACGAUUGAUCCAUAUAAAUAUUAAUAGUAAGGUGCAAUUUCAAUGCAUUAAUCUCAAGUUCAAGCGUUUCCAUGUUGGAAUUUUCAUCCACGAGGAUAAGUUGGAAUCACAUUCUGGUCCACAAAAAAAAAAAAGGUAAAAACACCUCUAUAUAUAUAUAUAUAUAUAUUUGAAUACUCUUGUGAUUAUAGUGUAAGAGUUGGAGUUGUUUCUUGAUUUUCCAUAAACCAACCUACGCAUCUUUUACAACUGAUAAUAUGUCUUCUAUGUUUUCUAUUCACUUCCAUGUUAACAAGAAGAAUGUAGUCAUACCUUACCGUAGGGAAAAGAUACAACAGAUUUUCAAACAACAUGAUGCUAAUGGCGAUGGUAGUCUAAGCUUAGAGGAGCUUGCGACAGCCUAUGGAGAGCUAGACUUAAUUAUCCCCUUGAGAGCUCAUCUUUCACUCUUCCAUGCAGAUGCUAAUGGGGACGAAAAAAUCAACUCUUAGGAGAUGGAAUCUCUUAUCAAUUAUGCUAUGUAUCUGGGAUAUCGCAUUAUGUAAAAUACAAUCUACUCAUGUUCUUGUAAUAAAUGGCAUGUCAUAAUGACAUGUCCCCAUUUAAUAUAUAAAUAAUGCAUGUAGUUUUCCUAUUUGGUAACUAGGAAGACAAAAAGGAUAAGUUCCUUUGUUGUGUUUCCUUAUACGUAACUUAAAACUUUAUAAUUAUCUAUCUUUUAUGUAACUUAGUUUUUUUUUUUUUUUUCAUUUCAUAUUUUUUUUCUCCCUCUCUUUUUAUUCUUCUCCACCCAUUAUAAGACAGUAUGAAUUUCACAAUGACCAUAAAUGAGAGACUUGUAUGCAAGUAUAGUGCCACCUAGGCACGAGGUAGUGCUUCUCCCAAUGAUAGUUUAGGAGAGAAAUGAAAUGCUUAAUGCCAUUUAGUAAAUUAUGUAGAUUAAUUUGCAAGAAGAAGAGUCAUGUCUAAAUUAAAGUAGAUCAGAAGUCUUCAAAGUAAAAGAAAGUUUUAGAAAAAAAUUAAAUAGAAAGUGUAAAUUGACAAUAAUAAAAAAAAAAAAACUCAACAAUUACUUCUAAAAUCCUCAUGGAGUUUGAUGUAUAGAACAAAUCAAAAUUUAUACUCCACAUGUAACUCAAUGAUUUUCAACAUUUAAAAAUAUCUCAAACGCUAAAAAAAAAAAUUAGUUGUUUGGAUUAUUAUGGAAAAUAUGUGUUUAAUUCUCAAAAUCUAAUUUCAUUUUCAUAUUUUUUUGAAUAAUUUUUAAAUUAAAUUGCAUAUUUGAAUUUAUCUUAUUCAACAAAACAUUCUCAUAUUUUAGAAUUAAAAAAGAUCAAGAAAUUUAAAAUAGACCUAGUACUUCAUUUUGAAAUGUGAAAACAUAAUUUUUCUUAAGAGUAGAGUUCAUUUUCUGAGUUAGAGGGAUUAUGUGUUUCACUCUUUGACAUUCAUGUCACCAAGGCAACAUGCAACCUCCCACUUCUCCUCAUCUCUUUUUAUUUGUCCUUUUUCUCUCAUUCUCAUAUAUUGACAUGAAAAAAGUAAAUAAACCCACAAAUAUAUGAAUUCACACAUUCAUGCUAACAUGAAAGCUAGAGAAAAUGUUUCUUUCAAAUUUUGAUUAAGAUUAUGCUCUCAUAUAUUUAAAAGAUUGCUUAAUGUAUAGUUCUAAUAAAUUAACAUCUUUUUAACAAAAAAGUGCCCAUAGAGUACUACUUAUUAUGAAUAAUAAUUGAAAUUAAUUUCAAAUUGAUUCAAUUGGACUUUUAGUUUCUAGUAUUUUCAUACAUGUUAAACUAAAAUCCAAAUUUUCAGGUAUUGGUGUUAUGUGUAUAUAAAUAUGUCAACAUUCAAAUUUUUUAUUUCAUUUUUUUUGUACAUUAUACUCAUCUUUAAAUUUAAAUUGAAGUCAUGUUGUGAUACAAAGUAAAGGUUUAGCAUUCUAAUAUCCUACAUCCCUAUAAGGCAAUAACAAAUUAUACAUUUUUCUACAGAUAUGGUUAGAAAUGAAAUAAUAUCAAUUUUUUUCUUAAAUGAAAUUUUAUUUUUGAGUAUUUUCAGUUUAAUUAAAAUUACAAAUUCAAUUUUGAACAGUAAUAAACAUUUUACAAUAAAUUGAAUAAUAAUUAAAAAAUUAUAUUUAUUGCUAUUUUGAAAUUUAUCUUUAAGAAAUCUAAUUCAACAGAUUCAAUUUUUUAUAUUGAAUUUUUUUUUUUAUAAAUAUUGUUGUAUUUCAAGUUAUUUUUUAUUAAGAAAAAUUUUACAAACCAAAUAGGGAGUUGAUAUUUUGUCUUUAACAUAAAAAUCUAUUUUUAAAAACUAUUUAAAAUAUUACAUUGUAUAUUUGUUGGAGUUUUUUUUUUCUAAAAUAUUUUAUCAUUAUUUUUUGUACUAAAUUGUGAUUAGAAAUCAUAAAUAGUGGUGACAUUUAUUAAAUAAAAAAAAAUUAUUGGCAUCAUAUGUUGGUGAUCCAUGUAAUAUGAAAUGUAUAAUGAAUUCAUCGAAGAAAAUAGUACUACUCUAUCUUCUUCUUUUACAUUUAGGAAAAAAGAAGCCUUUAGGAAUUAAUCAUUGAUUUCAUCUUCAAAAGUGGGGAACUUGUCAUGCACCAUGAAAGUUGAAAAAUAAUGCUCUUAGCUUUGUUAAAUGAAAAAAGAUAAGGUAAAUGGUUCACUUCCAUCAUCCUACUUUCACUUUGAUUCUUAUCUACUUGAACACAAAUGAAUGAAUGAGUUUUUGUUCAAUUUAAUCCUUUCUUGGUUUGAAUGAUUUUUUUUUUGUACAAAAUAUUAAUAAUUCCAGGGAUUUUUAAUUUUUGUGAUUAUGGUGUUGGGUAUAACUUUUAAUAAUGGAUCAUAUCCUAUUUCAAAACCAACUCAUAGUUUCAUGAUGAAUUCAAAUUUAUAUCAAUAUUUUUGGCAUAUUUAUUGGACAACUUUUUUUCAUGAUAUAGACAAAUUCAGAAACAUAUUUGUCUGUUAUGACAAGAAAACUAGUGGUUGAUUUGAUCUAUUGGUUAAAAAGGAACCUCAAGAAGAUCUAUAAGUGAUGUGGGGCUUGAAAUUAUGGACUCCUCAUUUAAAAAAAAAAAAAAUAGUGAUGGAAUAUAUUAAAUGGUAUCAUUAACAGUAUUCAUCUUAUUGACACUGAUUAUAGAAUAAAUGACCCACUAAACAAUUAUAUGUUGCUUACAACAUCUUUUACCAUUUGCAUAGAUAAAGGUGCUAAUUAUAGAAAAAAAAGAGAGUAAAUUUUAUCUUCUAUCAAUGACCCCUUGCACCAUAACAAGAUAGUGAUAAAAGUGGAAAGAGAGACAUUUUUAGUAUAAGAAUUAGAAGUACUUCACAGAAUGAUUAGAAAAGGUUUUGCUUCAACUUAAUUUAUAAUAUCCUAUAAUAAUUUAAGGGAAAAAUGGCAUAAAAGGACAUGGAUUCUUUUUUUUUUUUUUCCUUAAUGAGGAUAAUGACUUUUGUAUGUAAUCUUAUAAUAGGAUCCAUAGAAACAUGAAUAGUAAGGUGCAAUCAAUGUGUUAAUCUCAAGUCCAAACCAUUCCAAAUUAGAAUUUCCAUGAGAAUAAGUUAGAAUCACAUUUUGGUCCACAAGCACACAAGCACAGAUAAAGACACCUCUAUAUAUGUGUUUGAAUACUCCUAUGAUUUUAGUGUAAGAGUUGGAGUUGUUUCUUAAUUUUUCGUAAACCAAUCUACACAUCUCUUACACCUAACAACAUGAUUUUUUCGUUUCCCCUUCACUUCCAUAUUUAUAAUAGUGUAAUUGUACCUAUCCCUAAAAAACAAUUAAAACAAACUUUCAAACAACAUGAUGCUAAUGGCAAUAGUAGUCUAAUCUUAGAGGAGCUUAUGUCAACCUUUGUAAAGCUAGACUCAUUUAUCUCCACUUGGAGAGCUCACCUUUCACUCAUCCAUGCAGAUACUAACAGGGAUGGAAAAAUUAGUUCUGAGGAGAUGAAAACUCUCAUCAACUACGCUAUGUCUUUGGGAUAUCAAAUGAGUAGAAUACUUUAUAUAUAUGUAUGCUUAUAAUGAAGGGUUUAUUGUUAUUUCAUGUCCUUUUUUAUAUAUGAUUAAUGCUUGUAGUUUUCUUGUUUGGUAACUAGGGAAGUAAGAAAGACAAGUCCUUUUGAUGUGUUUUCUUAUUUGUGUAACUUAAAAUUUUAUAAUUAUCUAUCUUUUAUGUAACCUAGUUUUUUUCUUCUUCAUUUUUUUUUCUUCCUUUGUUUUUUUACUCUUCUCCACUAACUAGAAGACAAUCUAGAUCUUGCAAUGACAGAAAAUGCAAGAUCUUGCAAUGUCAUAAAUUUUUAGCAUUAUUUGGUUUACUAUUUGAGUUUUAAAUUAUUUUUGAAAAUUACUAAACUUAUUAAUGAAUUCGACAGAUUAUAUAUAUAUAUGGAACUAACUUAGACAUUUAAAAUAAAUUUUGGUCUAUAACUUAGGAAUGUUAUUGAAUUGCAUGACUUUUUAAUACUAAUUAAAUUAGUUUUUGAGUUUCAAAUUAUUUUUGAAAAUUGAUAAAUUUUAUGUAUCAUAUAUAGUUUAAUUUGAAAUUUAUUUGCUUAAUAAAAAACUUUAGAGAAGUUAAAAGAAUUUUUUUUAAAUGUGUAAUUUAAAUAAAAGUCAUAUUUGAAUAAUUUUAUAUCGAUAUUGGUAUUAGAUAAGGAAGAGAGAAACAAAUAAAAUAAUAUCAUGUUCAAUUUUAUUUUAUUUUUUAUGGUUUUUUUUUUAAAUUUUCUAUGUUUUGUUUUUGUUUUUAAAAAUUGGUAAAAGAAACUUGUAAUCGUUCUCUAAAAACUGAUCUUUAUUUCACUUUAUUUUUUAAAAUUGUUUCCAAAGAACAAGAGUAAAAUAAUAUUAGGAAUUUUUAAAAAUAGUUUUUUUCCUUUUAAAAUCAAAAUAGCAUUUUUAGAUCACACGACCUAAUAGACUCAAAUGAUUUCCUAUCUUUUUUUUUGCUUUUAAAAAAAGAAAACAAAAAACAAAACAAAACAAAACCCUCUAGGAAUUAAUCAUUGAUGUCAUCUCCAAGAGUGGGUACUUGUCUUCCACCUUGCAAGUGGUAAAAUAAUCUUCUUGAGUUUUAGCCAUGUUUGAUGAAAAUGAACGAGACAAAUGAUUCCAUUUCCAUCAUUUUACUUUUGCUUCAACUCUUAUUGAACAUGAAUAAAAGCAUCGGUUUUUAUUCAAUUCAAUCCUUUCUUGGAUUGAUUGAUUGAUUUUUGUGCAAAACAUUAAUAAUGGCAGUGAUUUUUUAAUCUUUAUGAUUGAUUAAUACACCUUUUAUUAAUUUAUUGUUGGUUUAAAAUACAAUAUAAUUUUUUUUUAGGUUAUGUUGGAUUUCUGGAAAAUACUAAAGAAAAAAAAAUAUAAAGGAAAAUGAUUUUAUUAUGUUUGGUUAUUUAUAAAAAAUAUAAAAGAAAAUCAAAUAUAAUUAAAAUUAGUUAAAAGUUUAAUUUUUAUAUCAAUGAAUUAAAAUAAGUAAAAUGAAUUUAAAAUAACAAAUAAAAAUAAUUUAUCAAUUUUUAAUUUCUUUUUUCCUUUUAUUUUUUUUAUUUUAUAUUUUCUUUCCCUUACAUUUUCCCUUAAAUUUUUCGAAAACCAAACAUAACAUUAUUGUUUAGUUUUUAUUGUUUUAAGUAUUACGGUCUAUUCUGUUUCUAGAUCGAUUUUCUAGUUCCUACUUUUAUUCGUCAUUGGGCUUAAUGGGAUAAACAAAUUCAAAUAAAAGCCUGUCGGCCACACCAAGAAAAUUAGUGAUACGUGCAUAUUUGGUUUCAUGAAUUGACUGAACAGGAACCUGAAGAAAUUCUCCAUCAAAAUUCUCCCCACAACCUCAUCCUCAGCGACUGGGAGUGGACCAUAAAAAUGGCAUCUGUUUUCAGGUAUGAAAAGAAUUUCCAUAAAUGAAUGGUUUAUAAUCCUACCGAAAAAGAUGCCUGAGUGGCACCAGAUACAAGGGAUGAGAUGGUAGGCCUUUGGUCUACUGGUGUAAAGAGGAGGAUCCACAGUAACGAUAUUCCAGGGUGACGGCACCAACGUCACGGCAUUGUACUUUAUUGUCAUUGACUCAUUCAUUCUUAAUUCAUAUUUAUACAAUGCUUGAAAACCAAUUCAAAACAAUCAAAAUAUAUUCUUAAAAAACAAUAUUUUUUUGGAACAAGUUCUAUUUUUUUUUUUUAUCAAAAGACAAUCAAACAUACUUUUAAGUUUGAAAAACAAUUUUUCAAUUUUAAAAACAAAAAAUUAUUUAAUUUUCAAAAACAGUUUCUAGUUGAGUUAUAAAUAUCUAAGUACAAUUUGCUACACUAGCUUUGGAUUGCAGUUGUUACCCUAAGACUAUAUUUUGUUCCUAGAAAGUACUAAAAGAAAAAACAAUAUUUUAUAUAUAUAUAUAUAUAUAUAUAUUUACGUUUGAUUUUAUCAUGAAAAAUAUAAAACAAAAAAUCAAAUAUAAUUAAAAUUAUUUAAAAAUUUAUACAAAUUUUAAAUUAUUUAAUCUUUAUAUAAUAGAGUAAAAUAAGUAAUAAUUUUUUAAAAAAUUAUAUAAAAUAAUUUAUUGACUUUAAAUUUUUUUUUUAUUUUCCUUUAUUUUUUCUUUCCUUCAACUUUUCUUUUUUGUUUUCUUCCCUUGGAUUUUCCCUCAAAUUUUCCCGAGACCCAAACACAACCUAAGACAAUUUUAUAGGUGGGCCCACAUAAAUAUUUGAGUACAACUUCUAUUAAUUUUUUUUCAAAUGUAUAUGUUUUUUCCCUUUUUUUUUUUCUCUAUUCAUUGCCUCAAAUUAUUUGGAGAAUACUUCAUGUAUAACCGAUCAAAAUGAUGAGUAUGUCAUUUUCUUUCUUUCUUUUUUUUUCUUAAUCACCAAUUUGUUAAGAGAAAAAAAAAACCCCAAAGUAAGCAACCGUGCAUGUUUUAAAACAUUUUUCAAAAUAGCUAUCAAAAAAUUAUUAUUAUUUUUUUUUUAAAAUUGUGAUAUUUUUAAAAUAGAACUUAGAAUAUUUUAAACUUAUUUUAUGUGUAAUCAAAAUUUUUUUUAAAUGAUUUUUUUAUAGUGCUUUAUUUUCAAUUAUUUUUCAUAAAUAAUAAAAAAAAGAGUGAAAACAAAUAAAAACAAUUAAAAAAUAUUAUUAGAAGACACCAUAAUUUUAAACAUAAUUAUCAAAAAACCAUUUUCUAUAAAGCAUAUGUAUUUUGAAAAUUUGAGAUACAGUUUUCAUUUUUAAUAAUAAAAUACUAUUUUUAAAAAGAAUUUUCAAACAUAUUCCUAAAGAUUCUUAUACAAUUACUAAAACUUGGAGAGCAUGAUUUCGAGAUGUCGCAAUUAUUCCUUAUUACAUAAUCUCUUUACUAAUUAAUUACAUAAUAUCUUUACUAACUACACAAGACGUUCAUCUUCCAUCAAGAUAAGGUUGAAUCACAUAAUAAUCCACUAAAUAUAUGUAUAUAAAAGGUGGAAUAAUCCACUGAGAAACAAAGGAGAACUCUCUCUCACUAUAUAUAUGUAGUGCCAAGAGUUGGAGUUGUUUGUUAAUAUUUCCCAUAAUAAUCAAGCCCCUCUACUCCAUUGAAAAGAUUUCUUCCUCUUUCAUGCCUAUUCAUUAUUCAUAUACACAAGAACACAACUGUUCCAGCGCUAGGAACAGUUGAAGGAGAUUUUCAAACGAUAUGACAUCAAUGGUGAUGGUAACUUGAGCAAAGAAGAGUUGAAAGUUGCUUUCAAACAAUUAGGUUCAUAUAUCCCCGAUUUGAGAGCUUAUCUUUCACUCUACCAUGUCGAUGCCAAUGAAAAUGGAUACAUCAACCUCGAGGAGAUGGAAGCACUCAUCAACUACGUUAUAUCAAUAGGAUAUUACAUUAAGUAAAAGUUAUCAUAAUAAGGGGUUUGCUAUAUAUAUUGUGCCCUUUUUAUAUAGUGUGUAAGAUAGAUGAUGCAUGUACCGAUCUUCUCGUAUAUAGAAAAACAUGAGGUACAAAUCCUUAUAUUAUGUUUCCCCUCUAUUGUAACUAAAAACUUUAUAAUAUAUGUAUCAUGUGACACUAAAUCUAACCUUUUUUGUUUUGUGCUAUCAUUUUCCAACUUAGUUGAUAUUCAAACUAUAAGACCAUUGAUUAUAUGGACUUUGCAAGGUUGAUCACUAGAAGUUAGUUAUACCCAUAAUUAUUAAUAUAAUAAUACUGCAAAUGAUCAAUGAUUGAUGUUUUGAAAUUCUUAAAAUAUGUCUAAUAUUAAUUAAUUUGUUUAAUUUAUUGCAUAUAUUUCAAAAGUAUAGAUAUUAGUUAAAAUAUGGAUUGGGUUAUUUUGAAAAGUGUUUAAUUAUUUAUUCCAUAUAUGAUGUCAAUUUUAUUUUAUACUUUCUCUAUUGUUAUGAUAUCAUUGAUAAGUUUUUUUUUUCUUUUUGAAUUAUCAACAACCUAUAUUAUUUUAUUUUUGAAAAUUGUUAUUUGUAUGAGAACAAGAGCUAAGAAAAGCAUGAGACAAAGAAUUACAAUUCCAAAAAGCAAACUUAAAUUUAGGGUAAGUUUAGUUCUAAGAAAAAAUGUUAAGAAAAAUGAGUUUUUCAUAUUUGAUUUCAAAGUGAAAAAUCAGAAUAAAAAUUAAAUAUAAUUAAAAUUAUUUAAAAAUCCAUAUAUUUUUAAAUAAUUUAAAUCCUUAUUUAAAAAAGAAAAAAAUAAAUGAAAUGAAUUUGAAAUAAUAUAUACAAAUAAUAUUUAUUGAUUUUAAAUUUAUUUUUAUUUUUUUUCUAUAUUCUUUUCUUCAAAUUUUUCAAAAACUAAUAAUAACCUAAAGAACUAUGCCUAGAAUCUACCACUACAAAAUCCAUGGUUUUAAAAAUCAGAACGGACUAGCCGGUCCGAUCGGUUUGACAGUCGGCUAGUCAUGGUUCCGGUCCGAUCUGAUCAUUUAGACCGAAAAUAGAUUGAAUCGGGAUUGGACCGAUUGAACCAGUGGUCCGAUUGGUGAACCGGACGGCUCAAUUAAUUUUUUUUUUUUCAACAUCAAAACGACGCCGUUUUGGAUGACUUCCUUCCAAACCCUCCUCUUUAUAUUUGCAGCAGCUGCCGCCCGCCUCCAGGCCCACCCCCAACGUGUCGAGACAGGCUCCCACCGCUGUAACUGCUCCCCUCUUCCCCUCCCCAACUUGUGCAGUGGCAGUAGCUGCUUCAACCCCCGACUGUAACCCCACCUCUUUCCCUUCUCAGCCUGUGCAGAAGGUGAACAAGACUGGAAAACACCCCUGAGAAUUUAAAAACUCGGCACACUUUAGGAAAAGUGAGAUGGGAGAUUGGGUGUAGAUGGCACCCCCGCACCCCCCCGACCUAUGUAGUGGCAGUAAAAUUUUAAAUUUAUUUUUUAUGUUUUAUUAUUUUUAUAUUUAUUAUUUAAUGUGUUAUUUUUAUUUGUUGAUCAUAAUUUGAUAGAUAUUGGUAGAAUUUAUUAUUUUUUAAAUUUUUAAAUUUUUUCGAUAAUUUUUUCGAUUCAAUGACCAAUCCGAUUCUGAAAAUAUUGACAAAAUCUCAUCGAGAUGAUGUUAAGAAUUUUCAAUUUUUUGAAGAUAUAUAUAAAACAUAAUGAUUCAAUUAAGUAAAAUGCAUAAAACAAACUCAUAAAUAUAUUAUUAUUAAUAUAUUUUAUUUUCCAAAAGAUAAAAAUAAAAAUAAUCCAUCAAUGUAUAGACUCAGCUUUAGGCAAUUCGUUCGUUGAGGAAAGUAAAGACCAAGGACCAUAAGGAGUAAGGACCACGUAACUGAUAACCGAAAGAAGAGAGGGGGACCUUCAUAGACAAAAAAGAAUAUACCCUUUUAGGGGUCUAUCAUACGCACGUGCGACAGCAAGUGACCCUUUCUGAAUUUUUGUGGUAUGAUCUGUUUAUCCUUCGAAAAAAUUUAAAAACCAUACCGCUAAGAUAAGCAGACCACAGGGUCGACUUCUGGGCCCAAUUUCUAAUGGUUGACGGAUUCAGAUUCGAGUCAAUCUAUGAACAUGGCGGCAUUGCCUAUUUCCUAGGCUCCUAACUUUUAGCAUAAUAAUAGACAUCUGGCCAGGAAAGGCCACAUAAGAAGGGGAUACCACCAUACGCUUUCUUUCUUUCUUUCCAACCUGUUGUUUCCUUUUGCAUGAUUCCAUCUUGUAUUAUAGUUUUAAUUUUAAAAAAUAUUGAACAUUGGGAUAUAACAUGUCUUUCAUCCCUUUUUUUUUUUCCACUUUUUUUUAAGAAUUAAUUAGUUAAAAGGAAUGAAAUAACUCUCAUAUUUAUGAAUUUAAAAGUUUGUUUGGCAAUUAUUUUUGAAAAUAAUUCUGAAUAGUUUUUUAGAACACUUUUUAAAAAUUGUUAUUUAUUUUUUAUAGAAUAAAAGUCUAUUUUGAAAACUUAAAAUGUUUUUAGUUUAUUUUUAAUAUUUUAAAAUAUGUUUUAAAAAUAAUUUUUAUAUCUAUUUUUUUAUUUUUUAUUAUUUUAUAUAUUUGUAUAAUUAUUUAUUAAAAUAAUCAUCAGAAAACAAGUGAAAAUAAUAAAAAAUAACUAAAAUAUGUUAUUUGAAAAUAGUUUUUAAUUAUUAAAUGUGUUUUUUGUUUUGAAAAAUAAAAAACUAUUCUAAAUAUAGUUCAUAACUAAACCUUAACCCUUUUCAUGUUUUUACUUGAAAAAUGACCUAUAUUUGACAUAAAUGUCCUAUAUUAUUUCAAGUAUUUAUAUGUCGUUUUAAAAAAACUGAUUAUUUAAAAAAUAAUAAUGAUAUUUUUAUUAAAAUAAGAUUAAAAAAAUGAAGGGUUAAAUUUUCAAAUGUGGGUUUUUGAUGACCCUUUAAUCAAAUAACCACUCUAUAAAUCAAAUAUUAAUGUGAUAUUACAUAUCUAAUUGAAUAUCUUAAAAUGUUUUUUUAAUAAAAUAUAAUAUCUUUGUAUAUUAUAUUUGAUAAAAAUAAUAUUUUAUAUAUUUUCUACUUUAAAAUUGUGAUGGCUUAUUAAAUUUAAAAUAAACAAUAUUCAUAUAGUAGGAAAUAGGUUAUUAGACUAAAUCCUACUAUUUUUUUAAUUACAUUAAUUAAUUUAUGGGUGUUGUGAAUUAAUAUUUGAAUCAAAAUGAUUAAGCUAUUGUAAGCAUAUGUGAGUUAUAAAUAUAACAAAACAUUGAAAUACAACACCAAUGCUAUGCUUGAAGAGCAUGAAACCGAUUGUCCCCUGUUAUGACUUUAAUAUAUAAAAAUCAUGUCAAUCAAUGUAUAAUAGGUGAAGUGGGGUUUAGGAAUAUUAAGACCCAAUAAGGGAUAAUUUUUUUUUUUUUUUUUUUGGAUUUUGAAGUUGUAAUUUUAAAACGGGUUAUGAGUGUUUUAGUUAGGUUGACAAUUUUGGAUAAAAAUUCUUGUGUCUUCUAACUCGGGUUUUUCAAAUAUUUCCUUGGAUUACUUGCUUAAUGAAGAUGAAGAUGUUGAAAUUGCUUAAAGGUCAAAAUAUGUAUUUAAGGUUAUUGAUUGAUAAAAUUGAAUCAACUAAAGCUUUUCAAAUUGUUGUUUUUCUUACAUCACUUUUUUAAAGACUUGAGGAGGCUAGUGUAACAAUUUUUACUAAGUGUCUAUGUACCAUAUUAUAGGAUUAAUCCAGAUUUAAGUAAGAUUAAUCAAUCUUUUGCUGGAUUUUCUUUGAGUUAUUAGAUUAAGGGUUUCUUUUCAUAUUGAAUCCAAAUGUUUGAGGGUAGAGACACCAACAACCAUUUUUGUUUCUCCUUGAGUUCUCUUUCUUCAAUCAAAAUUGAGAGUGUUUGGUUUCUAAGAAAAUCCUUCUUAAUUAUCUUGAUUUUCAAAUCGUUUAUCAAUUGAAUUUUCUUAAAAAAAAAAAAAAAAGGGUUGAUUCAUAUCAUUCAUUCAUCUUCAUUUUCUCAUUUGUUUGGGUUUAGGUGAAAACUCAUAUUCUUCUUGUAUGGAUUCAAGAAGAAGUUGAGAUCAAGUUUGAUAUGUACUCCAAGUGCGAUCCAAAAGAAAAGACAUAUUGUUGAAGUGAAAAAGUGUUAACCAAGUAAUCCGUGAAAGAUUGAUGGAUUUGAGCUAGGUAAAUCUUUCUAUAUAUUGAUUGUUCUUCAUAAUGGAAGCUUUUAAUCAUUGAUAGACUCGUUUUUUUUUUAUCUCUAAAAGAUUUUUCCUAUAAAAAUCUGGUGUCAUUGUCUUUUCCUCAUUCUCCUCAUUUAUUUAUUUCCAUUUAUUGAUCUCAAUUUCACACUUGGGCAUAUAUGUUGGAUGAUGAAAAAUGAGUUCAAUCAUCCUUUGGAGAUCUUAGAUAAUUUUUUAUUCAAUUUGAUCAUGAUAUCAAGUAAUAAUUGAAAAUGUAUCAAAGAGUUAAUUAUUUUCGUGAAUUUAGGUUGGAGAAUGUUGACUAAUUUGCAUGUGAAUUGUAUCUAUAAAUUGGUAAAAGAGUGUUGUUGUACUUAUAUUUAUUUGUAAUUUUUAUUUUCUAUUAAAAAGUUGUUGGAAGAGAAGAAUUUGAACUACGAUAAAUUUUGAAAAAAGAUGAUAUGUAUCAAUAAUCUCUUGAAUUUGUUUAAAAAUACAUAUCCACUCCUUUUAGGUGUAGUCAGAUUUAUCUUUAUAAUUCAUAAUUUAUUCCAAUAAAAUUAGCAAAGAAUAUUAAAAUUGAUUACUGUGAAAAUUGCCUUCCUUGUUGAACAAAGAAAUAUGUAGAGUUUGUUAGGUUGUUACAAGUUAGUGGAAUUUUUUUAUUUUGUUAUUUUUCAUUUUCUGGAUGAGCUGGACUCUUCUCGAUUGUUCCAAGCCUUCCUAUAUAUGUAGCUACUGUACAAUAAGUGGGGGUGAAAUCAAUGAAUUAGUUUUAUUUCCCUCUUAGGCCUUUGUUUGCCUUUCUUGCCAUUUACCUUUUAUUUUUCUAUUAUGGUAUCAGAGCAUAUUCCUUCCAUUUUUCCUUCCUUCUGAGCAUGGCUAAGGGCAAACCUCCUCAGCAUUCUUUUCAGUCUCCCAUGGAAGAUCAUAGUAGUCCCUAUUUUCUUCACAAUGGUGAUCAUCCAAGUCUCUCUCUGGUUUCUCUUUCACUUGUUGGAUCUGGUUCAAACUAUCAUUCUUGGCGCCGAUCAAUGGUUACAGCUCUAAAUGCUAAAAACAAACUUGGGUUUGUAGAUGGAACCAUCUCACGUCCUGCUGCAACAGAUCUCCUUGCUGGUCCUUGGUCUCGCUGCAACAGCAUGGUCGUAUCUUGGCUCUCUAACUCGGUUUGCAAAGAAAUUGCAGAGAGCAUCCUCUAUCAUGAAACAGCCAUCGAAAUAUGGAAUGAUCUAUACGAACGAUUUCAUCAGGGCAGUGGUCCUCGAAUUUUUGAACUCAAGCAAAAAAUUCUUGCUCACACUCAGGGAUCGGCUGAUGUCAAUACCUACUAUACUCGACUAAAAUCCUUGUGGGAUGAGCUUCGAGAAUUCAAGGCGAUACCGGUUUGCAAUUGCGGUGGCAUGCGUGUUUAUAUGGAGGAUCAACAACGAGAAUCUGUGAUGCAAUUUCUGCUGGGUUUGAACGAAUCCUUUGCUCCGAUUCGAGCUCAGAUCCUGUUGAUGGAACCGACUCCUCCGCUGAACAAAGUUUUCUCCCUGGUUGUUCAAGAAGAACGACAACGAUCUCUUACCACAUCCAACUCUCCGGCAUUCACUGCUCCUGUUUCCUCCAGAUUUCAAGCGGCAUCCAGAGCUUCUUCUCCUACUAAUGCCUCUCGAUCAAGAAAUGAUCGCCCACUCUGUACCCAUUGCAACAUCUUGGGUCACACAGUUGAUCGGUGCUACAAAAUACAUGGGUAUCCACCUGGAUUCAGAAAUAGGCCCAACUUCAGGCCCAAUGGUUCUCGCCCAAAUCAGAUGCUACCCAAUAGUCUUCACACGAAUCAGUUAACUCUCACAGAUGGCUCCACCGCUUCUGCAUCUCCACCGCCUCUCACUCAUGACCAGCACAAUCAGUUAUUGGCUCUCUUGAGUUUGCACAACUCGAGUGGCUCCUCUGCCUCAUUCGAUGACAGCAACCCGCUUCAGCAAUCCAUUUCCAACUUCACUGGUAUCCUUUCUCUUUCUCCUUCAUCAUCCACUCUCAACCCUAGCAUUUGGAUUUUACAUUCAGGGGCAACCCACCAUGUUUGCACUAAUUCCUCCAUGUUUCACUCUAUUCAUUCAUUUUCUUCCAACACUGUCACUUUACCCACUGGUACAAAAAUACCAAUCACCGGAAUAGGCACCAUUCAUCUGUCACCUCAUCUCGUGCUUGAACAUGUUCUCUACAUUCCAACAUUUCAAUUUAAUCUUAUCUCCAUUAGUGCCUUAACUCAAACCAAUUGUUUUUCCUUUGAUUUUACUACUCAUUUUUGCUUCAUUCAGGACCAUUCACAGGGGAAGCUGAUUGGGAUGGGUAGACGUCAAGGCAACCUUUACCUCUUAGAUAGCUCAGCCUUUCGUUCUAUUUCCUCUGUAUUCGUUGUUGAUAACAACACUUCUGCUCAUGUAAACAAAUUGUGGCAUUUCAGAUUAGGCCACCCAUCUAAUGUCAAACUCAGUGUAUUGAAACCUCAUUUACAGUUGCAAAGUAAUGGCAAUACCAAUCUUUCUUGUUCAAUCUGCCCUCUGGCUAAACAGAAACGUUUGCCAUUUGAUUGCCAUAAUAAUUUAUCUUCUUCUCCUUUUGAUCUCAUACACUGUGAUAUUUGGGGUCCAUUUCAUAUUCCCACACAUGAUGGAUUUCGUUAUUUUUUGACAAUCGUUGAUGAUUGUACAAGGAAUACAUGGGUUCAUCUUCUACGUGCUAAAUCUGAUGUCAAGACCAUUUUUCCACAAUUUUUCUCCAUGGUUAAAACCCAGUUUGGUCUCACAAUUAAAGCAGUUCGCAGUGACAAUGCCCCUGAAUUAAAUCUGUCCAAUCUCUUUACCCAACUUGGUGUGCUCCAUUUUUUCUCUUGUGUUGAAACUCCUCAACAAAACUCGGUUGUUGAGCGUAAACACCAACACAUCCUAAACGUAGCUCGGGCCUUAUAUUUCCAAUCCAACAUACCUAUAGGAUAUUGGGGGGAUUGUGUGCUUACUUCGGUUUAUCUUAUAAAUCGAAUUCCAUCACCAUUACUGAACAACAAAACUCCUUUUGAGCUACUUCAUCAUAAAUCACCAUCUUACUCCCAUCUCAAAUCUUUCGGAUGUCUUUGUUAUAGUUCAACUUUUCCUAGCACCCGUCACAAAUUCUCUCCUCGAGCCUUACCUUGUGUUUUUUUAGGAUAUCCUUUUGGUUACAAAGGUUACAAAAUUCUAGACUUAGAGACCAACCGAAUAUCUGUCUCUCGGAAUGUUAUCUUCCAAGAAUCUGUGUUUCCUUUCAAGUUAUCUCAGAAUAAUAACUCUGUUGCUUCAGAUUUCUUUUCUGAAAAGGUGCUGCAUGUUGUACCAGUUUCUACCCCUUCCCCUUCUUUUGAUAAUUUGACUUCACAUCCUAACAGCCCUGACUCUUCCUCCAAUGACACUUCACCUCAUACCUCCUCCCACACAACCACCAGAUCUUCUAGAGUAUCCCAGCCACCCAAAUAUCUCUCUGAUUAUCACUGUUAUUUAGCUUCUUCUACUCCUCAUUUUGAUAUAUCCAACUCCACUCCUUACCCCUUAUCUGAUGUCAUCUCCUACAAUAAACUUUCCCCUUCUUUUCGUGCAUUUUCUAUUUCCAUUUCCACCAUCACAGAACCAACAACAUAUGCUGAGGCAGUCGUUGUACCCGAGUGGCAGCAUGCUAUGCGAGCUGAACUGCAAGCUUUAGAGUCCAAUAAUACCUGGUCUUUGUGCACUCUACCCCCUGGAAAAACAGCAAUUGGUUGCAAAUGGCUUUAUCGUGUUAAAUAUCAUGCUGAUGGUUCUAUUGAAAGGUACAAAGCACGACUUGUUGCCAAAGGGUUCACACAGCAGGAAGGUGUUGAUUUUUUUGAUACUUUUUCACCUGUUGCCAAGAUGGUUACUGUCAAGGUAUUACUCUCUCUUGCUUCUAUUUACAAUUGGCAUUUGACUCACCUUGAUGUCAACAAUGCAUUUUUGCACGGUGAUCUGUCUGAAGAAGUUUUCAUGCAUCUUCCUCCUGGUUAUCACCGUGAGGGGGAGCCUUUAUUACCUUCCAACACAGUUUGUAAGUUACACAAAUCCAUCUAUGGCUUGAGACAAGCAUCUAGGCAGUGGUUUGCAAAAUUCUCUGGUGUUCUAAUCUCUGAAGGCUUUCAGCAAUCUCAUUCAGAUUAUUCUCUAUUUAUCAAGACAGCAGGAAAUGAUUUUAUUGCUUUGUUAGUGUAUGUUGAUGACAUAAUAGUUGCUAGUAACAACAAGAUUGCUGCUGAUAAUUUGAAGAAUUCUCUCAACAAAAGCUUCAAAUUAAAGGAUCUAGGAAAUCUCAAGUAUUUUCUUGGACUUGAAGUAGCUAGAUCAGCUAAAGGGAUCCUGAUAAACCAGAGAAAAUAUGCUCUGGAACUCCUAUCUGAAACAGGCUACUUAGGAUGCAAACCUGCCAAAACUCCAAUGCAACCGAAUAUGCAACUUUCUCAAGAUGAUGGAGAGCUGCUAACAGAUCCCAGCAUGUACAGAAGGCUCAUAGGGAAGCUUAUAUACCUUACUAUCACCAGGCCAGACCUAACUUACUCGGUGAACAAGUUGAGCCAAUUCCUAAGUCAACCGAGGAGACCACAUUUGCAAGCAGUCUAUAGGAUUCUUCAAUAUAUCAAAGGCUCACCAGGCAAAGGUAUUUUCUUCUCAGCUUCCUCAUCUCUUCAAUUAAAGGCCUUCUCAGAUUCUGAUUGGGCAGCAUGCCCAGAUUCUAGAAAAUCAGUUACUGGAUUUUGUAUAUUUCUUGGAGAUUCUUUGAUAUCAUGGAAAUAAAAAAAGCAAAGGACAGUUUCAAGAUCCUCAGCUGAAGCAGAGUAUCGAGCAAUGGCUCAUGUGACUUGUGAGCUAACAUGGUUGAUUGCCUUACUCAAGGACUUAGGAGUUCCACACACACAACCUGCUUUGUUGUACUGUGACAACCAAGCUGCUCUACACAUUGCUGCAAACCCGGUCUUCCAUGAGCGUACUAAACACAUAGAGAUAGAUUGUCAUAUUGUAAGAGAGAAGAUUCAAACAGGUAUGCUCAAAACUCUGCAUGUUGCUUCACAACAUCAAUUGGCUGAUAUACUUACCAAACCUCUCUUUCCUGAUCAAUUCAAUUCUCUCAUAGACAAGAUGGGAAUGUAUAACAUAUACAUUCCAUCUUGAGGGGGAGUAUUAAAAUUGAUUACUGUGAAAAUUGCCUUCCUUGUUGAACAAAGAAAUAUGCAGAGUUUGUUAGGUUGUUACAAGUUAGUGGAAUUUUUUUAUUUUGUUAUUUUUCAUUUUCUGGAUGAGCUGGACUCUUCUCGAUUGUUCCAAGCCUUCCUAUAUAUGUAGCUACUGUACAAUAAGUGGGGGUGAAAUCAAUGAAUUAGUUUUAUUUCCCUCUCAGGCCUUUGUUUGCCUUUCUUGCCAUUUACCUUUUAUUUUUCUAUUAAAGAAUAAUAAAAAUUAUGAAAUUUGAAAAAGUGUUAUAAAAAACUAAUCCAAAGAGGAUCCAUGCGCCAUGACACACGCUAAUGUUCAAUCAUUUGACAGUAUUGGGGUAUAGAUACCUCGAUGUUACAGUCAAAGGACCGCCUGGUUUUUGGGCCCAUAACUUUUUGUUUGAUGGAUUCUGAUUCGGACCAAUCUCCUCAAUCCCAACCCGGCCUGUAGGUCCAAGAAUUUGUGAUUUAAUCAAGCGGCCACCGCCUAACAAAGAAAGUAUCACACCAUGUGAUCUGCCAUGUAUCACAUGGAAUUGGCUGAUUCUAUUCUUCAAAGGUCGAGAAUCCAUUCUCAUUCAAGUUGAUGAGUAGAGACCUGGCCCCUACAUAUAUAUAUAUAUAUAUAUAUAACAGGAUAGGAACUUUGGCAGGCUCCACCUGGGAAAUUAAUGAGCCGAAGGAUGUUGAAAUUGGAUUAAUAUAAGAUUUUUAUAGAGGGACCCAUCUAAAAGCUGAAUCUUGUGCGGUUUCUAUUAACAAAAAUGCUUGGAACCCUUGAACAAGAAGACAGUUCCACGAUUCCAUCAAAGAUAAUUUGGAAUCAUAAAAUGGCCCACAGUAUAGUCCAUAUGGAGGAAUACCAAAAGCGAGGUCUAUAUAUAUACAUACAUAUCCUUGUUUCCUGAUCACACGCACUUCUUCAGAUAGCUAGCUAGCACUAUUGAAUCCUCCAGAGUAGUCCCUUGAAAAACAUGCCUCGUCAUUGGAAUUACCAUUUUCCCACCCCUGAAGACAGCAAGUCCACAAGUGUUCCCUACACUAAGCAGCAGUUAGAUGAAUUCUUCAAACACCAUGACAAAAACGGCGACAAAUUGCUGAGCAAGGAAGAGCUGAAAAAGGCCUUCGACGAUCUGCAGUCACGUAAUCCUGGGUUUAGAGCAUGGAGAGCGAUGGGCAAAGCUGAUACGAAUGGAGAUCAGCACAUCAGCCAGCAGGAGAUGGAGGCUCUUCUGAAUUAUGCUGUGGGAAUAAAAUAUCAGAUCAAGGCAUAACAACCUUUCACUUACGUGCUUUAUAAUAAGGGGUCAACUAUGUAUGAUGCCCCAUCUUAUGAAUGUUCUCUUUACUCGACUGGGAGCAUAUGUACUUUAGCUUUCUCUAUUAACUAGACAAGUGUAACAGUGGGAGAUGAAGCUCCGUACGUGCCUCCAUUAUAAAAUUUCUAUCUGGGGAUGCUUGGACUAAAAUGAAUCCUUCAUCAGUGCUUGUUUUGAUUUUAUAACCGUUAAUUGACAUUCAGAAGCGAAACCUGUAGACCUUGUCCCGAAAGAACCUCCUCCUUUCUUUAGUUAUUCCUUCCAUCCAUUAUUGUCUUAUAAUAAGAUUUUUUUUUUAAAUUUAAUUAAGGGAACAUCAUGUUAAAAAGGCAAAUUAUGCAAUUUUAGUUUGACUUUUAAAAAUAAAAAGCAAUAAUCACUCCAACAUAAAAGGUGACAACUUUUAAAAAACUUGUCUUAAAAAAAAUGGAUUUUAAAAAUUAUUUUAAAAUUUGAUGUAUCAAAAUAUUUUUAACAUCUAAAAUUUUUAAAAGUAUAAGAUAAAUCUAUAUAUAUAUAUAAGAGCUAUUACAUUUUAUAUAUAUAGCUACAUCAUCUCAUUUAUGAUUUAAUAAAGCUAUUUUUAAAUUUUUAGAAAGGCCACUCAAGAUAUAUACUUGGAUUAUGCAUCCAUAUGAUAAUCAUGAUAGUUGGAGGAGAUGUAUCUUGGAAAAGUGUCAAAUAGAUACAUGUAGCUUCAUCCACUAUAGAAAGGUAGUUGGAUUUUGUGACUUCAAUUAUGCAAGCUGCAUGGCUUGUUUAUGUAUUGCAUGCUUGUGAUAGAUCAUUUUCAUUAUAUUUGUAAUAUUGUAUGUGUACAAUUCCUCAUUUGAAUGGUAAUGUGUGGAUUUGAGACAUUUGAUUUGUCUCAAAAUAUAUUGUUGUUUGAUUCAUAAGUGCUUAAUAAAUCUCGAACGCCUAAUUGUGUGUUUUAAUAUAUCAUAUUAGUUCAUUUUCAUGUAUGACUAUUUCUUGACUCUAUGACUAGUUUUUAGCUCUAUGUGUUUUGUAGGAUAUUUUAAAUUAUUUGACAUUUCGUGGUUGAGUGGGUAUUUAUGUGUGUCUAUGUAUGUAUGGCAUCCUCAAGAGCUACCAUGGACGAGCAAUUUUUGGCUUUCUAUGAUAUGCUUUAAAGUUCAAAUAAGAUAAAAUUAUAUUUUCAUUAAUAUAAUUGUAAUCAUUAUUUUUUUAACAAGUUUGUAAUUAUAUGCAAAAUCAUUACAUUUAUGUAGUUUUAAUAAAACUAUUUUAAAUUUUAUAAAUAAUUUUUAAUUAAAUUUGUUUAUUUGAAAUUAAUGUCCCAACUUUAGUUUCGGUCUCAAAUCAAAGUUAUAAGUAAUACGGUAUUUUCAAUGAGACCUUAUAUUUAAUUGUUACUUAAUUUGAUAAACAUUAUUCAUGAUUAUUUAAAAGUUUUAGAUUUUUUAAGUAAUUUAUAAAACUAUGAAGUUAAAUAUAUCAAUUUGUUUUCUUAUUAAUUAAUGACAUGUAUAAGAAAAGGUUAUAUGAAGUAUAGGUUUUAGAUGUUUUUAUUACUUAUGGUUUAAAUUGUUAAUUUAAAUUAAUUAUUGACAACUUAACAAGUCAACAACACAAAUAAAAAAUAUUUUUUAAAAAUAACAAAAAUAAGAACUUUGUUUUAAUAUAUAUAUAUUUUAAAAAUUGUAAUUAUUUUGAAAACAUAAUUCCUAACAUGUCCAAACUUGUUUAUUACAUAUACAUAGAGAAAUCAGUUUAACAACUAUUUUUAAAAAUGAAGUUCGAUUAUGAGAAACAAAAAAGCAAGAGACAAAAAAAAUGUUCUUAAAAUAUAAUUUUAUAAAUAUAGAGAAUAAUUAAAUAUAAAGCCCUAUAUAUUAGAAUUAUUUUUAAAACAUAUUUAAAAGCCUAAAAAAUAAGUUAAGAAUAUUCCAAAUUUUUAAAAAGACUUUUAUUCUAUUUUGGAAAUGCUUCUCAAACAAACGCCUAAUUCAGACAAUAAAAUUUACAAUUCAAUUGCUUUCAAAGAGAAUACAUAUGGAAGCUAUUAUUAUUUUUCCCCAAAAAAGAUAAUCAAAUUAAGGCUUAUAACCUUUUAACAAUUUUAUGAAAUGACACAUUUUUUUAUAUAUUUAUUAUAAAAGUCUUUCUGAAAAUGUAAUAAUCAAAUACUAACUGAUCUCCUUCUUAAUAGCUUUAUUAAAAUUCUAAAACGCAAAUUUACAUAUUCCUAAUAAACCAUUUUAUGAAAUUAAUUUUCAAAUUCAACGACAUAUAUAUACACGUGCCAUAUAUAUACACGUGCGUGCACACGCACGAAUGUGUGUACUUCAAGAGAACUAGAGCAAUGGAAAGUGGGGAAAACUCUCUUCUUCCAAAAUAUCUCCCCAUAACAAUUUUUAUCUUAGUAUAAAAGUUGUGAUCCCUUGAAGUCUGAAGAUUUCUCCUCCUCUACACUUGAUCGUCCUCACCACAAUGGUACUAGUUCAAGCCUAAAUACAACUUUGAUAAUGUUGUUUCUUAAUCAAGCAUUCACCAUUAGGUCUGAUCGCUCAAAUUAUCUUCUAUGGUGUUCUCAGAUGCUGACUAUUGUGAUUGCUAAUGGACUCGAGGAGAUGAUCGAUAGCUUACAGCCUUGUCCUUCGAAAUUUUUUUAUAACUCUGAGACUACAAAUCCAGAUUUUCAAAUCUAGCAAUGACAUAAUCAUUCAAUCAUGUGCCGGAUUUAUUCAUCUCUCGUCUACCACUUCUGAAAUCUGGAAUGUUCUUCAGAUAUUCUUCUCUACUGUCAAAAGCUAGAAUUAUGCAACUUCGUCUUCAACUUCAGACUAUGAACAAAGUUGGUUUGAAUAUGAUGCAAUAUCUUCUCAAGUGAAAUAUGCUACAGAUAAUCUUGUUGCAAUUGGAGAAUCGAUUUCUGAACAAGACCAUGUUCUUUGCUUGGUGGUUUAAGAGCUGAUUACAACUCCUUUGUGGUCUCUAUGACAUCUAGGCAUGAACCUCUGCAUCUAGAAGAGAUUCACAGUAUCUUGCUUACUUACAAGCAUCGCUUAGAGCAACAGAAUGCCGCCAAUGAAGCAAAUCUUCUCCAGGCAACCGUAGCCUCUCUGCAAUCAUAAGGAAACAAUUAUAAGAAAAAUCAAAGGAAUGGACAAUUCAAGUUUCAAAACCAUAACUAGAGUCAAUUGCAAUUCAACUAGCAACAAUUUGGUCUCACGAACGUGGUUUCUACACCAAUGGACAUUCAAGUAGAGGUAAUAGUCAAGGUAAUUCUUCAAAUAAUUUUGCUAAUUUCUCGAGACCUAAUUUUUCUAGAAAUGAUGAUAGUAAUCCAUAAUGUCAAGUUUGUAACAAAUAUGGUCAUAUUGUUAUCAUCAUUUUGAUCAUUCUUUCCAACCUUUUAUAAACAAUGAACUUGUGGUGAUGAUUGCUUCUUACUAUUGGUGAUGGCAAUUGGUUCAUGGACACUAGUUCUACUCGUCAUCUCACUCCUAAUCUAAACAAUGUCAUAACACCUCUCCUAUUUUCAGGUUCUAACAACAUCGGAAAUGGUACUAGUCUAGAAAUAUCUCAUGUUGGUUCUUCCUCUCUUCUUUCUGGUUCACGACUUUUAAUUCUCAAAAAUGUUUUACAUGUUCCUCGCAUUGCUAUAAAUCUUCUUAGUGUUCAUAAAUUGCCCACUAAUAAUAAAGUAGUGAUUGAAUUCCAUGCUAAUGGUUUCAUUGUAAACGAUCAAACUAUGAAGAAAACUCUUGUCCAAGGCAAAAUUGACAGUGGCCUAUACAAGCUAUGUGCUAUCAAGUCCGUUGAACAGAAUGUUAGUGCCAACUGUGCUAACAUUGAUGCUGGUCUGGUUGCAGCUACUUUAGUCUUGUGUUUUACUUCCCAAUUGAAUUCCAAUAAAGCAAGUUUUUGGCAUAACCUGUUAGGCCAUCCUGCAACUGAAGUGAUGAAUAAAAUAUUAUAUAUUUGUAGUCUUCCUCAAGAACAAUUUUUUGGUGUUUGGUGUAUCUUGUCAAAUGGCCAAAAGCCAAUGUUUACCAUUCCCUCUGUCAAUUUCUAGAGCCUCUCAACCUUUCAAACUUGUGCAUUCUAACCUCUAAGGACCUGCCCCCUGUUGUUGGCGUUAAUAUUGGUGCGAGACAUUUUGUACAUAAGCCUAUUGUCAAGCCAUUCCAACUUGGGUUUUUCAAAUCUUUCCUUAGACUACUUGUCUAAUGAUGAUUAAGAUGUUGAAAUUGCUUAGAGGUAAAUGUAUAUAUUUGAGAUUAUGAAUGUAUGGAAUUAAUCAACUAAGCUUUUUAAAUUUUUGCUUUUUCUUGAAUUAAUUUUUUAGAGUUGAGGAGGCUAGGGUAGCAAUUUUUUUACAAAGUGUUUAUGUGCCUCAUUCUAGGAUCAAUCCCAAUUUAAGUAAGAUCAAUCAAUCUUUUAUUGGAUCUUUUUUAAGCAAUUAGAUCAAGGGUUCCGUUUUAUAUUUAAUCCAAAUGUUUUCAUUUUAGGGCAAAGACACUCAUGGUUGCUUUUUACUCCCCUUAAGCUCUCUCUUUUCAAUCAAAAUUGUGAGUAUUUGGUUUUAAGAAAAUCCUCCUUACCUUGAUUUCCAAGUAGUUUAUCAAUUGGAUUUUCUUAAAAAAAAUUGGUUGAUUCAUACCAUUCACUCAUCUCUCAUUUUCUUAUUUGUUUGGGUUUGGGUUUGGGUAAAAACCCAUAUUCUUCUUGUGUAAAUUCAAGAAGAAGUUGAGCACGAGCCUAAUAUGGACUCCAAGUACACUCCAAAAGAUGAAGACAUGUUGAGAGUGAGAAGGUAUUAGUCAAGUAAUUUGUGAAGGAUUAGUGGAUUGAGCCCAAUAAAUUCUUAUAUAUGUUGGUCGUUUUAAUUUCAUAUUAAAAGCUUUUGAUUAUUAGCAAGCUUGUGGUUUUUUUUUUUUUUUUUUUGCCUCUUAAGAGAUUUUUUCACAUAAAAAUCCAGUAUUAUCGUUUCUUUCUCAUUCUCUUCAUUUGGUCAUUUCCAUUUAUUGAUCUCAAUUUCUUACUUUGGCAUAUAUGUUGAGAUUUAUCCUCAUAAUCCAUAAUUUAUUUCAAUAAAACUAGUAAAAAAAUAAAAAUAAAAAUUAUGAAAUUUGAAAAAGUGCUAUAAAAAACUAAUCCAAAGAGGACCCAUGCGCCACGACACACACUGAUGUUCAAUCAUUUGACAACAUUGAGCUAUAGAUGCCUCAAUGUUACAAUCAAUGGAACCACCUGGGCUUUGGACGGACUUUUCUCAAUAGUACGGUAAUUUAAAAAAGUUAUGCUUAAAUUAUUGUACUAGAAGAAGUUAUUACAAAUAUAUGGUAGUUUUUGCCACAUAGGAAAGAGGAGAGAGGGUAAACGGAUAAAUUUUUUUAAAACCAAAAUCAUCUUUUCAAAAAGGGAACUCGUCUCUUGAAGAGACGAGUUCCAUAAAAAUAUAUAUAUAUAUAUAUAUUUAAAAAAAUUCCCAAAUUAUAAAAAUAAAAAUAAAAAUUCCUCAAGGGAACUCGUUUCCUUCAAGAGACGAGUUCUCAUGGAAAAAAAAAUUCCCAAAUUAAAAAAAAAAAGAAAAUUUCUCAAAAAAAAAAAAAAACAAUUCUUCAAGGAAACUCGUCUCUUCAAGAGAUGAGUUCCCAUUAAAAUAUAUAUAUAUAUAUAUAUAUAUAUAUAUAUAUAUAUAUAUAUAUAUAUUUUAAAUUCCCAAAUUAAAAAAAAAAUUUUAAAUUCCCAAAUUAUUAAAAAAAAAAAAAACAACUCCUCAAGGGAACNNNNNNNNNNNNNNNNNNNNNNNNNNNNNNNNNNNNNNNNNNNNNNNNNNNNNNNNNNNNNNNNNNNNNNNNNNNNNNNNNNNNNNNNNNNNNNNNNNNNAUGUAAAACAUUUUUGAGAAUUAAAAGUCGUGAACCAGAAAGAAGAGAGGAAGAACCAACCUGAGAUAUUUCUAGACUAGUACCAUUUCCGAUGUUGUUAGAACCUGAAAAUAGGAGAGGUGUUAUGACAUUGUUUAGAUUAGGAGUGAGAUGACGAGUAGAACUAGUGUCCAUGAACCAAUUGCCAUCACCAAUAGUAAGAAGCAAUCAUCACCACAAGUUCAUUGUUUAUAAAAGGUUGGAAAGAAUGAUCAAAAUGAUGAUAACAAUAUGACCAUAUUUGUUACAAACUUGCCUUUAUGGAUUUCUUUCAUCAUUUCUAGAAAAGUUCCCAUGGAAAAAAAAUAUAUAUUUUUUUAAAAAAUAUAUUUCCUUUUAAAAAAAUUCACAAAUUAAAAAAAAACGAAUUUCCUCAAGGGAACUCGUCUCUUCAAGAGACGAGUUCCCAUGGAAAAAAAAAAUAUUUUUUAAAAAAAAUUCCCAAAUUAAAAAAAAAAAAAAAGGAAUUUCCUCAGGGGAACUCGUCUCUUGAAGAGACGAGUUCCCAUAGAAAAAAAAACAUAUAUUUUUUUAAAAAAUAUAUAUAUUUUUUUAAAAAUUCCCAAAUUAAAAAAAUAAUAAUAAAAAAAAAAAUAAAAAAGGAAUUUCCUCAAGGGAACUCGUCUUUUGAAGAGACGAGUUCCCUUGUGGAAUUUUUUUUUUUUUUUUAAUUUGGGAAAUUUUUUUUUUCAUGGGAGGAAAUUCCUUUUUUUUUUUUUUUUUAAUUUGAGAAUUUUUUUAAUAUAUAUAUAUAUAUUUUUUUUUAAAUAUAUUUUUUUUUCCAUGGGAAUUCGUCUCUUGAAGAGACGAGUUCUCUUGAGGAAAUUCCUUUAUUAUUUUUUUUUAUUUGGGAAUUUUUUUAAAUAUAUAUAUAUAUAUAUUUAAAAUUUUUUUUUUCCCUUGAGGAAUUGCCUUUUUUUUUUUUUUUUUUAAUUUGGGAAAUUUUUUUUAAAUAAAAAAUAUAUUUUUUAAAUAUAUAUUUUAAAUAAUUUGGGAAUUUCUUAAACAAAAUAUAUAUAUAACUCGUCUCUUGGAAAUUCUUUUUUUUUUUCUUUUUAAUUUGCGAAUUUUUUAAAAAAAAAAUAUUUUUUUUUCCAUGGGAACUCGUCUCUUGAGGAGUUGUUUUUUUUUUUUUUUUUAAUAAUUUGGGAAUUUAAAAAAAAAAAAAAAUUCAUGGGAAGAGACGAGUUCCAUUGAGCAAUUGUUUUUUUUCUUUUUCUUUUUUUAAAUUUUGGAAUAUUUUAAAAAUAUAUAUAUUUUUUUUAAUGAGAACUCAUCUCUUGAAGAGACAAGUUUCCUUGAGGAAUUGUUUUUUUUUUUAGGAAUUUUUUUUUUAUAAAUAAUUUGGGAAUUUUUUUUUCCAUCUCUUGAAGAGACGAGUUCCCUUUGUUUGAAAAGAGCCUUGAAAAGAUGAUUUUAGUUUUAAAAAAAUUUAUCCGUUCACCCUCUCUCCUCUCUCCUAUCUCCUCUCUCCUUCACCCUCUCUCCUCUCUCCUAUGCGGCAAAAACUACCAGAUAUUUGUAAUAAUUUCUUCCACUACAAUAAUUUAAGCAUAACUUUUUUAAAUUACCGUACUAUUGAGAAAAGUCCGGCUUUGGACCCAUUACUUUUUGUUUGAUGGAUUCUGAUUCGGACCAAUCUCCUAAAUCCAAACCCGGCCUGUAGGUCCAACUCCAAGAAUUUGUGAUUUAAUCAAGCGGCCACAAAGAAAGUGAUCACACCAUGUGCUCUGCCAUGUAUCACAUGGAAUUGGCUGAUUCCAUUCUUCAAAGGUCGAGAAUCCAUUCUCAUUCAAUUUGAUGGGAUAGAGACCUGACCCUUUACAUAUAUAUAUAUAUAUAUAAAUAAAUUAUUUUAAAAAAAUUAUAUUUUAAAAAUAAAGAUAAAAAUAUACUACUUUUGACUAUUAAUUAAAUACGAAAAUUUACAUUGAAAUAAUCUUUUAAGGGACAUGCAAAUUCAUUGUUUAUAUUGUUUUAUCUUAUCAUCUAUUGAUCAGAUGAAUUUAAUUUUUUUUUUAAAUGAGUUAAUUAUUAUUAUUAUUUUGGUAGACCUCCCAAAAGCUCCUUGAUAAUCCCUUGUGCGGUUCUAAGUCUAAAAGCCGGGAGAGAAAACUUCAACAGAGCACGAGGAACUUUGGCAGGCUCCACCUGGGAAAUUAAUGAGACGAUUACCAAGGAUGUUGGAAUUGGAUUCAUAUGAGAUUUUUAUAGGGGACCCAUCUAAAAACUGAAUUUUCUAAGAGCGGUUGUCCGUUAACAAAAAUGCUUGGAACCCUUAAACAACAAGACACUUCCAUGAUUCCAUCGAAGAUAAUUUGGAAUCAUAAAAUGGUCCACAGUAGAGUCCAUAUGGAGGAAUAUCAAAAGCGAGGUCUAUAUAUAUACAUACAUAUCCUUGUUUCCUGAUCACACGCACUUCCUCAGAUAGCUAGCUAGCUAGAACUAUUGAAUCCUCCAAAGUAGUCCCUUGAAAAACAUGCCUCGUAAUUGGAACCCUUUUGAAGGCAAGUCCACAAGUGUUCCCUACACUAAGCAACAGUUACACGAAUUCUUCAAACAACAUGACAAAGACGGCGACAAAUUGCUGAGCAAGGAAGAGCUGAAAAAGGCCUUCGACGAUCUGCAGUCACGUACUCCUGGGUUUAGAGCAUGGAGAGCAAUGGGCAAAGCUGAUGCGGAUGGAGAUCAGCACAUCAGCCAGCAGGAGAUGGAGGCUCUUCUGGAUUACGCCGUGGGAAUAAAAUAUCCGGUCAAGGCAUAACAACCUUUUACUUACGUACUUUAUAAUAAGGGAUGUAUCAUGUAUAUAUGAUGCCCCAUCUUAUGAAUGUUCUCUUUACUCUACUGGGAGUGUAUGCAUUUUAUCUUUCUCUAUUUACUAGAUAUAAAGUUUAACGAUAGCAUUGAUCGAUAUAGAGCUCUUUUGGUAACCAGGUUUCAUCAAACUCUUGGUUUUGACUACUUUGAAACAUUCAGUCUUGUUGUCAAACCAACUACCAUUUGUAUUGUUCUUACUUUAGCUUUAAGCAUGGGGUGGAGUAUUCGACAACUUGAUGUACGUACAUAAUGCUUUUCUCAAUGGUAACUUAGCUGAGCAAGUCUUUAUGACUCAGCCUAAAGGGUUUGUGGACUCCUCCAAACCCAAUUAUGUGUGUAAAUUAACUAAGGUUUUUUAUGGUUUAAAACAAGCUCUGUAUGUUUGGUUCAACAAACUCAAUACUGCUCUUCUUUGGUGGGGUUUUAUGUCAAGUCAUUAAAAUAUACUUAUUAGCAUUUUCAUUGUGUUUAUUGUGACACCUACCACUACUCUAAUGAGGUGGGGUUUAGGAAUGUUAAGAUUUAGUUAGGGGUAAUUUUUUUAUUUUGGAUUUUAAAGUUGUAAUUUUCAAUGGGGGCUAUGAGUGUUGAGUUAGAUUGACAAUUUCAAACAAAAAUUUCUACAUAUCUCCUAACUCGAGUUUUUCAAAUCUUUCCUUCGAUUACUUGUGUUAUGAAGAUUAAGAUGUUGAAAUUGCUUAGAGGUCAAGGUAUAUAUUUGAGAUUGUAAAUGUAUGGAAUUGAAUCAACCAAGUUUUUAAAAUUAUUGUUUUUCUUGAACUAUUUUUUAAAAGAGUUGAGGAGGCCAAGGUAGUAGUUUUUUACUGAGUGUUUAUAUGCCCUAUUUAGGAUCAAUCCAAAUUUAAGCAAAAUUGAUCCAUCUUUUACUAGAUUUUUUUUAAGCUAUUGGAUUAAGGGUUCCCUUUCAUAUUUAAUCAAAAUGUUUCUAGUUUAAGGCAGAGACACUAGUAGUUGUUUUUUACUCCCCUUAAGCUCUCUCUCUUCAAUCAAAAUUGUGAGUGUUUGGUUUCAAGAGAAUCCUCCUUACCUUGAUUUCUAAGUAGUUUAUCAAUUGUAUUUUAUUACAAAAAUUGGUUAAUUUAUACCAUUCACUUAUCUCACAUUUUCUUAUUUGUUUGGGUUUAGGUGAAAAAUCUUGUGUAGAUUCAAGAAGAGAUCAAGAUCGAGCUUAGUAUAGACUCUAAGUACAAGCCAAAAGAUGAAGACAUAUUACUAAAAUGAAAAAGUGUUAGUCAAGUAAUUUGUGAAGAUUAGUGGACUUGAACUUAGUAAAUCUUUGUAUAUAUUAAUUGUUUUUCAUAAUGAAAACUUUUGAUCGUUGGCAAGCUUAUAGUUUUUUUUUUUUUAAGAGAUUUUUCACAUAAAAAUCUAGUGUUAUCGUCUCUCUUUUAUUCUCCUCAUUUGUUCAUUUACAUUUAUUGAUCUCAAUUUUAUGCUUAGGCAUAUAUGUCAAAUGGUGAAAAAUGAGUUUGAUCAUCCUUUGAAAAUCUUAUAUAAUUUUUUUGUUCAAGUUGAUCAUGAUAUCAAGUAAUAAUUGAAAAUGCGGUUAAAGAGUUUAUUAUUUUUGUGAAUUUAGGUUGGGGAGUGUUGAUUUAUGUGCAUGUGAAGUACAUUUAUAAAUUAUUAAAAGAGUAUUAUUGCAUUCAUGUUUGUGAUUUUUAUUUUUAUUGAAAAGUUGUUAGAAAAUAAAUAAAUAAAUCUUGGGAAACGGUAAAAAAUGAUCGAUUGUAUGUGUCAUAAGAAGUCUUAAAAUAUGUUUGAAAAUAUCUCUUCAAUGCCCUAUAAAUAUAACACAUCAUUGAGAUUCAACGACGGGGUUCAAUAAAAUUAGUCAAAAAUUAAGUAAAAAUAUAUGAAAUUUUAAGAAGUAUUUUCAAAAACUGAUCCACACGGGAGCUAUGGGCCAUGACACGUGCUAACUUUUUUUCCGUUUCACAGCAUUAGACACCUCGAUAUUACGAACAAUGGACCACCUGAUUUUUGGGCCCGUUACUUUUUGUUUGAUGGAUUCCGAUUCGGACCAAUCUCCUAAAUCCAAACCCGGCCGGUGGGUCCAAGAAUUUGUGAUUUAAUCAAGCGGCCACUGCCUAAGGGGCCGGCCACAAAGAAGUAUCAGACCACAUCCCCUGCCGUGUAUCAGAUGGAAUUGGCCGAUUCUAUCCUUCAAAAGUCGAGAAUCUAUGCUCUAUUCAAUUUGAUGAGAAGAGAGCUCACCACCCAAAAAGUGGAAGUACUUUUUUUUGGUUGUAGUCCUCCAAAAGCUCCAUGAUAAUCCCAUAUGCUGUUCUACGUCUAAAAGCUAGAAGAAAGAACUUUAACAGAAAAAUGCUUGGAACCCUUAAACAACAAGACACUUCCAUGAUUCCAUCGAAGAUAAUUUGGAAUCAUAAAAUGGUCCACAGUAGAGUCCAUAUGGAGGAAUACCCAAAAGCGAGGUCUAUAUAUAUACAUACAUAUCCUUGUUUCCUGAUCACACGCACUUCCUCAGAUAGCUAGCUAGCUAGCACUAUUGAAUCCUCCAAAGUAGUCCCUUGAAAAAACAUGCCUCUUAAUUUGAACCCUUUUCCCACCCGUGAAGGCAAGUCCACAAGUGUUCCCUACACUAAGCAACAAUUACAGGAAUUCUUCAAACAACAUGACAAAGACGGCGACAAAUUGCUGAGCAAGGUAGAGCUGAAAAAGGCCUUCGACGAUCUGCAGUCACGUAAUCCUGGGUUUAGAGCAUGGAGAGCAAUGGGCAAAGCUGAUGCGGAUGGAGAUCAGCACAUCAGCCAGCAGGAGAUGGAGGCUCUUCUGGAUUACGCUGUGGGAAUAAAAUAUCCGUUCAAGGCAUAACAACCUUUUACUUACGUGCUUUAUAAUAAGGGAUGUAUCAUGUAUAUAUGAUGCCCCAUCUUAUGAAUGUUCUCUUUACUCGACUGGGAGCAUAUGUACUUUAGCUUUCUCUAUUAACUAGACAAGUGUAAAAGUGGGAGAUGAAGCUCCGUACGUGCCUAGAUUAAAGAAUUUCCAUUUGGGGAUGCUUGGACUAAAGUGAAUCCUUCAUCAGUGCUUGUUUUGAUUUUAUAACCGUUAGUUGACAUUCAGAAACGAAACCUGUAGACCUUGUCCCGAAAGAACCUCCUCCUUUCUUUAGUCAUUCCUUCCAUCCAUUAUUGUCUUGUAAUAAAAAAUAUUUAUUCCGAAGGAUGAAAUAGUUUUCAUAUUUAAAUACUACUACUACUAAUAAUAAUAAUAAUAAUAUAUUAAAAAUUAUAUAUAUUAGAAAAUUCCUUACAAUAGAUUUUCUUUAUAUUUUAAAAUUCUUGUAAUUAGUUGUAAUUUCCUAUUUUUGUUGUAAUUCUCUAAUUCUAGGAUUGUUUCCUAUUUUUGUUGUAAUUCUCUAAUUCUAGGAUUGUUUCCUAUUUUUGUGUUUUGGGCUAAUUUGAGGAUUGUUUCAUGUUUUUGUUGUAAUCCCCUAAUUCUAGGAUUGUUUCCUAUUUUUGUGUUUUGGAUAGAUUGUUUCCUAUUUUUGUGUUUUUUGGUAACUCAAGGCAAUGCCCAUUUUUGUGUAUAUAUAUUCAUUCUUAAUCAAUGGAAAAGUUAAGUCAUUGUUUCUCAAUAAUUAUCUCUCUACUUCAACAUGGUAUCAAGAGUCUAAUCUUCUUGGGCGUAUUUUUUUUUUUUUUUUUCUUUUCCUAUAAACACUAGAAGAAAUCUACAACUAGUCUCCUCAAUGGCUUCCGGUGCAUCCUUCUCUUCCACCAACGAUCUUAUCACCAUCCAAAACUCCCAAGAUCCUCAACAUCCACUUCGUACAAUUAAUCUCUCCAAUAUCACCAAAUUGUCAUCCAUCAAUUAUCUCACAUGGAGCCUUCAAAUCCGAUCUCUUCUUGAAAGUUAUGAUCUUCAUCACUUCAUUGAUGACACUCAUUCUCCACCACCACCCACCGUCACCGUCACUGGUGUUGCAUCUCCAAAUCUGGCAUACACAACCUGGAAGCGUCAGGAUUGUCUCAUCUUUAGCGUUUUCCUUGGUGCUAUCUCUGUUUCACUACAAUCGCUUAUUUCCUGUACCACCACUUCCCUUGAUGCAUGGCAAACCUUAGCCAAUACCUAUAUCAAACAAUCUCGUGGUCAUAUUAACAAUUAAAGCGAUGUACCAAGGGCUCAAAAUCAAUUAGUGAAUAUAUGCAAGCGAUAAAGACUCGUGCUAAUGAACUUGCCCUUUUGAUGAUGAUGAUCUUAUUGAUCAGGUUCUUGAAGGACUUAGUGAUGAGUACAAAUUCGUCAUUGAUGCAAUUAAUGCCCGUGACACGUCAAUUUCUUUUGUUGAGCUCCAUGAGAAACUUCUCAACAAAGAAGCAUAUCUUCAGACCGCUCAACCAUCUCCUUUAUCACUACCAACAACGAUAAAUCCCACAACCUUUUGGAAUCAUCCAAAUUGGCGUCCACCAGCCACCACUCCACAACAACCAGGCCCUACCACUACGUUUUCUUCUCAUGAUCAACGCCAACCUAAACCUUAUUUAGGUUGUUGUCAAGCAUGCGGUAUUCAAGGACACACUGUCAAAUGAUGCCCGAUGUUUCGGCUUGUCACUAAUCAACAAUCCCCGACACCUCGUCCUCAAGGCACUCAGGCAUAUCGCCCCUCCACACCCUGGCAACCACAAGCCAAUCAUGUUGUUCUCGAUAACAACACUAAUCCUACUUGGCUGUUGGAUAGUGGAGCAUCUCACCAUGUUACGUCUGACUUGAGCAACAUCUCUCUUCAUAACCUGUAUCUAGGAUUUGAUGAUGUCAUGAUCGACGAUGGAUCGACCCUUCCAAUCACACAUACCAGUUCUACCACCAUACUUACUUUCUCUUGCACCUUUACUUUACAAAGCAUCCUUUGUGUCCCUUCCAUGCAAAAAAACUUAAUUUCAAUUUAUCAAUUUUGCAUUAAUAUCCAUGUUUCUGUUGAAUUCUCACCCUCUGUUUUUCAAGUGAAGGAUCUAAGUACGAGGGCAAUCCUUUAGAUGGGUGAACCUAAGGAUGACGUAUAUGAGUGGCCGACUACAUUCCCUUCUAUUACAUCUUCACCGAUGUUUGCAUUUUCCAAUGUCAAAACCACUUCGUCCGAGUGGCACUUUAGACUAGGUCAUCCAUCAUUAACUAUUAUGAAAAAUAUUAUCUCCAAGUGUUCUUUACCAUUGUCUAGUCUAUUAUCCUCUUCCACACAUUGUAAUGCAUGUUCAUGUAAUAAAAGUCAUAAAUUUCAUUUUCUUCUUCUACCUUAACCUCAUCAUAUCCGCUUGAACUUCUCUUUUAUGAUGUAUGGACCUCUCUUAUUUCUUCUGUUGAUGGUUUUCAGUACUAUGUUAUUUUUGUUGAUCAUUAUACACGGUAUAUUUGGUAUUAUCCACUUAAAAGGAAAUCCCAUGUGUAUGAUGUCUUUGUGCGCUUCAAGGCAUUAGUCGAAAACAAAUUUAAACACAGGAUUGUUACCCUCUAUUCAAAUAAUGGUGACAAAUAUCAAGCCCUUGAUAAUUUUCUUUUCACCAAUGGUAUAUCUCAUCUUACUACACCACCACAUACACCUGAACACAAUGGUAUUUUCAAACGACGUCAUCGCCAUAUUGUUGAAACCGGUCUAUCUCUUCUCACUCAUACAUCGAUGCCUCUAACUUAUUAGACUUACGCAUUUGCCACUGUUGUAUAUCUUAUCAACCGUAUGCCCACACCCACACUACAUCUCUCAUCUCCUUUUGACAAACUCUUUGAGUCUCCAUCCAACUACACUAAACUUUGGGUGUUCGGUUGCUUAUGUUAUCCAUGGCUUCGUCCUUAUUCUCAACAUAAACUUGACUCUCGUUCCACUCCUUGUGUUUUUCUUAGUUACUUUUCAACACAAAGUGCCUAUAUUUGUCUUGAUCUGUCCAUUUCUAAAACAUAUAUUUCUCGUCAUGUCAAAUUUCUUGAAAACUCUUUUCCCUUUACCACUCACCAAUCCCAUCUAGCUCGUCCCACCUCAAAUAUCAUUUCCAACUGGCUUUUCCCAGUCCAAACUCUACCCAUGUCAACUGGCUCACUCAAUACACCUCCACAAAGGGAUUCCUCAUGUCAACAUUCGUCACAAAAUGCCCAAUCGGUCGACUACCCCUCCUCACCAAUCGACCAUUUACCACCAGAACCAUAGAGUUUUGAGACCUCUUCUACUUCAACCACAACUCUAUCCACCCAUCCCAUGACCACUAGAGCCAAAAACAACAUUCAUAGACCCCUAACCAAGAUGAAUCUCACUAUUGUCCUUUCUCAACCAUCAGACAUUGAGUCUCAUACUGUUAACCAAGCCCUAACCGAUCCUAAAUGGAGACAAGCUAUGAAUGAUGAAUUUGAUGCUCUUGUUCGAAAUGGAACUUGGGAGCUUGUUUCAUCUACUUCUAUGCAGAAUCUUGUUGGAUGUAAGUGGGUUUUUUUCGUAUUAAACGGCUUCCUGAUGGUUCUGUUGACAAGUACAAGUACGGCUUCCUGAUGAAUUUAUACCAUUCACUUAUCUCACAUUUUCUUAUUUGUUUGGGUUUAGGUGAAAAAUCUUGUGUAGAUUCAAGAAGAGAUCAAGAUCGAGCUUAGUAUAGACUCUAAGUACAAGCCAUAAGAUGAAGACAUAUUACUAAAAUGAAAAGGUGUUAGUCAAGUAGUUUGUGAAGAUUAGUGGACUUGAACUUAGUAAAUCUUUGUAUAUAUUAAUUAUUUUUCAUAAUGAAAACUUUUGAUCAUUGGCAAGCUUAUAGUUUUUUUUUUUUAAGAGAUUUUCCACAUAAAAAUCUAGUGUUAUCGUCUCUCUUUUAUUCUCCUCAUUUGUUCAUUUACAUUUAUUGAUCUCAAUUUUAUGCUUAGGCAUAUAUGUCAAAUGGUGAAAAAUGAGUUAAAAUGAGUUUGAUCAUCCUUUAAAAAUCUUAUAUAAUUUUUUUGUUCAAGUUGAUCAUGAUAUCAAGUAAUAAUUGAAAAUGCGUUAAAGAGUUUAUUAUUUUUGUGAAUUUAGGUUGGGGAGUGUUGAUUUAUGUGUAUGUGAAGUACAUUUAUAAAUUAUUAAAAGAGUAUUAUUGCAUUCAUGUUUGUGAUUUUUAUUUUUUAUUGAAAAGUUGUUAGAAAAUAAAUAAAUAAAUAAAUCUUGGAAAACGGUAAAAAAUGAUCGAUUGUAUGUGUCAUAAGUAGUCUUAAAAUUUGUUUGAAAACAUCUCUUCAAUGCCCUCUAAAUAUAACACAUCAUUGAGAUUCAACGACGGGGUUCAAUAAAAUUAGUCAAAAAUUAAGUAAAAAUAUAUGAAAUUUUAAGAAGUAUUUUCAAAAACUGAUCCACACGGGAGAUAUGGGCCAUGACACAUGCUAACUUUUUUUCCGUUUCACAGCAUUAGACACCUCGAUAUUACGAACAAUGGACCACCUGAUUUUUGGGCCCGUUACUUUUUGUUUGAUGGAUUCCGAUUCGGACCAAUCUCCUAAAUCCAAACCCGGCCGGUGGGUCCAAGAAUUUGUGAUUUAAUCAAGCGGCCACUGCCUAAGGGGCCGGCCACAAAGAAGUAUCAGACCACAUCCCCUGCCGUGUAUCAGAUGGAAUUGGCCGAUUCUAUCCUUCAAAAGUCGAGAAUCUAUGCUCUAUUCAAUUUGAUGAGAAGAGAGCUCACCACCCAAAAAGUGGAAGUACUUUUUUUUGGUUGUAGUCCUCCAAAAGCUCCAUGAUAAUCCCAUAUGCUGUUCUACGUCUAAAAGCUAGAAGAAAGAACUUUAACAGAAAAAUGCUUGGAACCCUUAAACAACAAGACACUUCCAUGAUUCCAUCGAAGAUAAUUUGGAAUCAUAAAAUGGUCCACAGUAGAGUCCAUAUGGAGGAAUACCCAAAAGCGAGGUCUAUAUAUAUACAUACAUAUCCUUGUUUCCUGAUCACACGCACUUCCUCAGAUAGCUAGGUAGUUCUCCAAAGUAGUCCCUUGAAAAACAUGCCUCGUAAUUGGAACCCUUUUCCCAAAGAUGAAUGCAAGUGCACAGAUAUUCCCUACACUAAGCAGCAGUUACAUGAAUUCUUCAAACAACAUGACAAAAACGGCAACAAUUUGCUGAGCAAGGAAGAGCUGAAAAAGGCCUUCGACGAUCUGCAGUCACGUAAUCCUGGGUUUAGAGCAUGGAGAGCAAUGGGCAAAGCUGAUGCGGAUGGAGAUCAGCACAUCAGCCAGCAGGAGAUGGAGGCUCUUCUGGAUUACGCUGUGGGAAUAAAAUAUCAGAUCAAGGCAUAACAACCUUUCACUUACGUGCUUUAUAACAAGGGGUCAACUAUAUAUGUAUGAUGCCCCAUCUUAUGAAUGUUCUCUUUACUCGACUGGGAGCAUAUGUACUUUAGCUUUCUCUAUUUACUAGAUCAGUGUAAAAAUGGGAGAUGAAGCUCCGUACGUGCCUAGAUUAAAGAAUUUCCAUUUGGGGAUGCUUGGACUAAAAUGAAUCCUUCAUCAGUGCUUGUUUUGAUUUAAUUUAUAACCGUUACUUGACAUUCAGAAACGAAACCUGUAGACCUUGUCCCGAAAGAACCUCCUCCUUUCUUUAGUCAUUCCUCCCAUCCAUUAUUGUCUUAUAAUAAAAAAUAUUUUUCAAAGGAUG
rnacentral:lncRNA from 1 species